GUAUACCUCCACUAGGGGCUCUAAGCAUAUUACUGGCCGUAGAAGUGGUAGAAAAGGAAUAUAUGCCCAAUAUAAUUGUUUCAGCAGUUACUGGGGGGGGGGGGGGUGGGGGGAGUACUCAUAGCAAUGGUGAGCACAGCCGUCAUAGCUAUUAUUAGAUUAUUCAUCAUAGCUGGUCAUUCCGCCACCUUCAGAUUUUCUUCUCCCAUCUUUGUCAACUUCUUGAUGUGGCCCCAGACUAUUGAGACAAGCUGUGGAAGGGCCAAUGAGUUUUGCCACCCAUCCCCUACCUCUAAAAUGGGCAAAUCAGUGUCUUCAUGAAGGAAGGAAGCUUAAAGCACUUAAUGUAAGUACAAUCCUGAAUCACAUACAUGGAUCCCUGGAAACAAUUGAGUUGCACACCCACCCCUCUGACUGGCUUCCCCUUGGGAUAGACAUUGGUGAGCAAGAGCUUAGACUCUCACCAGCUGGUCACCUCCAGGGUUCACAGUCUGAGAAACUGAAUCGAGUCAUUUUCAUCUGUCCUACAGAAGGGCUGCAAAUGGGGUCUGGGGUGGCAUCUUGGAGGCAUCUGUGGAAGGUUCCAUAGCUAGAGGCAUCCUGUCUUCUGGUCCAAGCUUUCUGGCAGUGUAUGGCAGACUCAACAGUUGGAUAGGUUCUAGUGUUUACAGCAGUUUAGAGGAAAUGUAGGCACACAUUUCUGCAGGAAGAAAGCUCAGCCUAUUCUGAAAGAUGAAUGCCCUUCCCCACAACUCCCAGGGUCUGAGGUGCUUCCUUUCCUAUGUUCCUGGGGUUUUGUUUUCCAGCCACUGCCACAAAAUCAGGAUGUCCCAUUCCAGUAGAUCUACUUCACAUCUUACCCCCUCCUCUGUAUCCCCAAAUAUUUGUCUUCUAAAGAGCCAGAUCUAAGGAACAAAAGCGUUUUCACAAAACCUAACCAACAUUGAGUCUGAAUCCUCUAGGUCUGCUCUUGCCCAGGUUGCCAGCCAGAGGGUAAGUCAACCAGGUUUUCUUAGGGUUGCUGCUAGAAAGUUCAAUGUGUCAUUCCCAGGGUUGGGCUGGGCAGAAACCUGAAUUUGCACAGCAGGUUGGUUUUUGGUCCCAAAGGUCUGUGUAAUACCAUACCCGUCUUAUCAUUGUCCAGUAAGCUCCCAAGACAAGGUGGUAUGGCCCCUCUCCGAAGGCAGCUGUACUUACUGAUUUAACAGCUUUACUAUGCAGUGUGGACCAGGAGGAAAUAAGUGGAGUUGGCCUGCCAGGUCGCUGUUGAAGAGCUUCUGCUGAAAGGGGUAUAUCACCUUCAGACUGCAAGUAGCCUGGAAAGCUGAACGUCUGACGCUGACCAGUUUCAAGAGCCACGGCUGGAGUUGGGAGAUAUGUAACAAAGUCAACAGACAAGCCUGAGAAGACUUCAGGAGUUCCCAAGUUAUCUGUCAGGAAUGUGUUAGGGAGGCCAUCCAUGCUUCAUGGGAUAUAUGCAUUUGUCUCACAGCUUUGGGCAGGAAUUGUAACAUGGCAUGCAGGUCUAGGCUCAGCAUCAGAAAACAGGUUCCAUUAGCAGUUCAAUUCCAUUUGGUCUGAUCAGAAGAGACCAUCACCAUGGAUAUUUGCAUGAGUUAUCCACGUAGUUCACUCACUCUCUGCAACCAGUAUCCACAGUACAUGGGCAGGUUUGUCUGGAAGAACCUCAAGGGUCCCAUUCCAAGAUACUGGAGGCCCAGAAUCAGCUUAGAAAGUUAUUUUCCCUUUUCUGGUCAAGUGAGGUAGAGUGCCAGCUUGUACAAAUGGUCUGAACACACCACAGCACAGCUCAGCUUCAGGUAGGGCAGCGGCGGCAAUUGUUAGGGUGAUGGUGAUAUUACUAAAAUAAGACAAAUACUCUAGUGCCAUCAAAUGAUCACAAACCACCAAGAACAAAUACUAAGGCAGCAUUCAGUGCUGCAUGGAAGACUUAGUGUUCCGUGUUCCCGGCAUUACCCAGCCCUAGGGAGAAGGAUGAUUCUUCUCUUUACUGCUAUCCAGGCUGGAGAGCAUCUCAUGUCUAUAUCAAACUUCUCUCCUUUCUUCCAAUGCUUGCUUGAUGAUUCUUCUACAUAGAUGUGCUCAUGCCAAUUUGUGUUCUUUUGUAAUGGUUGGACUUGAAACUGUGUUCUCCAACCAUCCACUUCCCCACCCAGUUUAAUCAAUUACUAGGGAACUUCCAGGCACGAUGAAUUGUGGUGCAGAGGUGGAGACAUCUGGCCUCAGUAUCCCAGAUGGAUCCCACAAGGGUCUAUGAGGACCUGUGUGGCAGACCUGAAAGUAGUCCAAGUUGCCACUCACCACCCCACAGCCCAGGAUUGACAGAUCUGGUGCCUGUGUUGCUGGUGAGGCCUGCAGAGGCUCCUGCCUUAAGGCUUGGGUCCUGGUUUGGGCUUAUAUCGAGUUAUUUAACCAGCUUAAUGAUACCCUCUUAAGUUGACCAAUAACUCUGAACGAGUGUUUGGGUUGUUCCCUUUUCUUAACUCCUUACCCAAGAGCCAUCAGUAGGAUGGUCUUGAGUGUGGGUCAUUGGGGAAAUGGCAUAGGCUUUCCCGUAUGCAUACAGAGCUGCUUCCUAUUUAGCUUGGUGCAGGUUCCACCCAUAUACUGGGAGUCCCUGAACCUGAGAGGGGGGUGAUCUGGAUGUUUCCAGAAGUCUUAAUACCUACUCUGUAGCUUGUUUGUUAAAACCUAAGUGGCUAAAAUCUAAGCCAUAGAUUAAUUGACUCUAGGUGUGACUAGAACACCUGCCUGUCCUGCCCCAUAAGAAGCUGCAAUGACCUUACAAAUGCUAAUUUUGAGGGGAAAAAGGACACAGAUGUAGACUCCUAGGUCCUUUGUAGCAUAGAUGUGCUUUGUUUCUGUAUCACCAGCAACUAGUGUGCAUAAAACAUCUUGGUCUCAGGGAAGCGAGGCACAAGUUAACUGGAGUGUUAUCCUACUGUUGACAUGACCAACAGUUUGAGUAACCAGGUAAAUGAGGGUGUGGACUGAUCGAUGCAUUCUCAAUACAGCAUAGGCAAGCUGGAAUAGGAGCUUUCUGGUGUCUCAAAGAUGAAAAACACUACCUAGAUCCUGACCUUGGCCAAGGUCAGCGUCAUGGUUUUAGGCACCCUUGGCAUAACUGUAGAGCUACAACACACCAGCUGCAAGUUAGCUGUAUCCCUAUAUGCCUUCUAUUGCAGUGAACAAAACUAGGCUCCACUGGUAUGGCACAGCAGCAAUAACAAGGAAAUUCCCGCCUGUGACGCAUGAGAAGCAUGGAACAUGGGGCCUAUAUAAGGUCAUGCUGGGAAGGGCUCACAUCAUACCCUGGAUGUCAAACCCCUUAGUUUAUGCAGGCUGUUGGGACAAAAAUGCUGUACCUUGAGUGGCUUAAGCAAGUUAUUUCUCAGUCUGGGAGGCUGGGAAGUCCAAGAUCAGUGCAGCUGCACACGACUGAUGUCCAAGCCUGCCUGCCUUCUUAGCUUAUAUAGACAGCUGCUUUCUUAUAUCCCCAUAUGGCUUGAGACAGGAGCCAGUCUGUGGUGUCCCUUCUCAUACGGGUGCUAAUCUCAAGGCGGUUCUACUCGGGGUCUAACAACCUUCCAAAGGUCUCAUUUUCUAACACUAUCAGGAAGAUGAGGGUUCCCCUCAUAAAAUUCCUGGGGGGAUGAACACUCCAUAGCACCCUUUAUCAGAUGGCUUCUUCCACACCACCAGGCUAUGCUGCCUGGUGAAUACCUUUUCCACUGCUUUCAAGACCCCACGUUCAGUUGGGAACAGCACGAAGCUUUGGUUUUAUAAAGGCCCGAUGCUUGUGUCUGGUUCAGGGAGCCUCAGGGGGCUGGGCAGAACCCCAAUUCCACUCCUAAGCAGCUACAGCCGAGGGCAACUCUGCAACUAUCUGAGUUGAUGACAAGGUGUUCAAGGCACAACUGAUGGAGACUCUUUCCACAUGGAGCUAGGGAGAGAUUAGCCCAGUAGGUCGGAUAGGUCUUGCCAGAUAACAGAAUGUGUACCUCAUAAGCUGGGGAUGGAUCUGGCUAAAAUAGACCCAAUAGAGAUGGAGGAUAAAUAGAUUGACUGCCCUUUCAUGUCUUAGUAUCUAAGGGAGAUUUGAGUUUGUGGUUUAGGGGGACAGAUGAAUGCUGAAUGGCGUGGUUUUUUCCUAAUGGAAAAACUGGGCAACAGGCCCUUUUAGUCCCUAGGUAACUUCUCAGGGGACAAUGGGAUUAUGAACUAAGCACAGAAUGUCUGGGUGGAUUAGGUGGUCAUUGACGGGUGUAUUGGAUUCUUUGCACUGGAGUUUAGAUAUUCUCAAAUAUGGUCCAACAAAAUGUCUACAAAGCACAAUGACAGUACAGCAAGUAUGUGAAUUGAGUUAAACAGUUGUCUUGGGGGGGAUAGUUCUGGGUUUAUCUGAAUACUGCCAUUGCUAUGGCUAUAUCAAUAGACCCCUCUGUCAUAUUAAAUAUUUCCUGGGUCACCCUUAUAAAGUGAGAUUCGAUAACAUAAGGGAAAGUUUCUUAGAUGCAUUCCAUGUAUUGUAUUUGAAGAUCUGGAGGACAAAUAAUGAUGUAGUAUGUUCCUCAGUCCUUGGCAUUAUUGGAGCUCUCCAGGAAGUAGACCGAGUGUAAUAAGCAGGAUGUUUAUUGGGGGUGUCCUUGGACCUACAUCUGUAUGACUGGUAAAGCAGGACUGGGGAGAGGAACUUGAGCUGCAGGGAAGCUCUGAUAGCCUCAGAUAACCCCACAGGGGAGCUCUGGAGAAAUGGUUUGACUUGUGAUGAACUGGGCCAAAACCAGGCCUUUUUUUGAUACUCAUGUCUCCAUCAGUCGUUGGAUGUGGGCUUCUGCUGGAAAAGCAUGACCUAGAACUGAGGUGGUUCUCUAGCUGAGGCCCUUCCAAAUGGCUGAUUACAUGCCCACAUGUGGAGACAAGUCACUCAAAUCCGUAAAGGGGAUCUUGGUGGUGUAUCUCCUUGUCUACUAAAAUCCAUUAUUUGGGCCAUGUCUGAUCUACUUCAAAAACUGUCAAUGAAGUUCCUCCAUGAUUUGGAUGGAUUCCUCUUCCUGAGGGAAAACUCAAGAGCAUGGUUAGGGAGACGAGUAUUUUCCAGCUGGUCUCAAGCUUGCCACCAGUAGUCUUGUCUCUUGAUCAUGAUGACUCUUUGCUUACCACCACCAUCCUGUCUCAAUUCCCAUCCCCUUGGCUAGUACUUCUGUUGAUCUGGUUGACUUCUGGUGGGACAAUGUAGACUCAAAUCUCUGGAAAGUCUGCAGUAUUGGCCCCCAUGUCCUUUUCGGAGAGAGGUUGCUUGCUGCCCUUACUCGUUGACUAUCAUGACUAGGAAAGAACUGCCCAAGAGGGUUAUCUGUGCAAACACUUCUCCCUGUCCCGAUCAUGGCUCGGUAUCCCUAGAUUCUCCUAACCACAGUCAAAUACUUAUGACAAAAUGGUGAUUAUACUUUCCACCUGCUCAUCCCUGGACACAAAGAACUCGGUAUUCCCUGACACAAGUACUCCCCUUUUGGGCUUUGUGAAGUUAGAGCUCCUGAUCCCCAAAGCUGCAUGAAUAGGAAGUACACAGUCUUCAGGUGGACCACUGGGAGUUUUGGCAAGUGGUCUGUGUUGUGCCUCUUGGUACCAAGUAUUCUGAUUAGUGACAGUGCCAUAUAAAAUUAGUCGACUCAAAAUACAUGUUAUAAUCUACAGGAUGGCAUUCCAUCCAUAGAGCAUUCUGAGAUGGGCCUCUAAAGAUGGUUUAAAGAUCAUUUUAACUCUUUUGGGCCAUCCACUGACCAGAUACAUGCCAGAAAUGGUGGAUUCCGUGGUUAUAGGCCAUGCCUGUACCUUAAUCACUGAAGUGGAUGUCUUGGUCUGAUGGUAGUAUUCAGUGGAAUAUCAUUGGGGGAUGGAAUGCUCUAAGACCUCAGAUAAAAGUACUGGCUAAGCCCCUGUGGGCAGAAAAUUCAUGUACUGGGAAUGUGUUUCCCUUACUAGAACCAGUCACUGGCCCUUCUAAGAUGACAAGAUCCCACUGGAGUGAACUUAAUAGCGAGUGGCCAGUUGGUUGGCUGCCAUGAAGACUAAGCAUGGAUCCCACUAGCUGGCAAGUGAUACGGAAGCAGUAGUAGCUAGAUCAGCACUAGCAAGAGCCCUUGCAGUUGUGACCAUGCAUGACCUUCAACUGCAACCAUGGCCCUUGUGCCCUCAGCCACCCUGUGCUGUCGGCAUGGACACGUGAACAAAGGCUGGAUGAUGUCAUCUAGCAAUGUUUAUCUACUUCAUUCUUUACGAUGACAUCUGCAGUAGAUGUCCUCUGGGCCUUAAUGUGUGAUAGAUUUUCCUACUUAGUGCUAACUCGUGUCCGCUGAUCUUCCACCUCAGACCUCCUUGCCCUGUCUUUCAAUCUUUUCUCUUUUGCAUCCCUGCCCAGUUGGCCAGGGUAUUUGCCACUGCCCAUGAAUGCAUAUAUAUUCUGACCUUGGGACACCCAGCUUUCCACACAAAGUAGAUGACCAAGACAAUUUUGGAAGUGCAGCCCAGUGGGAAGAUCUUUGUCAUUGUCUUUCCAAGCUACCCUUGACUGAAGCUCUGGGGCAGUGGGCCCCCCUUUUUAGGCUUGUACUCAUUGGAAAUUAAGUUUCUUUUACCUCCUUUAGUGAUCUUUAAUGGAUCCUAUGCCUGGGCAUGAGGCGGUGUAACAGCCACGUGGUAUAGCUUAAAUGUGUCUGGUCCUGCUCAUGCUAGUCCCAUGUGGGCAAUUUCCAAAGAAUAGGUUGCUAGGCCCAUCCAACCUUGUCUUGGUGGGUCUGAUGGAACCCAGCAGAUGUAAAGCUGUGGCUGCAUUAUCACUUGCUUUGUGGUUGAGCAUUCUCCCUCUAUGAAGGUCUAGUUGCAUGUUAGGCAUUGUUUUUACAAAAGGUAACUCUUCCUGGUCAUGCUUUGAGCCCCAGAAACGUGUGUGGACUCUGUGUAUUUUCCAGUUGGGGUAUUUCAUAGUGUCCACAGGGCAUUUUUUUUUUUAACUACCGAUAACCCUAAUAUCACAAUCUGGUAGGUUGUGUGGCCCAAGCUUUAGAUGAUCCCAGAGGCAGUUCUGGAAUUGAAAUUGCCUGAGUAGAAGUACAGGCUGAGAGAGCAUGGCUUUCAUAUACCUACACUGAUAGGGGCUGGACAAGAUCUAUCCCCAGAGGGAGUGACCUUGGGUAAAACAGCUUUCUGCAAAGAAAUACCUGGAAGAGCUGAUGACUGAAGACUGCAGGUGGCACUCCCAGCAGCUGGGACACUAAAGUCCUUCCUAGGUGUAGGGUCAGAUAAUGCCUCCGUUUUACAACCAUGAUCGGAACUUGCUAUGCUGCUGCCCUCUGUACGUGACAUCCUCUGAAUCACCAAUGAAAAAUCAUACCUGCAAUGACUGACCCAGGGGUAGAAGUUUGGAUGUGAAAGUUCAGAAUUUUUUUCUAGCUGUCUUGUUCCAGAGGGAAGAUGUUAAUUAAGUUUUUUUUUUUCCUCCGGUGCUAGAACAGGGCUGCUUUCUAGAGAUUCCCUUCCUUCAGUUUGAAUUGAUCACCUCUUCUAAAUCUAUAUUAACCUUGACGUUCUUCACAAAGAUAUAUAUAUAUUUGUGACAUCAGGAGCCUAAGAACAGAAGUCUUUGGAUCAUGGGUGACCUGGCUAGUGAAGUGGUGGCGUCCAUGUGUCCUGGGGCAGUAUCUCCAAAAACAACAGGGCUGAGCCUACCACAGAGGAGGAAAGUAAGCCAGGAAAACUCGUACAGCUGUCAGAGUUUUACAACCAAGUCCAUGGGAAAUCUGGAGGUGACAUGGUAAAAUACUUUCUCACUACUGUACACGGUGCUGCUUUUCUGUCACUCAGUUGCCGAAUGGUGUCUUUUUUCCUUUAAGAGUUGGACAUCUUGAAAAAUGAGUCUUUAAAUCAUGUACUGUAGACUGUGUUGUGAUGUACCAGGCGACUUUUAAGUCUGAUCAUACUUUAAGUAGACCUAAGCUUUUUGGUGGUGGCUUUACAUCAACCCUGGGGCUGUUACUAGUCCCUCACUUAAACCCUCGCUUACCCCCUCUGUUUCUCUGAGCCCAUGCUUGCUCACUAUAGAGGCUUUUGCAGUAGGUGUAGUAGCAUGAGACAGCUUUCUGGCAUUGGACAUUUUAAAAACCAAGAGCAAGAAUUGGGGCAUUUUUCUACUGAGUUAUUAAGAUUUUCAUGUGUUCUAGUUCUAUGUUGACUUUGGAGGAAAUAUUGGGAGAUACACAGACUUUGGUAGUUGCCAUUGUCUUCAGCUACUCUUACCUUUAAAAGCUGCUUUUAACGUAAGUGUGAAACACAACUUCAUAAUUUGGUAUGAACUUCCUCAUAUCACAAGACAAAAGACAUCUGAUCCACCUUACUAGGCCGUCAGUUCUGCUGGAAAUUUCCUGUAACACCUUUCUUCCUCUUUUAACACCCUUCUUCCUCAAAUAAGGCAGCUUCUAAGGCUUCAUAAUCCCCUGAGAACUUGGUCCAGCUAUCUCUGCUUCCACCUACUUGAGGGACAAGGACUGCCUAGGGUGAGCUUCCUGUUAGCAGGAGUGGCCAAGGGCUUCUUUUUGAAACAGUUGAAAGCUAUGGCCUCUCUGUAGCCACACUUCCUCUGCAGGAAUGACUUAACAGUGAAACUCAAGACUGGUUCUGUUUCUAAAAUUAUGUGGUAGGAACUUUUAAAGCAAAAGAAUCUGACUUUGUAGCAUGUUUAUUCUUUUGAUUUGCUAUAUGGUAAGGAGUUCAUGAUUGGGACUUGACAUUCCAAUUUAUCUGACUUAUAAGAACUUCCAGUUGUUAGAUCCAUUGAUUGCCUUAAAACCGACUGACAGCACCAAAUGACCAGGUUCUUAAUGGAGUUUAAUCGCACCCAACACUGAGUCUAUUGAUGGCUGCACUAAUGCUAAGUCUUGUUCAUCUCUUCCAUAUGGCUUCUCUUUGAGGUGGUUUCAUCUGAAAGACUUCCUCCUGAGGUCCCUUUGAAAUACCCCUUGACUAAGAUGACAAUGUCAGCUCCAUUGAAGUUUCAUGACUAAAACACAUACCAUGGUUAUUUCAUUGUGUAGUUCAGGAAUUGACUCCUUGUUUACCAGGCCUUGUUGACUCUUAAUACCCAAUGGUCUUCAGGUGUCCUUGAGGUCCAGACUCCCCAAAGAUAAAGAAGUCCUGUAUCCCCAAGUAGAUUUCAACUAGAGAAAAAUGCGUGUCCUGAGCAAUCUGGGUUCACUGAUCUCUGACCUAGAUCACUCUGGCAAAGGAUGUGAAGUCUGGAUUUCUCAGAGUAGGCUCUAUCACUUUUUAUUCUGUACCCUAAAACAUCUCACAAGUUUCCAAACCAGAAUCCAUAGCUGUUUAAACAUUUCCUGUUCACCUCAGGGGGCAAUCCAUGAGGUGUGUACAACCUUAUUUACCCUGGUACUACUUGGCGAGUUUCCAGUCAUGGUGUCCUUAAUCUCAAGAUCGGUCUGAUCUAUGAACAUAGACAAGAGUUUUUAAUUGUUUAACCAGUUUGCGGCUCCUGGGCUUAUGAACAGAUGAAGCAGGAUUAUUCUCAUCCAUAAUGAUGGAAGUGAGGAGAGACCUAAGACCUACAGGCAUCAUUGGUUUUGCAGGUGCAGGUUCCCCACAGGAGAUGGCCUGAAUGAGAAAAUCUGUGUUCCUCAGGGUCUGGGACAGUUGCUUACAACUUUAUGCCUUGUCAUAGAAAAUGGCUAUAGACGGAGAAAAGGCUUCCCCAGAGAGGGCAGUAUGAGAGACUGACACUUUCAUGAACAAAUGAGGAAAAAAUGACAGAAAACCACUAUUGAGGAAGGGGAGAUCAUUUUGAAAUCAUGUACUCCUGUGAAGGUCCACCAAAGUGAGAUAGGCUGUGGGUAUAGGGGACUAUUAGAUACAUAGGCACUCUAUGGCCCAGGAUGAAGUCUGGUUGUACAGGAGUGUGAAGCUUCCAGCUGGCAGUGGAUUACUUUCUUCUCUACACUCAGGAAUUCUGGGACUCCAGUAUUAGCCAGGGGCUAGUUGUUUAGGAGGGCAAUGGCUUUUAAAGGGCCUACUUGCUCCUCUUCACCACGAGGUUCUGUGAGCAUUGAACCUGGUAAGGAUGUCAUCCCUCUCAUUUCCUGAUGAAUUUUAAUAUUCUUAAAGUUACACUGGAAAGUAAUAGGAAGAUUAUAUCUAGUUCCUUGACAGUAUUUUUUUUUUACCCAUGAGAAAUCUCAAAAGUAUUUGAGAACUGAAUACCUUCCAAAGAGCUGUUUGCAAGUAAUUCCGAUGCUCAGCAUUUCCUAGCUAAAAUGACUUGGCCAUUCCUUUGGUGGGUGGUUUAGUUUGGCCAAUGAAUUGCAGAGAUAAACAUCCCUUGCUCUGCAGUGCCUCUUCAGCACAUGUUUAGGUGGCAAUCUUUAGAAGAUUAACACUUACCGUGGGUAAGCCUGUAUCAUUUUUGUGAGUCUUCAUUAAAAGUAGGCCAAGUGCUACAUCUGUGCAUUGGAUCUUAUAACUCAAGUAGUCAAAAAGUAGAAAUGAUCUUGCUGCAGAUGAAAUGACAGUUCUAUAGAAGUCUUAGGAAAAAGGGCAACAGAGCAGUUCUGAAGGACUGGUGUGUUAGGAGAGGUUUUUAGAUGUUAUACAAAAUGAAAAAGUGACAAUGCCACAUGUAGUUCCCCAAAAGUACCUUUUCAUCCAUGCAAAACUUCAAAAGUAUGAGACAAUACUUUCCAUCUUACUCUAAACGUUUCUAGAAGAUGUAUGCACAUAACUCGAACUUAGAUCUUAACAGUGAGCUAUCCCAUUACAGGGUUUUUGUAUGAAAUAUAGUCCAUUUUAACAACUUCAGAUAUUCUUCUCACGUGAUGUGAAAGUUUGAGCAUGAGUUCCUCUUCAAUAUCAGAUCAAAAUGGUCUCUUAUGGGAUCAGAUCAAAAGUAGACUUGUCCUUAUUCAGCGAGACUGAAUUCCAUGCUUAUGGCUGCUAAAACGUCUGGAGCAAAAACAUGCAAAUGGUACAAAGAAGUCAGUUGUCACUGUGAUAGGAAAGUGCCAAGGAGGUGUGAUGCCCUAGAAAUAAACUCCAGAAAGUGGUUUCAAAGGAAGGAAAGGGUCAAGUAAAACAAUAAAGCAAGGAUAGGACACCUGGCUUUAGCAGUGCUGAAGAGUUUGAGGUUAUAGGAAGAACUGAAGAGAAGAGACGGUGUAAUAAAUUUCAAAGUUAGGAUUGAAAUAAUCUUUAACAACGUCAUUGAGUAGUGCCACAGGGUGCAGUCUCAGGAUAUUUCUGAGACCUGCAGUGUAGACCCGAGUAGAACAUAAUGCUGCUGUUUUAAAUUCAUAAAUAACAUAAAAUCUGACAUAAGUGUCCCUGGAAUUCUCCCACAAUAUUUGUCAUACUCCAGAUGAUAACUGGGUCUUUAUCUUCUCGCUGGGACUACUCUGAAUCUCAUGCAACAUCAUGAGACCAUGAAUCCCAACAGGGCUUAGCAUGGAGGUGGAAAGUAUGUGCUGUGUUGAGGCCCACAUAAUAAGUUUUGUGGUGGGCACAGUGAUGUGCUGCCUAGAUCCCAUGUCAACAGUGGAAGGCUUGUUGCCUCCACCUCUGGAAAUGCUUUUAGCAGACAGCCUCAGAUGAUAACCCUCUAUUUGUGCUUGCCUCUGUUCAAAACGGGCAAUGACCCAUUAGCCAGCACCUACUCAGUGUGGAAAUAAGACAGCCUGGUCCUUCCACCCUAACUUUUGGAAGAACCUUAAAGGUCACACUACUUGACAGUGCCCUCCAGGGUUGGCUGAGGCCCUCACACUGCAUCUUAGCUCAACUAUUACCUCUGCCCAAUCUUGCUUGCUUCCCUUCCUCCACAGGUGAUCAUCCAGAAAGCAUGGCCUAAUAAACAUGCUGCAUGAGAAUAUCCAUCUCGGUCUGAUUCCUAGGGAACCUACCCUGUGGCAGCCUGCAUUCCUGCCACCUUGGUCCUGCCAGUGAGCAAGCAUGGGGUGGCUUGUGAGAGUCAGUCUCUGAUGUCAUCAAUCUUGGCUUAUGUCUCUAACAGCAUACUUGGUGACCACUCAUGAAAAUGCAUACAUUGAUGUGAUAAUUCACAUAUUUUUUAAUGCAAAGUAGACAAAUGUCCUGUCUGAACGCUUGCCCAUUGGGAGGGCUUCCCAUUCCCUUUCAGGCUCACUGUUGUAUGGGGCCGUGACUGUAACUCUCAAUUUCUUAGUAUUACAAGCAUACUCUGCAGGAUCCAUCUGUACCCAGGUUUGCACACUUCUUGAGUUAAUCAGAAACAUCCCUAAAGGCAGCAGGUGGGUUGAGAGUUGGCAAAGCAACAAAAUUUACCAUGGGAUUCUGAGCUGCUUGCUCAUGAGAUACACUGUGCCUCCCGGAGUUCAGAAUUGGUCUUUGUUAUUUCAUGAUGCACUAUCAUGAUGCCUAAUACUGUGACCUGAGCUGGCUGUCAUAAACUGGAUUUUACUUGAGCCACCAAGUCUCUCAGUCAUGUGGUUUCCUACAGUCAGCUUCAGUCUCUAGCAGAGCCCAGCAGCAAGCCAGAGACUUUUUCAGGAGAAUAGGACAUGGACUUAACCACAAUCUAGACAGCUAGGAUUUUCACGACUGUAAGGCUGCAGAUAGCGUAGACAACAGCAGUGUCUCUGAACAUGCGACACCAUAAGGCCCUAGUAGUAGGGCAGGCUGCAUCUGUGGUCAAUCCCACUCUUAUUCUGGGCUCCACUUCAUCUUGGCAACUUAUAUGUAACCUGGCAAGUGGGUCUGUUCAGUACACAAAUAGGGUCUCUGUUGCCUCCAAAGUCGAAAAUAUGCACUAAGUAUUGGGCCACCUACUUCCUGGUGAGUAGGUACAAAAUACAAUGUAGAAGAGAUGUUCUGAUGUACCCAGGCCACUGAGGCAGGCCUAACAUUUUGAAGGGUAGUUAUAUUCUAACUUGUGGUACUAACUUCAUGGCAGUGCAUUUGGCUGUCACCUAGGGUGCUUGCCUCUUUCUGUCCAAGUUUAACCAAACAAUGCCUUGAAUGUUAUGGAACAGUAUAGAAGGCCCUAGGAUAUCAAGACCAACACUUGUGGACUCCAUUGUGAUGGAGCAGGACAGUUGGUAUAACCAUGAACUUACUGAAGCUGUGUUGUUGGCCAUGCCAGGUGAAAGCAAACUAUGUUGAGGAACAUCAAACUAACCCUUCAUAUAGUCCCUUACCUUAUUCUGUCUUAUAACUUGUCGCCUGGAUUAUAACGGGUGAGUGAGGUUAAGAUUUCUCAGCAUUGUCUUAAAGGAUUGAGAAUCUUUCUCACUUGUGUUCCUUGGCUAUAUUUAGGAGGUACAAUAAGCAUCUACAUGUCUCUUUAACUCAGUGUUCUCUUGCACUAGCAAGGAUAAAUACAUCAAUGUCCUAGGUACACAUGUAAUGGACCAACUACAUGAAGUUCUAUCCAAUAUUAGGUCAACGUGUAGGUUCCUUUCAUUGACCUUUUUAAGUUGUGGUAAGAACACUUGUUCUACUCUAUCAACAAACUAAGUCCACAAUAGGAAUUAACUACAUAGUCACAAGUUCAGAUCUCUAGAACUUACAUGUAACUGGAACUUUUGAUGCUCAUUGAAUAGUUCCAUUGACUUCCAGUGGUUUCCGGACAUACCUCAUGGUAAAAUGGGAUCUAAGGGAAUUGGAAGGCCAUUGCCUGCUACAAACUACAGAACUUAUUGCUGAGUUUACUCUUGCCUCAGAAGGAGGAGCAGGCAUCUUUAGUGGGAGCUUCUUGUUGGUCCUGCUUUUGAGCAGGCAGUGGCUACCUGCAGCUUAGACUUCCUCUGGCAGAAUCAUGCAGAAACCGUAGCUGUGGAGCUAAGAAUCUGAACGCUGAUCCCAAAUUGUUUGUUCCAGAGGUUAUUGAUGAAUACCAGAUAAAGGAUUUUUCUGAAUCUCAAAAUGCCAGAAUGUCUCUUCCUAGAAGCUAGUAUAUAAUUAAGAUUUGGGUUUCCUGGUGAUUUUUUUUUUCCUGGUAUUUUCCUAUGAUUUGGUAUUCAUAGAAUUGGAUCCAUCUCUAUUAUCUUUUAGAAAUACUUUAUCUGGCAACCUAUGUAAUAUGAAUCUGAGUUAAUUUCUAUGACUUCUGAAAACUGAUCUGUUAAAACAUAUACAGAAACAUUGUCCCAGUGUAAGCCUGAGGGUCUUACCACCUCAGUGGAUGUGAAAUGUUGAUGGGUAGCAGCUGCCAGCAUCCUGUCCAGGAAUUCUAACGUGGGUUACUUGAGGGUAAACCAGUUUUGCCAAGACAAGUUAAUUUAGAUGGCUGAGUUUUUGUAGAUCUGAGUCAGAGCUUGAAUCUCUCAAUGAAGAUUUGAAAUGAGAUUCUGGAGAUGGUUACAGGACAGCUGUUAUUCUAGAACCUUCCAUCCUUAAUGUGCUGAUGAUGACGCUGUUGGUGAAGGAGAAUAUUGAGCAGCUUUGUAGCCAUGUAGGAGCACAGAUUUCAAGGAAGCAAUGGAAAAAUGCAGCUCUAUGGAGAGUAUGUCAUCAAUUUUUUCUUUUGAAACCAACUUUAUGUUCUAUGUAAAAAAAAAAAAAAAAAACUCCUCUGUUUCAAAACCUCUCUUCUGAGAUGCAAGAGAAAUGGAUAGCCUCUUGUCCACUAACUCUUAUUUCUCUGCCCAUCUUACGGUUCAUUUACUUUCUUGUACUUCAUUUAUGCUGCUACUACAAAAGUACCUUAGACUGGGUAACGUGCAAGAUCAAUUUUUCAGUUUUAGAGAUCAGGAAGUCCAAGAUGAAGGUGCCAGCAGACUUGGUGUCUGAGGGCUUGCUCUCUUCAAAGAUGGUGCCUUGUUGUUCGGUCCUCAUGUGUUGGUCUUCAUAUACAUAUGUAUCUUACCUGGUAGAAGAAACCGCCUCUCUCAAACCUCUUUUUUAUGGGCGCUAAUCCCAUCAUGAGGGCAGAGCCUAAUCACCUCCUAAAGGAUCCCUUAAUAUCCCAUUUGGGGUUAAGUUCUGGCAUCUGAAUUUCUCAGAAACACUUAGACCAAAACACUGUGGGACCCAGAACUGCUGUCAAAACAGCCCCCUGGGAGCAUGGGUCUCUUAUAGAAAUAGCUGUUUUUAUAGGUCACUAUGACAUUGUUUGGGCUCUGUCCCAAGUACCAGUUGGUCUCCUUGGAGCUCUCAAACAUAAACAUUCAUGAACAUAGGUUAUGGUCAUGAAUAUUCAAGGUGAUCCAUAGGUCAAAGUCUACAUUGGAAUGGUGAGACGUUUCAGUCAGAAAAAACUGUUAGUCAAGGUUCUCCAGUGACACCAAACCAAUAGAAUACAUGAGUUACAAAUAUUGGCCUAUGUAAUUAUGGGGGCCAAGAGGCCCAAAGACAUGCCAUUUACAAGCUGGAGUACCUGUAAAGCUGGUAGCGUAAUUUAGCCUGAGUCUGAAAACCUGAGCUGAAAGUGAACCUGCCACUCUGAGGCUGAGGGCUCAAGAACUAGGAGCUUCGAUUUUCAAAGGCAGAAAAUGCAUGUCAUGGCUCAAGAAUUCACCCUUCUGACUUCUUGUUCUGGUACAUGUCCAUAGAUGGAGCCUACUCCCCAGAACACGUUAAUACAGUGACAUUGUUCCAAACGUAGAUUUAAAACUAGAACAUGUCCCUUUUACACAUGCUUAAAAACAUCAGAGCUUUACAUGAAUUUCAGUUUGGGUUCAGUGAAAACAUCUGCCCCAUUUGAGCCUUUACAACUGCUAGUCUCUUUGAGUUCUGGCACUGUGAAUUGUAAUGGCUUGUCAUUUUUUGUCUUGGAUUUUAUUCUUCAGUACUUUUCCAUUUACAGUCUACAAACUUCUGCCAACAAACGAUGGAGGUUUGGCUGUUCAUCUGUUUACCUUUUGCCUCCCAUGGGAAGAACAGAGUGGCUGGUCAUAAUUCUGUUUGUAUCAAGGGUAUGUCUAAGACAUUUCUCAGCCUACCACUGCCCCAGCCCAUUUUGGACAGAUGUUCUCAUCCAUCCCUGUAUUCCAGGAGUAUGAUACUGACUUUCAUCCUGGCCAUAGAGGGCCCUAAGAAUGGGUGAGUUACUGCUCACUUAUAUUUAUGUGUAACACUUAAUGUCUGUAAAAUGCACUUAUCAGCAGUCCUCCUCCCACUCCUGCUCUCAUAGGAAAGAGAACCAGCAAAAGUGCCUAAUAGAACAUGUCCCAUGUCUGGUAGAUCCUCAAAGCAGCCCUUUCAAGUGAAAGGCUUCUAUUUUGUAGAGAGGAACCUUACCAGCCCAGAUACCAUGUUGGGAAAACCACCAGUCCUUUAUUGCUAUAUGUAACUGAAAGCAAUAGAAUUACAUGAAGACUAAAACCCUUCAUACUGAAUAUCAUGUGGUAAAUAACUCACAUUUAUUUUCAAGUUUGAUUCCAUCUAGCUGUGAUCUGCUCUUGAACCCCUCUAGUAAAUUUUAAAUGUGUUACAGUACUUCAAAUUCCAGAAUUUAUAUGGGGUUUUGAAAAACUCUAUUGGUAUUUUUAAGACGUUGUUCUCCAUUUCUUCAGUUCCUUUUGACAUGGUUUUCUUUACUUUGUAGGUAUCUAAAACAACUGAGUUUGGCUAGGCAGUCCAGCUGUUCUGGCUUGCUCAGGGACAGGGUCUAUCAACUACUUAGAACCUGUGUUAUCGGCCAUACUUUGCCAUUUCUUUUCAUGCCUCACUUUUUGUUACACUGUAUAACUGAAAUAAUUGACAACUCUGGAGUUAGAGAUUCCCCUGCCUGACUUGCAGGACUUGUUGCUGGCUGUUAAGUGAGUUCUCUAAUGCCAUGAUCUCUACACUUCAUGUGCGGCCACUGAAGCCUCUGCAUGGUUAUCUUGGUAGUCGAUGAUUUAGUAGAUAUUUCCUUCUUGGCCCAAUACUUUGAACCAAUAAGUCUCAGUUAUGACCGAAGGACUCUGUUGGGAUGCACCUUCAAUUUUCCCUUAGCCUUUUUCUGUGGAUCAAGUUCAGCUGGAGAUGAUACUGGAAGCUUCUCAGGUCUUUCCUGGGCGUGCACGUAGCCAUGCACAUGUACGUGGCCUUGGAAGGUCCCAGAAAUCUUAGAACUUUGCGAAGCUCCCUGUGAACAUCUCCUUUCAUGGUCUAUUUGGUCAGUCUCUCACUUCCCCCUAGUAAUAGUAAUACUGUCUUGAGCAUCUGAUGUUAAACAAUUGCUGCUGACUUAUUUUUGUUGACAAAGUGGGGAUUGGGCUGUUGCCAAUGAGUGUGCUCUAAGGUAAGUCAGCUAAAGACAACCUGAGAACAGGGCUGCUUCUGGAAGGUGCCAGACAAGUGAAACAAGUGUCUCUGUGGGGGAGCAAGGACUUUUUGAGGAGGUCCAAAUUGCCCCCAACAGUGGCUGGUAGGCGGCUUGUCAUCACGGCUAAUAUGGUUGUGAAACUUGGGAUUUCAAAGGUAGUAAAGAGCUGGGGAGAGUAAGAUUGGAGUAAGACAAGUUAAAAUGCCACAAACUUACUGCCCUAAGAUUGUUGAAAGUGCUUGGCUGAUAUCCAGAGUACUGAAAGUUUACUUUUGACAAUCUUGUCAGUGUCCUAAUAGCUUUUCUAUAGGGAGAGACUUGGGAGUUUCCUACUGCCAUUCUGGAAGUUCUAUAGGGUGAACACUUAUAAGGGGAAAUUCUUCCAAAGAUUUUUCUGCCUUAACUUGUGACCACAGGUCUGUGUACAUUGGAGUAUGUGAGAUGCACAUCAUCUGAGACUGUACUGGAUAUGGCUUAGGUAAAUGUUUUCUCAUCUGCCUCACAUUCCUUUUUGUCUAGAUAGGUUCCUUGUCACCCCAAAAUACUUGGUAUGGUGAAGGUAUUAUUCCACACAGCAGCCAUGGAAAAAAGGAACACUCCAAUUUAACUUCAGAUAAUAAACACUAAAUAUUGACUACAUAGAGAGUGGGUCGCCAAAGUCGUCUCCCCAAGGUUCCCUCACUUCUGGUCCUCACAUCUGAGGGACUCUCAAGGGCAAGAUCUUGAGAAUUAACAGAGCAAGUAAAGGACUGAAUGCAGAAAUCUUGAAACCAGAUGUAUCUUUCAAGUUCAUUUUUUACCUGGAUGCUGUUGGUAGAAGUCCCAGACAGACUGAGCGCUAGGCUUACCAUAGUCAACACUGAUAGCUCUUCCUGGAAGGAGGGGCUCAUCUGAGAGACAGGGAAAGAGAUCAAGUCUCAAUUGUAAAGCCAUCACUAUGGUAUCAACAGCUGGGCUUAACUGACUUUUUAGUGGGGCAGCAUCAUGAGCUAGAGCUAUCUAUAGUCAUUGAGAAUGCAACCAGUGGAUCUAGUAUAUCUCCUUAGUGAUGAUACCACAGUAUAUCUGGGGUGCCCCUAUGUGCUCCUGAUUGCCCCCACAGAAAGUCAGAUGAACUGAGCCUGGAUAGGUUUGCUCAAGGAUUUGAGGUUGCUGUUUAGUCCCAUGGGAUGAGAUUAGAAGUUGAGCUUGGUUCGUGGUUCAGUCCCAAUGUUUUUGAGAGAUCAGAGCUAUAAGCUAUGUGGUGGUCUUUAUGGUGGGCUGUUUUCUCUGCCUCUAGCUCCUAUCAAUGGAAUCUAGGCUGGUUCAGAGGGACAAACUUUGUGCCUGAGGCUGAGCAGCCUUCAGAGACUUUGGUUGAAAGUCCAAGUGCUGAUAAACAGAUUGAAGGAGAAGGAGCUUGUAGUGGGAUGCAGGGAACUGACAUGGUGCAGUCCUUUGCAACUGUGCCAGAAAAAUAAGUAGGCACGGGAAUGUGGCAUGAUAUGCCCUGCCUCUGCCAGGCUUGCCCAAUCAUUCCAGAAUGCCAGACAUCCUGGGUUCUUUUGAGGAGAAAGAAGUGGCUCUGUACCUACUACAGCAAGGCUACCCAGAAGCCACAGCCAAGUUCCCAGCUCCCAUCAUCUUGUCAUGGAGGCUUUUCUGGGAAGAGACUUUCUUAGAUGUCAUAUCCCAUUUGGCUUUGUUUCUCCAUUUCUGCUUCCCAGAAAUGUUGGCUAGAAUCAAGUGUCCCCAAACUGAUAAUGGGAGAAUAUUCUACUUUCAAUAAAUUGUUUUACUUUGUCUAAGUCUCAUUUCUUAAAACUCCACAAAAUGAGUGUUGAAAGAUCUAUAACUAGGUGUACCUUAGAUGUCAUGAGAUUUAAGUCCUAUGCUGGAAGAAGUCCCAACUCAUUUGUUCACUGGGACAAAAUGCCUGCCCAAGUUUUGGGUUUCUACACCUACUGUAUUAGAGUUCUCUAGAGGGACAGGAAUAAUAGGUUAGAUUUAUAUAUGAAAGGGAUUUUAUUAAGGAUAAUUGACUCACAUGAUCACAAGGUGAUGUCCCACAACAGGCCGUCUGCAAGCUGAGGAGCAAGGAAGCCAGUCCGAGUCCCAAAAUCUCAAAAGUAGGGAAGUCAACAGUGCAGUCUUCAGUCUGUGGCUGAAGGCAAACCACUAGUGUAGGUCCAAGAGUCGAAAAACUGAAGAACUUGGAGUCUCAUGUUUGAGGGCAGGAAGCAUGCACCACGGGAGAAAGAGAGGCUGGAAGACUCAGCCGGUCUGCCCUUUGCAUGCCUGCUUCUAUGCUGGCAGCUGAUUAGAUGGUGCCCACCCACACUUGAGGGUGGGUCUGCCUCUCCCACUUCACUGACUCAAAUGUUAAUCUCCUUUGGCAACACCAUCAGACACAUCUAGCAACAAUACUUUGCAUCCUUCAAUCAAGUUAACCCUCAAUGAUACCAUCACACCUAUAUAACUCAUGUCAGUUACUGCACUUGUGAUGGUAUACCCCUUCCUCUUAGCAAUCUACGUGCUCUUGAGGGAACAGUUCUGAUGUGUCACCCUAUCCUUAGGCUCACAUUCCUUGUAGGGACAUGUGGCUGCGAACGUGCUGUUUUUCCGUGGAAACCCCCCAUGGAUAAUCAUAAAGGAGAGAAUGACAUUUUCUUAAGCUCUACCUUGCUUUGCAAUCCUUGGUUAAGCCUCACCCACAUGUGUUGUAGAAACUGUCCUGAUCUCCCAAGGGUGGUGCUUCCAAAGCUAGUUUGCUUUUUCCCAAAGGAGGGUGUGAGCAUGGGGAGCAGUGGUGGCCACCAUCUGAGCUCCUGCUGGAUGACCUAUGUUGUCCUUUCAUCCUCAUCUGCCUGAUAAUGUCAUUCCUUUUGUCUUAAGUGUUCCUUCUGAGAACACUUGGGAUGAUCCAGCUGAAGUCUAAGAAUGGUCUAAUACUCACUUGUGUAUGAGCAACUUAGGCCUCGGUGGAGGGAGGUCUUUUGCCAUCUUGACUUCCCGUCUGUAGGCCUGGAAACGCUGCCUUCUCGUUUGAUCCUCCCAGUCAUAAGGAGGCAGCGUGAGAUGUGCCUGAAACCUUUCAACUGUGUUCCUGGCAGUGAUGAGCCCUUAGUGCACAGUGGACCUGACACAACACUUACCAAGGUGAAGGGUAUCCAAGGCUAUCUUGCUUUGACUCUGGCCACAAGUCUGAGGUAUGUGAUCCUCAUCUUGCCUGCCCUUGAUAGUGACAGCCUAAGUCAUCCUGACUUGUCUGAGACUCUUGUUCCUUAUGUUUCAAAUGCCCUUAUAAGGUAUUUUUAUCUGCAAGUAUUUGAGAUAGCUUAGUGAUGUUUCACCUCGUGGAUGUCCUGGAAGAGACAUGCACUCCAACUUAUGCUUGCAUAUGUCCCCAGGAUAGUGGGCCUGGACCACUAAGGUCUUCUUUCCAAGGCUCACAGACCAGGGCUCUCAGAUCUCAGCAACUUCAUUCUGCUUUUCUAUAGGAAGAUAUCCCAGUGAUGGUCUUCAUGAGCCAUGGGCUCACUAUCUUAAUGUGGUUGACACCUUCUGGAAUUGCCUGCCUUUGAUCUUUAUUCCAUUGGUUCUGGUUGCUUGGUCAGAAAAUGCCUUUUCAGAGAUGUACCUUGAAAAUAUACCAGUUUUUGAACCUGGCUAAAGUUUCAUUCACCUUGGUUGAGUAUCCGACACUUGAAGCUGAUGCUGGAUGCCCUCUUAAGCCAUGCUAUCUUAGGUGGGCAUACAGGAAAGGAUGUGUAAGAAGUGCAGAACUGAACGUGGGAGGAUUUAAAUCUGUCUCCUGCAUUUGCACCUUUCUCUUCUCCUUUGUCAUCAAUUGCCCUUCUGGUGAGUGGAACCCUCUGGAUGACACCUGAAUACCAGUCAGUUGAUUAGCAAACUGUUCUCAUAGGUUCCCUUAAAUUCCCCCUUGGCAUGUCUCUUUACAUCUUUAUAGGUUCUAAGGAUUAGGACAAUGGUGUCUGUGUGUGUCAAGAAUCUGCCUACUUACCACUGGCACUCUACAAGGAGGUGACUUUUCACACUUGUGUGAAUGUUUUAAUACAUAGCAACUGUUGAAUCUUACUACUGUGUACCUCCAUACAGCUUAAGGGAAAAUGACCUGAAGUCUGUAAUUUGUUAAACUUAAUUCUUAUUUCCUCCAGAAAUUGAGCUCUAAGAACAGUCCAUGUCUCACUCAUUUGAACAACAGAUACUUCCGAUCAUCCCUUCCCCAGUGAUGACAAUGGUGUUCUGGGCUUUGAUUUCUUUCUACCUCCAAAGCAUCUGAAAUCUUGAUCUUCAAAGUCAUAGUGACUCUUGGUCUCUGCAUUACUCUUCAUGCACACACUUCCUCAGCUUUCAGCACCAGAGGACACCUUGUGGCAAUGCAACUGCCUCUGAGAAGGGUGACUCCUCCUCACAGCACUUCCAGCAUAUAGCUUUUGCCUGAAAUCUGGUUCCCGACGAUGAGGAAUAGGUAGGACCAAGUCCUGCUCCACACCCAGGUCCACAUAAUUAGGUCAAUGCAUGAUGUGCACCUUCUCCUUGCAUUGGUUGUCUGUUGUUCUUGGUCCCUUGCCCUGACUUUUGUCACAUUCACAUCUCCAUGUAGUAAUGGAUGGUUGGAUGCAGAAGCUGGAUGUUUCUUGACUUGCACUUCAGAAUGAACCCUUUCUCUUGCCCUCCUUUGCACAUGCUGUCUCCCUUCUGCCAUGGGAUGACAUAGAAGAUGCUUGCCAUAUGUGGGUCCCUGGACCUUGGAAUUUCAGUUGUUGAAUUCCUAAUGCUAUGCUUUCUGCUAUAGUCCUUACUACUUGAGGGGGAAGAUGGUCCGAAGUCCUUACCACCACAUAGUUCUUGGGAGCUGCACUUCUGGUUUGUGCCUGUCCUGCUGGGCUGAUAACAAUUGUCCAGCCAUGAGAACUUCUAAUCAGACCAAGCAUACUAAGAAUUUAUUUUGGACAGAAUUAGCAAUACCCUUCUAUAUAAAGUUACUGCAAGAAUAUGGUGGCUAAAACACCUGUUCAUUUGGAAACCAGUGGUAACAUACGUCAGCAUCUCAUUAGGUCCAGAUGAGUCCUUGGUGCUCAGAGCCUCCUGGUGUAGAGUACUGCUCGGCUUCCAGUGAGCAGCUCUGCAGUGAAAGUGUAUGUGCUCAGGGCAUCCUUAAUGUUGCCACUGUUUCACGUUGCUCCAGACAUGCAGGAUAACUCCACCUGCAGCAGGCUAUGUUUGGCAGCCCAGUUCCAGAGAGUGAAUCAACUGAAGCUCCACUCCUUGCAGUUAUAAACCAAAAAGUAUGAGACAAUUCUCAGUCAACUUAGUUUAUUUUUCCAAGGUUACAAGACAUGCCCAGGAGGAAGAAACAGACUCACAGCCUCUGGUCUGUGCCAUUCUUGAAAGAGGAAAAGCGGGCUGGAGGGAGAAAGGUGAGGAUAUUGGUAAUCAAUACGUUGUAAGAGAAAAGGAGCAGGUAGGGGAUAGUCAAUGGCACAUCCCUCUUGGACUCAGUAAAUCAGCACUUUACAUAUGACAAGACAAAUACAGAAUAGGUACCUGUGUAGAGAUUUACCUUGUUAUCUCUAGCUAUCUGCUUUUAGGGACAAAAGGAAAGGCAGCUUUGUUCCCGGAACCAAGCUGGGUUCAGCUGCGUUUUCUCAUGGCCCAGUGAGAAGCAGACUGACUAGCAAAGACUGGAAUUUAUUGUUGUAACUGGCUACAGGGAGAAGGUUGGAGAUAAUUUCACCAGACCAACUCAGUGUUACAAUUUUCUCAGCGCUUGUAUAGGCUGGGGUUAUUUGCCUUCCUGCGGUAUGGCAUUCACCUAAUUCUAUGGGUAACUAAUUGUUUCAACUAGAAGGUCAGAGGCCAAAAAAACGCUUUCAAGUCUGAUCAAGCUGUGAGGGCCCCAGUACCUUCAAGGCCUGUCUCCCUAAAUUCUACUUAAUUGAGGACCUUGGUACCGGAGUGAUUAUUUCUAUUUUACCUCAUUUGCAGUUUGGUCCGGAGAGCUGCCUUAGACUCUCCAAUACAUCUAUUCACACAGCUGCCUCUGUUAACUUGACUCGUCUGAUGUCAUCGAGCCCAAGACAGGUCCUGGCAGAAGAAAUGUAAGGCUGUCUCCAUUAUGUUGACUUGCUCCUGGUUUGGGAGAAGCCUGUGUAGGGCAUAUGUUUCAUUUUUGGCUUUAAUACAUGGGCAUCCAUUUCCCUGGGUUUAAUUAGCUUUAUAUUAAAGCAGUGCUGUGGAAAUUUUUAACUGGGGUGUUAUACAGGCCUGUCUGCUGGUUGCACAGGCCCGUCCAUGUGGCGGUCAGGGAGAAUUGGCCUGCCACAGAAUCAUGCGUGACUUGGCUAUUGGCUUAAAUUUUUCUGGGGGGGGGGCAUAGCAAAUUGGGGUCCUGGGUUUUUAUUUUCCUUUCACAUAGCUUACCUACAUAGCUUACAGAGAGGCCGGUACCCAACCCACCCCCUGCUCAAUUCUAUCAGGACUUGGCAAAGUGCCUGUGCAUGAGAAGAGCUGAACAAACCCUUCUAUGACUAGAUAAGGAACAGCUGCCUUGUCACUAUCUGUGUUAGUCAGGGGUCACUAGAGGGACAGAACUAAUAGAUGUAUAUAUAAAGGGGAGUUUAUUAAGGAGCAUUACCUCCCACAAUUGCAAGGUCCCACAAUAGGCCCUCUGCAAGCUGAGGAGCAAGGAAGCCAGUCCAAGUCCCCAAGCUGAAGAACUUGGAGUCUGAUGUUUGAGGGUGGGAAGCAUCCAGCAUGGGAGAAAGAUAUAGCCUGGGAGGCUAACCCAGUUGAAUCUCUUCACAUUCCUCUGUCUGCUUUAUAUCCUGGCCAUGCUGGUAGCUGAUUAGAGGGUGCCCUUCCAGACUGAGGAUGGGUCUGCCUCUCCCAGUCCACUGCCUCAAAUGUUCAUGUUUUCUGGCAACACCCUUAUAGACACACCCAGAAACAAUACUUCGAAUUCUUCAAGUUGACACUCAGUUUUAACCAUCACAGUUAUCAUAAGCCUGGUACACUGGCCCCAAUCCUCUAUAUGACCUCUGCUCAUUGGGACUAUCCAAGGCUAAGGAGUACUAAGGAGAAUUGUCUCUUUGCCCAAAGACAUCAAGACUGAGGACAGUACUCACUGAUGCUUAGGAAUUGAUGUGUCUGCAGUGUUAACUGUGUAAUCUAAAUUUGCAUGGGGCUCUGUUUCUCUCCCUCUAGACUGUUGAGCAGAACAAAUUCUAUUGAACUGCUACUCACCUUGGAAGGAGCAGGUAUCUCCUUCUCGUGACACUUAAAUCUGCUCUUGCAGAUCCUCAGGUCAAUGCAGCAUCAUCAGCUCACCCAGAGGUAAAAGACUGAAUGCAGAAUGCAUUGAAUGCACCAAAUGCAGAGUGCUGGGAGCUUCUGCCUUUUCCUCUUCAUGGAUAAGAACUGAAUGUUCUUAUCCCAGAACAUCGAGAGAUAGUGGCAGUGGUCAUUGUCAACAUGAGUAUUAGUCUUGUUAUGUAGGAUAAUUUCGAUAUAAUUGUUGUACUUCUACCUUAAUAGCUGUAUAAUAUCCAGUAAGGGAGUUUCCAGGGUACUGAGGAUACCACGGGAAGGUUUUUCAUUGUAUACCUAAUUUCUUCCACAGAAAAUUGAAGUAAAGACCUACCUUUUGUGUAAGGUUUAAUAAUUCAUGCUUUGGUAUUCAUGUAUUCAUUGGAAACUUAGAUUGAACACUGGAUAAUACCCACAUCUUUAUUUGGUAAGGGUAAGAAGAUACGCAGCUGUUUUCCUUGAUCAUGCUUCCCAGGGAAAGAAUACUUCUGAGGCUUCUCAUAUGAAACUAAAGUGGCUUACUGGAUUUUUCUGAAAAGACUGAGAGAACAGAGUAUCUGUACAAUUUUGUUCCUGCUCUAACAAAUGACCACCAAGUUUUAAUCAAAUCUGUAUCUUCUCACAAGUUUGAAGCAGGUCUCAUUUGGGUAAGAUCAUGGUGAGGGCAGGGUUUGUUCCUGUCUUGUUGCUUUGACGACCAUUGGAUUCUGGACCUUCCCAUGUUUAUAGGUCCCUUCCAUUGCUUGACUUGUGGGCUGUUGGUUCAUGUGCAAUUUCAGGACCCUCUUUCAUGUCAAAUCAGCGUACAUUUUAAAUCACUUUCACCUUUGUUUCUGCUUCUCUUUGUCUAUAAUUGUUCUGACAGUGGAUCCUCCUGGAUAAGACCUGGAAUCUUAAAUUCAGGGCUAUGCAACCUUAUUUCAAUACAUUUCCUUGUCUCCUUAGACAUUCACAUAACAGGUUUACAGGUCCUAAACAUUAGGACAGAUAUAUUUUGGGAGGUUAUUCAUCUGCCUCCAUCUGGUACUUCGGGCUUUGAGAUCAUUUCUAACAGAGGAGGAGGAUCUGGUGACAAGGUGGAGAGAGCCAUCACUGAAGGGGUGGAACUACAGUGUUCACUGAUGGGAGUGUAGGGCACUCAAUGGUACUGGGGCCUCAGGAAGUACAUAAUGUGGAUAUCACAGAGUUGGAUUCUGGGGGCCAAGAGUCUCAUUUUGUUCUGCUUGUCUGCCAUGAUCAUUAUAGCUUUGUCCUACUUCUGAGGCAUCUAUCCCUUGUGGUGCUGAGAUGCGACUUUGCAUGAAAAAGUGGACGAAGAGGAUGAGGAUGCGGCCCAGGGCAGCCUAAUGACUGGAAUGUAACCACCAAGACACUCCAUUCCAUGGAAGUAGGAGCUCCAUGCCCACAAAAGCAGUGAGAUGACCAAUGGAACAGUUGGGAAUGGAUAACAAAAAAUACGGAGCUCUAUCCACAGAUGACCUGUUACUUUGAUCCUAUUUCCCUACAUAGUCCAAGGAUCUAAAAUGAGACCUAUCUUAUCUGCCAAAUCUUCCUUACGUGUCAUGAGUUGUUCCAAGGUGACUGUUGUGGAAGAUAAUGACAACCCACACCCCUGAGUACAGUGGAGGUUUAGGAGGUUUGGAUCUCCACGUUUAAGUACUGCCAAGUGUGUCCUCCUGUGUUUCAUUGCUACGUAUCUCACUGUGUUAGAAAUGGGAUCGAAGAUACUUUUUCACACUUGCUUGUGAAAGAGAUGCCUUUCUCCUUGAGCUGGUAAGAAGGGUAUGUAUCUAAUUUCAGGUUAUUAAUGUAACUUUUUGGUGAUAGGUAUCCAUUCUCCCUUCUGACAUUUUCCUGAGUUCCUCUGACUUGAGGGAGCCUAGCCAAUGUCAUGCUACUUCCUCUCAUGGAAGCUUUGCCAGCUUCUGUGGGGUCUGAGCCGCAUCACAUGGGGUAGUGCUGGAUACAACCUUGAUCAGUUUGACUCUUACCUGUCAGACAUUCCUGUUUGUGUCCCUAUUGUGUUCAUUUUCAUGCCAGAGUUUGGGAUGAUCCAGGUGAGGUUUCUUGCUCUACCUAUGGGCUCUGAUGGAGAUACUCCAUUUUAUCUGCAGGGAGGUUCCAGUGGGUGUGAAUGACAUGGGCAAUACUUACUGUGGGCCUGGCUCCCGGCAGUCGUCUUUCCCCACUGGCUCCCAUAUCCACAGUAUUGUCAAGUGUUCAGUGUUCUCUGUAAAGUCUUUGAGUAGCUGAGGUUAAGGACUUAGCAACAUAAAUGCUGUGAGUAGAUGUGACCCAUUGGUAGUUCUAAAACCACCCAAGGGGUUCACCUUGCCUGCUGCCAGACAGGGGAAUUGCAAUAGAGAAAAAGUAAUUCACACAGCAGACUGUGAGGGAGACUGGAAUUUUAUUACUCAAAUCGGUCUCCCCAAGCAUGAGGGGAGCAGAGUUUUUAAGGAUAACUUGGUGGAUGGGGGGGAAGCCAGUGAGCCAGAAGUGCUGAUUGGUCAGAGAAGAAAUCAUAGGGAGCCAAAGCUGUCAUCUUGUGCUGAGUCAGUUCCUGGGUAGGGGCCACAAGAUCAGAUGAGCCAGUUUAUUGAUCUGGGUGGUGCCAGCUGAUCCAUCAAGUACAGGGUCUGCAAAAUAUCUCAAGUACUGUUCUUAGGAGCAGUUUAGGGAGGGUCAGAAUCCUUGUAGCCUCCAAGACCGCUUGCAUUUCAGAAGCAAGAUGGAGUCAGUUAAGUUAGAUCUUUCACUGUGUCAUAACUUUGCAAAGGCGGUUUCAGUUCCAAUGUAACAGAGGAAGCCUUUCCCCUCUACUGACUUUAGGUUGUCUCUCUAUGGUACACUAAGGACAGGGUUGGUGCUCAGUUUCUAUAGUUAUUGAGCACUGGGACCCAUGAGUAGUGAGGUGACCUCUGCCUGUCCUGGACAAUCCCAUGGGUUGACAUGGUGCCAGAAUUGGGCCCGUGUACACUUUCUGAUACUUCUCCCUAGAGGUUACUGUGUAGUAUAACUGUUCCUCGAACAAGCUGGGUCUGGCUGCAUGUCUUCAUGACCCAAUAAUGAGAGGCAGACAAGGGAAUUUAUUGCUGUAACUGGGUACAGGAGAAGGUUGGAGAUAGUUUCACUAGACCAACUCAAAGUGUUAACAUUUUCUCAGUGCUUACAUAGGUUGGGGUUAUGUGCCUACGUGGGGUAUUGCAUUCGCCUAAGUCUAUAGGUAACAAAUUGUUUUACCUAGGUCAGAGGCCAAAAAAGUCUCCAAAUCGAAUCAAUUUAAGAGGGCCUCAGUACCAUCAAAGCCUGUAUCCUAAAUUUUAAUUAUUGAAGGUUGUGGUACUGAAGUGAUCCUUUCUAUCUUAUUUAUGAUUUCAUCCAGAGAUCUGCCUUAGACUCUCCAAUAAAUCUAUUCACACAGCUGCCUCUGUUACCUUGAUUCCUCUGAUUUCAUUGACCUGAGGGUGGGUCCUGGCAGAAAGAAUAUAAAGCUGUCUCCAUUAUCUUGACUUGCUCCAGGUUUGGCAGAAGCCUGAGUAAGAUGUAUGUUUCAGUUCUGGCUUUGAUGUCUGGGUAUCAACUUCCCUGGCUUUAAUUAUCAGUUUAAUGCUAAGGCAGUGCUGUGGAAAUUCAUCUGUGUAGCUGGGGUGCCAUGUGGACCUGUCUAUGUGACUGUGAGGGAGAAUUGGCCUGCCACAUGAUGAUUCAGGCUGUAAUUGUAACUGCAGCCGUUUUAGAGCAUUAAUCUGUCAUAAGAUUAGAGUUCUCACCCCUCUGAAUCUUUUUAUAUUAGAAUUGAUCUCCACUUCAACCACUCCGACAAUGAGACACUUAACCUUUUUAUAUUUAUCAAACUACUAGAAAGUAUCCUCAAAACAUUUACCACUAUGAUACAACUUUGUCACUGUUAAACAGUAUUCAGUGAUACGCAUUAGUGUGCACAAGGAGGACGUUAGUAGGACCACCAUGAUGGAUGCUGGGACUAGUGCAGGGUGUCUCAUGGGGAGAGAUCAGGUUCAACUUUGAACGCAGCACGUGCCAGUGGGAACUUACAGCUGAGAAGCAAUGUGGGGUCAAUGGAUGAAAAAUUACCAAUAGGAAUCCUCGGAGGUAAAAGGUAUUCAGGCUUCACAGAUCCAAAAGCAUUGCUAAAGACCAGCCAGAAAAAUGAGACAUCAUUUGAGGGGGAUGGGAGAAGAUGAGGAACAUGAACAGAUACCAACUCUGGGGACUUCCUGCUGAAGGAACUUAGUUCUUUGCUAAAACAAUAUAAUAAACUACACAGAAGGUUCAGAAGCUUGACUCCAGUUUGGUCAAUCCCAAGGAUCUUGAUCACUACCCAUAACUUCACUGUUAGGUUUUUUUGAAGGGAUAUUGGCAGCAUUACCCCAUUCUCAUACAUAACUGCUACCAAAACACCAGGGGUUUGGUCUAGGUCCUGCUGCUUGCAGCACAGAAAUCGAAUCAUUAAGACAGUAUUGCCAAGGAAGGCAGAUUUAUUCAGAUGCUACAGCUGAGGAGAUAGGAGAUAAAUCUCAAAUUCAUCUCCCUGACUAAAACUAGGUUUAUAUAGCAAUGAGGAAAUGUAACUGGGUAAAACAGGAACUUGAGAGAAGUAAGGAAGCACUCAUGGCUAAUUAGGGCGGCUGCAUAUCUCAUUGUCGGGAUACAGGGAUCCGGUAACUUUCAGUUCCUUGAUACUACUUGAAGCUUGAGGCGUCUCUUCAUGAGGAAGGAAUCUCAGAUAAAUGUAACUUUCAAGCUUUAAGGCCGGAAGGGUCAAUUUAUAUGUUGGCUCAAACUCAAUGGGACUAUUGGGUCUGUUUGAGAACCUCGACUAGAUGAGAUGUGGAGAACUUUCUUUAGAUUUGCCUUGGUGCCUUAAGCAGCUGUAUGUUUCUAGAAGUCCUCCUGAUUCAGAGAUAGCUUUUGUUGGCUCCACUUUACCUUCAACCCACCCGAGGUAGAAAAUCAGGAGAAGGUACAUUACCUGUUAGCUGAAGGCAGUUUGGGGAAGAGACCAGCUCCUUUUAAAUAAGCAUAGCAGUCCCUCACUGAAGCUGAACUCGUUGUAACCCUUACCCCCAGAACAUUGCAGACUAGCAUUCAGAAAUGUAUUCAUUAUCCCUCCUUGGAUUUGAGCUGCCUCUUAAAUUAAACACCUAUUAAACUGCAUAGGGAUGCCUGAUCCCUAAGCAGGGAUAUACAAGUUCAUGCAUAAAGUCUGCAUUGAUAUCUAAACUUAGUGGGGGCUGCAGAAGACUCUUCCUGGACUUACCUCAAAGGGUCAUGUCUUUAUUCAAGUUGAAUGAUGAAGAAUCAUCUGUGUGCUCUUUCACUUGGCUACAGUCAUGCAAUUUUAUUCUGCCCCAUAGGUUAGUUAAGUGGAAUUGAUGAGUGAUCUCCAGGUUUAUGCUCUUAAAAAGGAGGUAAGUUUUCUUCCCUCUGUCAUCCUGAUGGGACCAACAGCCCCCCGCCGAACUAUCUGGGAAUGUUAGAACAAAAGGGGAGGAGUAUGACUUUAAGGUUUUUCUUUAAAUUACUUCAAGUUUUGGGGUACAUGUGCAGAAAGUGUAGGUUUGUUACAUAGGUAUACACAUGCCAUGGUGGUUUGCUGCACCCAUCAACCCAUCUACAUGAGGUGUUUCUCCUAAUGCUAUCCCUCCCCUAGCCCCCCACCCCACAACAGGCCCCAGUGUGUGAUGUUCCCUUCCCUGUAUCCAUGUGUUCUUUGUUCAACUCCCACUUAUGAGUGAGAACAUGCAGUGUUUGUUUUUCUGUUCUUGUGUUUGUUUGCUGAGAAUGACGGUUUCAGCUUCAUCCGUGUCCCUGCAAAGGACACGAACUCAUGUUUUUACAGCUGCAUAGUAUUCCAUGAUGUAUAUGUGCCACAUUUUCUUUAGCCUAUCAUUGAUGGACAUUUGGGUUGGUUCCAAGUCUUUGCUACUGUGAACAGUGCUGCGAUAAACGUACGUGUGCAUGUGUCUUUAUAGAAUGAUUUAUAAUCCUUUGGGUAUAUACCCAGUAAUGGGAUUGCUGGUCAAAUGGUAUUCCCGGUUCUAGAUCCUUGAGGAAUUGCUACACUGUCUUCUGCAAUGGUUGAACUAAUUUAUACUCCCACCAACAGUAUAAAAGCGUUCCUGUUUCUCCACAUCCUCGCCAGCAUCUGUUGUCUCUUGACUUUUUAAUGAUGGCCACUCUAACUGGUGUGAGAUGGUAUUUCAUUGUGGUUUUGAUUUGCAUUUCUCUAAUGACCCAGUGAUGAGCUUUUUUUUUCAUGUUUGUUGGCUGCAUAAAUGUCUUUUGAGAAGUGUUCACAUCCUUUGCCCACUUUUUGAUGGGGUUGUUUUUCUUGUAAACUUAAGUUCUUUGUGGAUUCUGGAUAUUAUCUCUUUGUCAGAUGAAUAGAUUGCAAAAAUUUUCCCCCAUUCUGUAUGUUUCCUGUUCACUCUGAUGGUAGUUUCUUUUGCUGUGCAGAAGCUCUUUAGUUUAAUUAGAUCCCACUUGUCAAUUUGGGCAUUUGUUGCCAUUGCUUUUGGUGUUUUAGUCAUGCAGUCUUUGCCCAUGCCUAUGUCCUUAAUGGUAUUGCCUAGGAUUCCUUACACAAAAAUUAACUCAAGAUGGAUGAAAGACUUUGAUUCUUGAUGGCUCGUUCUAUAAGCAUCCAGUGGCAUGACACAUCCAGCAAAGGGAUACUUCUCCGUUCAUUGCCCUGAUCUACCAAUGAAGGAAGAAAAUGGUCCUGGAAUUGAAAAAGGGGUAGGUAACUUGGGUCUGUAACUCCCUAGAUGGAAGCCAUCUCAGUGGGUAUGCAUGAUGGUCCACCUAGAGUACAAUCCACAUGUGCUCAGUUGGAGUUCUUAGACAUCUACCACCCAGAAGGAAAGGAAGGUGACUCAGCCUUACCUGCAAGGGAGGUUUCUAGACUUCCAUAGAUGAGACAUGAGGGGGCAUCUGAUCUUUCCUGUGAUGCUGAAGUUCUCAUAUCUUUUAACUAAGAUCUAGCCACUGAGCCAAGUUUCUUAGAAGGCAUAUCUUUUUCUUACCAUAAAUGAUAGGAAGUGUCAAGGCAAAGUGUGGUGGGACAAGAUGAUGUCCCUUUGCUACAUUGAGUGGAAUAUACGCAGAGGUUUUAAUGUUCCCCUUGUGCAUGAAUAUCUCAAUUUCUGCAUUUUUGGGUAGAAAGAUGUUUAUUUCAUACAGAUGAAAUAUGAUUUCCACGUUAUUACAUAUGAUACUUGUGUUAAACUUUGGGUUUGUGAAAAGAUGUUACAAAAACCAUAAAGUGAUGCUCCUGUGAUGCUUAGAAGUGAAUUGGUUUCUGAUAGACAAUGGAGGAGUUCAGAGAACCACUCUGAUGAUAGAAAAUGGCAUCACUCCAUAUAUCAUGUGUUUCUGAGGGUGGGCCUUAGUCUUAGUAACAACCUGUGGUAGCAGUUUGAUAUCACUAAGUACUCAUGGACUAAUGGAUAAGCACAGACUGACUAGAAAGUCUCAAUACUAAGCAAUGAGGUGUCUGCUGCACUAGUGAUCCUUUAAUCCACGAAAUACUGGAGCCUCUUCUCCCUGGGACAUGCUAUGAAGAUGUAGGUGCUUGACAAAGAGCCCAAUUUAUGGAGGGGAUUUCAGCUGUUCACUCUGAGUUUCUUUUGCUGUGUGGAAGCCCUUUAGUUUAGAUCCCAUUUGUCAAUUUGGGCAUUUGUUGCCAAAUUGUUAAACUGGUGUUAAACAUGGGUCAACUGGUGCCAAGCCUGGACCAGCCAUGCAAGCAGCUCCUCCAGGAACUUCAACCUGUAAGUUGUCUCUGGCCCUCCAUGAGCCAGAGGUGUCCUGGAGGGGUUAUGUGCGUACAUGCGGUAUUGCAUUGGCAGGAGCUACAGCCUGCCCUUUUGCAGCUCCUAGCUAUAAGGAUGAAGAACUGGAUGAUCAAAGGGAUGUGGCUGGAGAAUCUGGUUCCUGCCCCCCUGGUGGUAGGGGAUCAGAUGCUGAAGAUUUUAGCCAUGGGGGAGAGUGUCCCCUUUGCAUUGCUUCGGAUGUGCAGGAUGAUGAUCCCAUUGCCUGUCAUAGGCUAACCUCUGAGCAUCCAUGUUGGAGACUGAAUUUGCUGUUGGCUGAACUCCCUGUUCUUGCAGGCCGCCUGCACUGAGUCCUGUACUCAACCCACCCUCUGACCUUCAAUUCUGUCAGACUUGAGUUACUUGUGCAUGAAGAGAGCUGAAAACAAAACCCCUCCUGUAUGACUAGACCAGGAGGAGCUGCUUUGAGUAACCCCUGCUUACUGUGGGUAUAGAAGGCUAAAAAGCACUGAGGAAAUGUGAUUUAUUCUUAGUAGACCCCACAGGAGGAGGAGACCACUCCCUAAUUGUCUGAGAAGUGAUGUAUCCUCAAUAUUAACUGUGUAACCUGUAUCCUCAUGGAGCUUGUCACUCUUCCCCUUGGAUUGUUAGAUCUUGAACUCUCCUAAAUCACCUUUCCACCUGUAAGGAUCUAGUAGUUCCUCAUAGUGACAGUUAAGUCUGUUCUGGCAGUUUCUCAGAGGUUGGUAGAGCUCCUUGGAAACACACCCAGAGGUGGUGAUGAACUGAAUAAUGAAAGCAUGGUGCUGGAUUCUUCUGCUUUUAUUUUGAUGCCUUGGGGGUACCACCCAUGGUUCUUGCCCUAUAGAAGACCUGCUGGCAGCACUCAUCAUGGCCACACAGCACCACCUCUGGGCAAGAAGGGCUCAGUCUCCAAUGCAGAGCAGGAUUCUGAAAUCCUAGCCUUUGCCACGGUUCAGAGUGCAGAACCUGCCAGGUGCCUCUGGGCACAGGUGUGAGCCCCAGAGCUCUUCUAUGAGAUGGAAGCAGGUGCUGAUCUUGUGCUUUCCAGGUCUGAGCCCCUUGACACUGGUACUUCCCCACUUGCUUAAUUUGAGGAGGUCAUUAAGAGCCAAUAGGGUAGAGAAUGUUCAGAGCUGUUUGUCAGGAAGAGUGUGCUGUCACUCUGUCUCACGGGGGAGUGAUGUUGACCUGCAGCUCAUGAACAGCCCCAGUGCUCCACUGUGAGUUGUGGAAAAGCAAUAAAUGUGUCCAGGUCUGAGUCGAUUGCAUUGCUUGUGCAUAUGAUCGGUGUAUAUUUAUCUGAAUUAGUGGUAAAACCAGAAUAUUUUUGGGAAACGUUUUUAAUUGCAUAGAGAAAAAUUCUGAAUAUUCUAUACAUUCUGCUUAAGUUGCAAUCUUGAGUAUUCCAUGGCAUUUCUCACUACACAUUUGAAACAUAAACUCAACACUCUUUAACAUCUCUAAGUUGUGAUGCUAAGUAGAGAAGCCACUAUUCACUACUUUUUUCCAUGAUUAGAAUUACACAGACUAGGAGACCCAACAUUUGAAAUAAAAAGUAAACCUCUAUCACCUAGUCUGUUUUUCUAAAUGUAAAACCUGAGAAAUCUUGAAAUGGGCACUAAUUUCCUCUUGCUGCUAUAACCAGUGGUUAUGUGAUAUUUUUACCCACACUUGGAUUUGUUUUGAACACUUCUAGUUUAUCUCCCUGUGUAUUAUGUUCUAGAAGACUGGAGUUGUCAGUCCUGAGAAGGAAUGGCGGAGAGGAGACUGCAUUCCUAUAAUGUAAGGGUAGAAGAGUUGCAUGAUUCAGACUGAGAAAGUUGAUUGCCCUACGGGUCAGUAAGCUAGGGACAUAAGUUCUAUACACUAAGUUACGAGGUUCAGGCAAAGUGACAUCCAGCCUUCAGGAUCUUGUUCCCUGACUCUACUGCUGUGAGUGGUCAAUGGGAUGUCCUGCUGUACUUGGGAAGAAAAUCUAGUGCUCCUUUGCAGAGAACCGUGCACAGUUUCUGGUGCCUGUCGGUGUGUAGAGAACAUCUUCUAGUCUAUAACACAAUAUACUGUGUGGCUUGUUUUCCCCCCAACCAUUUUUGAAAGUGACUCUCCAAUGGGAUGUGUUCCCUCUCCCCAUCUUAGGUUUUAAGGACGACCUGAAUCUUGACCUCAACUAGUUGCACAACUAAGUAGUUACUGCCAGUGAUGAGCCUCAUUUUGUUUUCCAUUUUGAUGUAGCUGCUCUGCCCCUCUGGUUAUAGAUGCGCUCUUCUGUGUCGAAAAGAACUGACACCAUACCGAUGUCUCAUGAAGAUCACUCCCCUCAAUAGGACAUGGAAGAUUUUGUUGAUAGUCCAGGUGGCUGGCCCUAAUGGCUGGAUGCUCUAGAAUUCCUUCCUGUCAGAGACAUCUUGUGAUACCAGCACCCACCCUGCCUCCCAAACUGAACGAAAAAUAACAUAGAUGAAAAGAGGAGUCUUUUUAGAAGGCCGUAUUUGUGAAGAGAACUGUUCUGUCUUCACGCAUACAGCAAACCCCCACUAAAGUGAAAAAUGAAUGGUGUAUUAGUUCAUUUUCACACUGCUAUAAAGAAAUGCCUGAGAAUGGAUAAUUUAUAAAAGGAAGAUUAAUUACAGUUUAGCAUGGCUGGGGAGGCCUCAGGAAACUUAGAAUCAUGGUGGAAGGAGAAGCAAAGAACCACCUUCACCUGGUGGCAGGAGAGAGAAGCAUGAGGAGAGAAGGGGAAGAGUCUCUUAAAAAACCAUCAGAUCUCAUGAGAACUCAUUAUCGGGAGAAUAGCAUGAGGGAAACCACCCCCAUGAUCCAAUCGCCUCCCAGCAAGUCUUGCCCUCAACACCUGGGGAUUAAAAUUCAAGAUGAGAUUUUGGUGGAGACACAGCCAAACCAUAUCAUGUGGUACAUUUUUGAAAUCAUAGCAGAGUAGUCUAAGUGAAUCCUUAAAAUUCAGCCAUGACUGCAAGAAGAAUGAUGGGUGGGUGCUGUCCUAAGAUGCCUCUUUGCUCAUCUGGCCUCUACUGCCUUGUACAGGGGAGAGGGUGAAGAGGGUCACUGACCUGUGAAGUGGGCAGCAGAGAAGAAGCCAGUAUUUCUGAAUUUUCCACUAACGGGGUCACACUUCCUUGUAGGUUAAUUCAAUUAAAUAAGAUGUGUCUGCUAUAUUGGAUAAGCUAUGGCCACAUUACUUCUUGAUGAAGUAUAUGCAGAAGUCACGUCUGACCUUUCAGGGUCGUGCCUUUAAAUGGGUGAGGCUUCCCCUCCCUGUUAAUUUUAUAAGGUGUAAGCUUAAGUUAAAAUUGACCUUCACGAUCUUGUUCCAGAUGUACUGCUUAUGACUGCUCAACUUAAAUACUUUUGUACACUGAAGAUGAAGAGUGAAUUGUCUUUUGUAGGAAACCCUGUACGUUUCCUGGUUCAUGUCAGUGGGUAGAGGUCAUCCUCUAUUUUGAAAAGUUAAUUUCUGCUGGAACCGUUUUUCCAGAGCAUAACUCCAAUGAGACUUCUUAUCUUCCUCCAUCUUAGAUUGUUGGAGGAUCUGAACCUUGAUCCCUAGUAGGGGGGAAAUUGACCAUCUGUCUAGCAACACCAGAGUGGAAUGAAUGCUGAGGUCUUAGUUUUCUUUCUGUAAAUAUUUUAAUAUCAUUUAAUACACUGACACUAAUGAGUAAUAGUCUUCACUGUCUUACUGUUUUGGGAAAAGACCUAAACUUCUCACUCCUCCAAAAGACUAAAUUGCUCAUGUGCAGGUGAUACUGACAGCUUGUACAAUUUUGAAAGGACCAUAGAUGGUGUUUAAAAAAAAAUGGUAACUUUAAUUCUGCCUUCUAUAUUUCAACUUCAGCUUCAUGGAUUAUAGUGACCCAUGAGAACUCCUUCCCCUUGGGGUCUUCCGAGGCCUGAAUCAGAAGGAAAUGAGAUGUAUUUGAAAUCAUCUGUGUGGCCUUGUAGAUCUAAUCAGAGGUGUGGGGUUGAACUGGACACUGCCCUGACCCACCAAGGCUUCCAAGGCUGUCUCCCAUGCCCACAGAAGUCUAUGUGGGUUUUCUGCUUCUCAUUCUGUGAACCUGUGUAGUAGGUUGCCCUUUAGCUUGUGUGUCUCGUGGUCUUAUUGUGUUGAAAUGAGUUCAUUCCUGUCAAAGUAUUUCAGGUUGUCCAGGGAGGUUUUGUACCUUGCUGAUGCUCUGGAAGAAAUUUCUGCUUCAAUUUGCCCUGCAAAUAUCCAUAAGACGAUUUAGGUGAAUUUAGGCCAUGCAGGUUUUCUUCCCAUAGCUUUCACACACUGGGUUCUCAGAUGUGGACUUUGUAGUCUGCUCUCCACAUUUCUGUGAGUGUGCUGAGCUUCAAAUCACUGAUGAGCUGGACUCGGGAAUAUGGAGAAAGGGAGAGGCUAUGCUGCUGUGUAGAAGCUCAAAACUACUCCAGAGGGGUUUUAGGGCUCUUAUUCAUGUAUCUCAAUGGACUGAGAUUGGUCCUAAUCCAUGGCUUCCCAAACCCAUUGUACCUGCUCUAGACCUUGCCUUGAUCCAUCAAUAUUUAGUUACAAGGGCCUCUCUUCUAUACUCUGGGUGGGUCAGCAGCUUUGUAGAGGCAGCUUUGAGUAAAACAUACAUGUGUACCAAUCUGAGGUUGCUGCUUCUCUGAAUAUACUGUGAUACAUUUGCAUUUCUCCAGUCCCACUCCUGUGCUGCUGGAACGGUCUGUCAGGAUGAUGUACCUUAGGGAAGAGGCCCUGCAUUGGACUUGUGCUUGAAGCCAGAAACACGUAGUUUCUUUCCUGCUCUGUUUACAGCUGAUCUUCUGACGCUGGGCUCUGUCGGGAAUGUCUGUAGAGCUUGCAGUGACUUGUAGCUCAGCUGGAGAUGUGGUGCACUGGCUAUGUUAGGUCCUGUUUCCUUGUGGGAUCUGGUGAGUUUGAUUACUGUUCUGGCUUUGUUCAUUUGUUAAAUCCGAGUGGGAAAAUUAUUUAGGCACUGUCCUAGUAACCUCAGCGAUUGGCUCUUUUUUUCUGUAACUGUUUAUUUCCUCCUUGGGCCAUUCAGACCGUCGAGUCUCCUAAAUGUCAGUAUACUUUGUAAAGUAGGUGUUUCCAUGCUGCAAGACUUAAAUCUGUUCUGGAAACUUCAGGGAAACUCUGUGGUUGGAGUAGAGGCUUCAUAAUUCACCCUGAGGAAGAAAAUGAUAGUAUGAAUAAUCAGUACUAUCCACAGACUUUAUGAUAGAAUGUUUGAUUCAUAGCAAACAUAUUGAAAGAGAAGCUUACAGCUCUAUGGUCAACAAUUGCUCCUUCUCCGGCCAGAAAAGGCUCAGGAUUCUUCAAUCCAUGGAACAGAAAUCUGAAAUCAUUCCCAUCAGCAUGUCUUAAUGCAGGGCCUGCCUGGCUACUGCAGGGUAAGAGCAUGAGCCGGAGCACUCUUGUAAUGUGGAAGCAGCUGCUGGUCUUGGGCUUCGAGGUUUAGUUCCUUUCAAAUUCAUACUUAAAAAUACUUUCUGGUGGAGGUGGUCAGGAAACUCGAACAAUGGGUGCUGCUAGGGAAGGGUUGAGGUGGGAACUGUCUGGAAUACACCUUACUGUGUCUGGAGGUGAGAAACAGUCUUUCUCUGCUGGCAGCUGUGCUGACCUCAGCUCAUGAGACGUCAGCUUCAACUCUUUGUGGUCCCCUCUGAAGCAUGGGGCCAGUCAGAACAGCAAGCCUUUCUGGGCUGAGGAUGUUGAAUGCAUGCAAUGGUCUUGGUCAAUGCAGUUGGCUCCUCAGGAAAAACUGGUGUUUUUCAGAGGCCUUUUUGGGUCAGCUACCAGCCUCUUCAUUGCUUUCGGGCAGUUCUUGUGUAUCUUGCUAAGAUCUAGGAAUGGGGGGAUACCCCCAGCCUGUCAAGAAGAUAAUCUGGUCGGGGUUGUUGAUGUGGGAGAAAGGAAGUGCCCCUCCCAUCAGCUCAUAAAAUGAGAUGCCAUAGGCAUUGACAUGGGACUGGAAGCUGAGUGGGUUUUUACCCUUCGUUCAGAUCGCCUCUGGGGCCAUUGCCUGUGGGUUUCCUUAAUCUGCUGAGAAUCACUUCGGUGUGACUUCACUGUUGCCAAACCAAAAUGUCUCUAGUUCACACCAUGAGGCCUUCAUGGAGAAAUAUGUUGGAUUUUAUGUCUCUGUGGAUGAUCUUCUCUGCAUGCCAACUAGUCCCUUCCCUGAGCUGUCUACCAGGCAAUGUCAAUUAGCUGGAAUGUCUGAAACUUGGUCUCCUGGACAUGCAGGUAGCUGUAGAGGCUGCCUUCACAGCACUGGGUCACAAUGCCAGGUUGUCCUGUGUCAUGAACCCCAACAAGAGCAGAAUGUCCACAUGUCCUACACUGCUCAGGACAGCCACCUCAUCUCUGAAGGCCUGGAACUGCUCUGGGGGUCAGGUUGACAACCUUGGAGGAUCUUGACUGCAUUGCCUCUGCCACUUAACCUGAAACAGUUCUGAUAGAGCCUGACCUGAUCUAAGCAGAGCGUGCCACUAUAUGGGCUUGUAUUUCCCCAGAAGAACAUGGAUCUGUCCAUGAGGUCUAACGUUUUUUUCUCCUGGAUCCCAGAGCUCAGUGACUUUCCUUGUGUGCUGGCACAGGGGUUUGGGUUGUGGACCAGCUCACUGGGCUGAGGUGGCUGGAACCACUGGGGUAGGGCUGUGAAGGGAAGGCAGAUUGACUGUGACUUGGUGUUGCAUCCUCAAUCAUCCUCCUGUCCACAGGUGUGGUGAUGCUGAUCACGUGGACAUGAAGCGUAGAUGUUGACCCCUCUCUCUGGGAGAGGAAACCUUCAGAGGGGCUGAAGGAAUUGAAUAUGAAAGCAUGAGGUGUAGAAUGUCUGUUGGGAGCUAACAGGCAUCCAGGAAAGACUGUCACGUAUGAUACAUUGUCAAAGAAGGUAGUGCUGGGACCUCACUGUAGCCAGUUUGGAAAUGAAUUGUCCGAUAUUACUCCAGCCCACGUGCCUAGUGGGUACUUUAGUGCUAUAGUGCUCAUGAAACUUGUAGCCACGAGCAUGAUGCUGAAAUCCACUUAGCAGGAAUUUCUGAUGUUACAAAAGGUAAACUUCAGGAGUGUCUUCUGAGCAAAGUUGUGUGUUGUAAGGGGAACAUGACUCAGGAAAUCUACCUGAAGCUCUUCCCCCAUCAGGCAGCAUCAGUAUUCCAAUAUAAAUGCCUUUUUACCCUCGUGUCCAUUAAGUCUGAACACAGCACUGUGGUUGCAGCCUCUCACCUUGAGUGCUUUCACGAGGCAGCCACAUGAGCUCCUUCUGCUUUGCACACUGACCACUGUUCUUUGCUUAUUGGCAAGAAAACAGUGCUGCCUGCCUUAGAAGAAUCUGAAUUUGCUGUCGUCUGAUGCCUGGUGCUGAUAGAUAAAUGGUUGAACAAUUGUAAGGCAGAUGUAGCUAGAGCCAUAAAACUCCAAGGCUUAGAAUACAGAACCCUUGCUGCUUGUUCUUCAAGCUCCAUGUGUGCUCCAUUGACACUGUUGAAACUAUUAAACCUGAAGGAGCCAGGCUAUACCAAGUGUCCUGUUGCCUGAGGGCAGCUUUUCCUCCAUUCCUUCUCUCCACCAUAUUGGGGAGAAGGAGGCAGUUAGAUUUGGUUUCAAGCCCAGAGGACAGGCCCCUAGGCAGCCCCAGUAUCUCGGUACUGGAGCUCCCUGCCUCAGGGCGCAGGACCUAAGGCCCAGCCAACUGACUUCCUGACCUUGAGCUUAGUGAAGAAACCUUCCUCAUACUUUCCUGAGGCUAGAAGCUUCUGAUCCUCACUCCUGUGAUAUCCACUGCCUCUUGCUUUUCAUUGCCACGUGCCCCACUCUUCCAUUACAGAGAAAUGGGACUUGAAAUUUUUUCUUCUAUAGGUAGUUUUGUAAGGGAUGCUUCUUGUCAUUCUCUGAGCUGGUAAGAAGUAUGUGUACCUUGUCUUACUUGGACGAUUAAUGUCCUAUUUAUGAAAGGACUUGGUUCUCUGCAGAUAUCACUUUAUCACGAUUUGAGGGAGCUUAGCCAGUGUCACACUGCUUCCUCUAGUGGAAGCAGGUGCCAAUCACACUGGCCUGGGCUUUGCCUACUUCUGCCAUUGUUUGAUCACUGCCAUCUGGGCCACUGAUGGAUACAAACUAGGUCACCUUUUGACCUUUGACAGACUCCUUAUGGAUGCAUAAGGAGGUCGUUUUAAAUCCAGAGAUUAGGAUGGUCCAGUGAGAUUUGUCACCACCUAUGUGUUCUGGUGGAGAUUUUUACCCCAAGGGGGAUUUCAUAGCAUGAGUACCAUUGAUGGUGGACAUGGGUUAUCAUGGUCUUUUCCUCUGGCUCCCACAUCCAUGGUUCUCAGACCUCAAGAUUUCAGUCUUCUCUGUGGGGUCCCUUUUGAGUGGUGAAAACCUAAGGUCAAGGACCUGGCAACAUGUGAAUGCUGUUGCCACUGGCAGUUCCGAUAUCUGGCAAGCAUUUCCCUUCUGUCCUGAUCAUAGGUUGAGCUUCAGACAUGGUUUCCAGAAGAUUGACAUAGGUUUAUCCUCUUUAGGGAACAUCCCUGCUUUUCCUUCCUGUGGUGAAAUUGGUGAGUUGAGGGAUUUGUCCAACUAGGAGAACUCCUUGAUACUUUAUUAUGCUGCAGAAGGAUGGCACAUAGCCUUCUAGUUUCCUGACAAUCACGGGACAUGUGACUAUGACAGAUGUUGCAUGUCAUUGUAACUUUCAUGAGUGGGUAGUUGCCAUAUGUGCUGCCCCCCCUUCUUUGAAAGCCAUGGGUUCCAUCUGAAAUUGUUAUACUUAAUUCCUAAGUCCUGCUGGAGGAAAGAUUUGUCUACAAAUGAAAAUAAUAUUUAACACUGCCUGUCAUUGUGAGCAUCUGAAGUUGCUUCAAGAUUGACUCAGGAAUUCAACACUGGAUAUUUCUGAUCUGUGUUAGUUCUCAGAAAUUACGAAGUCCUGAACUUCAGAGAAUUCUGGAUCAAUGUGUACAUUCCAGUUAGUAGGGAUGAUGGAUGAUACUAAUGGAAGUUAUUUUAAAAAUAACAGAACUAUUGCAUUGCCUUCUGCAAGCCUUAUUGACUUCUGGAGUGAGACCUACUGUGGCAUCAGCAAGUCCCAUUGCUUGUUUCUCAUAAGUUAGAAAGAUGAGCUGUUCCAGUGGCAGAGUCUCUGAACCACAUGUCCAUGAUCAUGGAUGUAUCCUGAAUCAAAAUGUCUGAGCAUCUUUUUUUUCCAUAGUGCACUUGACUACUAAAAUGAGAGGAAUGAGUGACGAACACAUCAGCCCCUUGUUCCUCCACAUAUUAGCCUCCCCUUUUCUGUGCUUUUGGGUGUAGGAACUUUCUUCCUUAUCUUCAAGCUAUUUUUAACCCAUUUAUCUCAUAUUUUAAUAAGUACCAUAUCUUAAGCUGAAUGCUUUCAUGGAUAUUUUGACUUCAUGUUCUUGUUCUGGCCACCAUCUGCUGCUUUGUCUUCGAAGUUAUCAACUGUCUUGAACUUAAUUUCCUUCUUGCUCUAUAAGUUUAGUUUUCUGAAAAUGACUGUGUACCUUAGGUGACUACCUUAUCCUGUGAGUUCUUGUAGUGGCUUUCUUGCCUGAACUUAUAAACUGAUAGAGGGGCUUUAUUGAGAAACAGUUGUUUUUUUAAACUGGCUGAAGUGACCUCCAUCCGUGUUGAAGGUCAUUAUGUACUGAACCUGGAUAUCCUCUGAAGCUGUGACAUCUGUUGUUCAAAUUGCCCUGAGGAUGCUAAGACCUAAAUGCUAGGGGACAAGAGCUGGAACCCCACUUCUAUACAUCUUCAUUGGAUGGCUUAGGCACGACUAGAAAUGAGAUAGGCAGAGAGUGCUUCCAUGGGCAACAGUGCACCUUCUGUGGGCAGACAGGUGGAGGCUGGAAACAUGGGGCACAAUGCUGAAACCAUCAUUCUGCAGUGGCACUGUCAGAUGAGCUAACCUUUGGCCCAAACUUUGAGCCAGUGAAGAGUUCUAGGUGGAACACACAGCUGUUCUUUUCGUCUGGUCUCUAGCCUCUUUGUUUUUCUGGGAAGAAGGCUAAGAAGUCCUGGGGAAUGGCUAUGAGAAAAUAAACCUUGGGCUAGUUUUGUGACCAACUUACUGUUGGUCAGUAGAGUUGCCAGAAGGUGCAAACCCUUCCUCCUGCACUUAGGAACUACAUGACAAUCAGACCUCGCUGGCCAGCUGUGGAGCCCUGAGGACUUGCAUAUCUGUUUGUCUUGAGAGUAAAGCUGGUGAGGAUUCAAUCAUCAGACUUGGUGGGGCUACUUCAUCCUCAGCAAUGACUCCAUUGUAGUUUACACCUUUUAGGUGAUAGAAAAUUUCAUACCACAGCAAAAGCAGAUUGUCUUCAGUACCUUUGUCUACCAGAUGAGUCUGUCAAUGUGACUAAUGCUACAUGUGUCAGGGUCUACCUCCUGAGAAGUGGUUAAUGCCUCUGUAGCAGCAGGCUGAUUGCCCAUAAACCACUCAGGUUGUUGUAUUAAGGUGGCCUGUUAGGUGUGUGGGGAUCUGAUGUGCACAUUCAUCAGCUCAUGACUAUCUCCUACCAAUUCCUGGUGAUGACAUUCUGGGCUUUAUUGACUUGCUUUCUACUUCCAAAGCAUCUGACAUCUCAUGUUUAAAGUCCUGGUGAGUGACCUUGCUUCUCUGCUCAUAUCUGUGUACAAGUUUUUUCAGUUCCAACACCAGCAGACAUUGUGUGACAAGACCAUGCAUCCUGGAAGAGCCACUCUCCCCAUAGCUUUCAGAAUGGGGCUCUUGCAUGAGAUCUGGUCUUUGACGGUGAAAGUGGGGAAGUUCACAUUUUUAUGCCUGGAGUCUAUGGGGAGUCGAUGAGGUCAGUGCAGGCAUGUACCUUCUCUACCUCCUGGCUCUACAGGCGGUUCUUCAUUUCAGUGUCCCCAUUGUUCUCAGCCUUAUUGGCAUCUCCAUUUGGUAAUAGAAGGUUGGUUAGAAAAGGUGAAUCACCUUUUGAGAUUCCCUUCUGGAUGAACUAUCCUCUAGUAAAUCUGGUGAGAAGGCAACCUGUAAACUGAGUUGGCUUAGUUCCCAGGAAUGGGCCUGUGAAGACUGAUGCACAUGGUUUGUCCCUCCAACUCCUUGUUAAUGUCUUAUCUGCUGAUGCUGGCCACUGCCUGGAAUGUCUUCAGAACCCAGAGUGAAUCUCUCCUGCCUGGCUGGGAUGUGGUUGUGUUGUAGUGGGUCCUGUCUGUACACGGGUUCUGGUGUGUUUAAUCAUGCUUCUGGCCCUGUUGAAUUGGUAAACCCCAGAGUAGGGAAAUAACUUGGGUACUCUGCUAGGUGCCCCAGUGAAUGAAUCUUUCUGUCCCUUUGGACUGUUCAGAACAUGGACUAAAGUCUUAGUACACCUUGUAAUGUGUGGGUAUUUCCACGUAGUGACAGAUUAAAUCUGCUCUGGGAACUUCCCUGAAAACUUGCACAGUGCCAUGGCUUAGAAAAUUCCCCUAACGAUGAGAAGAAUGUUUCCAGAAUGAAUAGUAAUCACCCCAGACUUCAUGAUAGGACAUUAUUACCAUAAGUACCCAAAAAGAAGAGAUGCUUCUAGCUCCAUAGUCAACAAGGCAGCUUCUCUGGGCAGCAGGUGCUCAAUCUGAGGGGCAUGAUUCUAAAAUCCUUUCCAUCCCCUUGUUGUCUGAAUGUUUGGUCUGCCUGGUCCCUCCAGGGUAAAAGCCACAUGAACCAGAGCUGUGACAUGGAAGCAGCUGCUGGUCUUGCUUCCCAGGUCUUAGCCUUUCAGAUUUGUACUGGCAGAUGCCUUCUGGUGGAGGUGGUCAGAAACCAGAACAAUGGCUGCCACUAGGGGGGAGGGUUGAGGAGGUUCAGAGCCGUCUGUGGAAAGGCUUGACUUGGGGGUAUGUGCAGGUGAGAAAUGUCCUGCCUCUUGCAUCUGUGCUGACCACAGCUCAUGAGAGGCAGGGACUUCGUGGUCCCCUGUGAACUGUGAGGCAGCAUCACUGGCCUGGAAUGAGGAUGUUGCAAAUGCUUCUAGUGGCCUGAGUCAGUGCAAUGGGCUCUUCAGGGAAGAUGAAAAUUGUGAGUUUUCCCAUCUUUGUUGGCUGGAAUGAUUUGGAUGUGAUUGUAUUUCUACCUUUUGGUGGAUAGAACCAAGUAAACAGUCUUCUGGGCCCAGAGAAUACCUUGUAGAUUUCAGUUGUACACUUAGUUCCUAAAGCCUUCACUUGUGUACUCGGCAGUUCUGUGGAGGUUAUAGUCAAAGCAUUUUCUGAAAUCUGAGAAGGAGCCAGACCAUGUCAUCUAUGUGCUUCAUGACAACUGACUCUUCCAGUGUUUUGCUUUGCUGUUCUAUGAUAGUCUUGAAUAUCCUGUGAUUCCUAAGUCCUGACAACUUUCAUAACAUUAAUCCUCAAAUUCCUAUAUUUUUCUACAAAAAAACCUUUGAUCUUCCUAAACGUUUUCAAUCACAGCACUCCAUUUGCAGAACCCAUUAUAGAGAUUGCUAAACAGAUGGUAUUUUCUCCACUAAGGUUUCCUCCCCUUGCACUAAAGCCAACAUGUCCUGAUCACAUGUACUAACUUAUCCUAGAGAAGGUUUCUAGGAUAAAGCAUUAAGUCACUCUUCCAAAAACACGGUCCAUUAUCCCCAUCAAGGAGUUCACUGUGGGAGCAGACUGCUGCUGGCCUCAGAACGUUGCUGGUCCUGUUUCCUCCAUUCAUGUAGCAUCUGGGGACUAAUGAAAGUGCUCUGUUCUGGAUCAUCCCAUAAACCCAUCAUUGAGGUCUCAGGCUAAACUGUCCAUUUUCUGGCUCUUACCUUUGGCUGUUGCUGAGCAACUAGGGUAGGUGAGCACCCAAAGUGGUGGUGUACCAACUAUACCUCUUAAAGCAUGAGCUGCUCUUGAGACUUCAUUUCUCACUCCAUUUUCAGAUUAUUCAAGGAGCCCUUUCUUGUGGCCUAAACCACUCCUACAAUGACAAGUUAGCACUAGUGAUUAAUCAUUAGCUGCUUUCUCACUUUUCCACCACUUGCUCUUACUGAAGUGCUUCGGUGACAUUACCAUUGUCUUGCUGGGGUCUUCCACGAAAUAGGACUUAGGGAUGUGUAUGACUUAGCUAUUCUGUUUGUGGAAUCUUUCUUCAGACACAGCUCAUGAUAAGCACUUUCCUUUUCCAUGUUCUUAUGAGUAAAAUGAGAGGAUAAUUCUUUGCAGAACAGUAUUCUGAAUGAGACCAGUAUCUCCUUCACGUUGGCAUAACAAUCCCAUCCUGAAUCUCCAGCUGAGAACUUGACAACUGGAAAGUGCUAAUAAGACAAAUAGCAAACAUGAGCAAUAGUCAAGUUCUUGAGGCUUAAAUCCUUACCUCUGCCUGUUACCGGGAUUACUAUGUAAAAUCUUUUGAGGCCACCAUUAACCUCUAACAAUUAAAUAAGAAACACUCUGCUCCUAAGUCUAUUGGUAAAUUUUACCAGAAUGAGGCUCUGUCUGAGCUGGCAGUUGAGGCAUGCUCAGCUUGGGACAGGAGCCCAUGUACAUGCUUUGUUUCCUCCUAGGCACAAAGCAGCUGUAGCUGCAGCCCUAGGGCCUUGGCAGUUUCCCACUGUCCAUUUAGUGUAGACAUUGGAAGUGGGGGCAUUGUUCAAAUAAAGGGUUAUAAGUGAUACUGACAAAAUGUUCUUGGCAUAUACUGUAUGACAACACUGGCUGGAAUCUUAUCAUUUGGCCAUUGAAGGGUUGGGCCUUAACUGUAUCUCUUUUGAAAAGGUUUGUGUUAGAAUUUGCCAGAUAUGGCCUGCACCACUGCUGGGUGCCACCUCGCAGAACUGCUGCAUAAAUCAUGCCCUGCUCCAUUCUCCCCUCACCUGCCACCCAUCAGCUGUAGGCCAAUGCAAUUUUCCCUUUGCACUUCAAGUUGUACGUGAGAUGUCCAAGGGCGUAGCAACAUUAUGAGGAUUGUGUGCAUCCACUCAAAACACGAUAGAUGCACAUCUGUUUUCUGCUUGGAUUUGUCUGGCUGCCUUUAGUUAACCUUUCUAGUGCAGUUUGCUCCAGGAGAAGACUGGAGUUGUCCACGCUGAAGAGGGAUGGCAGAGAGGAACUCGAAUUCCUGCAACUUGGGGAUGGAUGAGUCUUCAUGAUUCAACCUGAAAGCUGAUUGCCUUGUGGUCAGUACACUGGGGACAGAAGUUCUGCUUUGGGUUGUGAGGUAGAGCCUUGAGUGGCAUUUCAUCUUCAGGAUCUUGGCCUUGACUCUGCUGCUAUGACUGGUCAACAUGUUUUGACACUCAGGUUGGAAAGUGAAUGCUCCCUUGUAGGGAACCCUGUACACGUUAUAGUUCAUGUCAGUGUAUAGAUGUUAUCCUCUAGUUCGAAAGACAACCAUGAAUUUCUACCAAAACCGUAUUUUAAAGCAUGAUUCCCAAGUGGGACUAGUUUAUCUCUCCCUUAUCUUAGAUUUUUGGAGGACCUCCCUCUUUGACCCAAACUUGUCAGUUAGGAGUCAGCACUCAGGAUGAGGCUUACAUUUUCUUUCCUAUUUUGAUGUAGUUGCUUACUCAUGCCACACUACAGGCUCCCUGUAGUGUGCUACUGGAAUGGCCUUGGCACGCGACAUGUGUCUUAUGAGAAUCCCCCCCUAACUAUGACAUGGAGAAUUUUAUGCAGGUAGUCCAGGCUGCUGGCCCUAAGAGAUAGACAUUCUUAGAACUUUCUUCUAAGAGUUGAUGAUAGCACCACCCACCCCAGCGUCACCCAGGCCAGGGCUAGUUCUAGUGGAAGCUGCCGCCAAGUAUGCUUGGCUUUGGCUUUGCCCACUUCUGUGGCUUGAUAAUUCCAUGAUCUGGGACACUGCUGGAUAUGACCCAGGUCAUUGAGUCUUGCUUGCCCAGUGUGUUUGUUGCUUGUGAGUCCAUAUGGGGGAUCAUAUAAAAGCCAGAGUUUGGGAUGAUACAGAUGAGGUUUCUCAUCACCAGAUAGUUCUGGUGGACCUGUUCAAUCUUACCUAGGGAAGACAUAUUGGAUGUGGAUCAUAUGGGCAUUAUUGACUGGGGCCCUGGGUCACCAUCAGGGAUUUGACAGAAAGAGCAUAAGGACAAAUAACUAACGCCUGUGGGGCCCAACACCUACGCGACGGGUGGAUAGGUGCAUCAGACUACCAUGGCACACAUUCACCCAUGGAACAAACCUGCAUGUCCUGCACAUGUAUCCCAGAACUAGCUGUAUGGCUACUAUCUCCUCACUCAUGUUCCAGGGCUCUUUCCUUUGCCUCCAAAAAGGUCACCAGGUCCAGCAUGGAGAUGGCAAGACCCAGAGAGACCAUGUUUUUGUAGUCCUCUAUUGUUACUUGACUAUGCAAAGCCUGCUGAGAAGGGUUCCAGGUAUUUCCAUUCCUCCAGAGAAUUCUAUGACCCCAUCCCUGAAUGUCAACAGUUUCUGUCAGUUUGAGCUUCUUGACCUGUGUACAUGUUCUUCACUCAAGUAUCAGGAAACUGGAGCAACUCCCAUUUGAACAUAUCGGGAGAUUCCUUCCCACUGUGGGCCUCAGAUACAUUUUGUUUUGCAGGUUCUUGCACUACCUUACUGGGAUGGGUUGUUUUCCUUUGGAAAAAAUUUCUUCACAAAUCUGAAAAAAUCCAGAGGGUGGGAAUCAUCUCUGCCUUUCCUCAAUAUCAGCAUCUGAUUUGCUGAUAACCAAUGUGUCAUUUCCCAGCUUCCAGGAUGUCCUGGCAACUUAGCUAUGCAUCUCCCAGGACCUGCAGAUCACAGGGCAACAGAGGCUGUGAUAAAAUCACCGGGAGCUCCUGAGGUGUGGAGGACAUGGAACAGGAGAAAUGGAUCCCAAGAUCUCCUGAAAUUCUUUUCCACCAACCCAUUGCUUUUGUACCAGAACAAAAGUGGUUUGUCAGUUGCCAUGGCAAACACCGAGGCUUAGGUGACACACAACAGAUUGUGUCUCUUAGGACUAAAAAUGUCAGAAGCCUGAGUUUUCCCCAAAGCACAGUCCCAAUGCCAUAAUGCGGGGAGCGUUCAGAGUGGCAGGUGCUUCCUGUCAAGCAUGGGGAGGGCAGGGCUGCUCCUUGCUCUUUCUGCAGAUGUGUGGAGCACCUGGGACCCAGGAGCAGUGAGAUGACCUCGGCUCAUCCUGGAGAAUCCCAAGUGCCAACAUACACGGCAUCAGAAUUUGAACCUUUUAAAUUUGCUGGUACAUUUUCUCAGGGGUUACUUACGAGUACUGUGGUUAAUUUCUGCUGUAAUCAUUUUUGAGCAUUAAUCCAUCCCAGGAGUAGAGUUGUUGCAUGUGAAAGGGGCUGCCAUCUCUACCUCUGCACCUCACACUGUUAGAAACUUGACUGUAUUAAAUUUUAGUAUCUUUAAAUUGCCUUUAAAAUGUCUGUAAAAUACUCUUAAUAUGAUAUAGCGUGUUCGUAUUUUAACAAGUACUAUAUCUUAAGCUGAAUAUUCCAAGUGUGUUAUGACUUCAUAUUCUUGGUCUGGCCACUGUCUGCCAUUUUCUUUGAGGUUAUUGAUAAGAGAGGCUACACUAUUAUUCAUUAGCGCUCAUGGAAGCACAGUAAGAAACACUUUGUACGUGAUCAUUGAGAUAGGUAAGGGACUGAUGCAACCAGGUUUUGUAAUAGAAUGGGCUCAAAUCUGAACACAGUAUAGACAAGUGGGAAUUGAUAGCCAAGUAGUAUUGGGUCAGACUGUGAUGAAAUAUCAAAAGGUAAGAGGUUUGCAAAGCAGACUUAGGGUUCUUUGCUAAAACUGGAUUUUACAAGGACGUACACAGAUGGGCCUAAAAAGAUUUGGUCUGACUCCAGUUGGCCAAGGAAAGAAUCUUGAUCACUCUACCUGCUGUUCAAUUUUUGAAGAAUAGUUGUCUUUACCACUGUCUCUUCUGAUAUUUCCAAUAGACGGGAUGCAGAGAACUUUGUCCUUAGGUUUGGGUUGAUGGUCAUAAGCAGCUGUACCUUUCUAGAGCUCUUCCUCACAGACAGCUUAUGAUGGUUCUACCUCUUCCACUUAGAAUUAGGUGGAGGUUGAUGAGAAUAGGUAAACAGCCUCUUCGCUGAAUGCACUUUUGGGAAGUGAACACAGCUGCUGCUUAAAAGCACAGAAAUUCCUCAGGCUGAAAUGAUGGUUAUGAUCUUUACCCCCAAAGCACUGCAGCCUGGCUCUGAGUAAUGUACUCAAUAUCGGGAGGUCUGCAAGGAGGGAGGGCAGGUGUGGGGUGUGUGUCCAUCCUUGGAGUUCUGCUCAAGCUGCCUUUUUAUUAAAAUGGGGAUGCCUGAUCCGGACAAUGUCGGUCCUGAUAGCUGAUCUUCAGAAAGAGUGGCAGUAGGAGACUGUUCUCGAACUUACCCUGAAGUCGGUCAUGGUAGCUCUGUCUACUCAAGUGGAAUCCUGGGAAACAUCUGUCUGGUCUACUUCACUUAGCUGUAGUUAACUAAUUUCAUUCUGUCCCACAGGUCAUAAGUGAAAGCGACGCGUGAACUUUGGGAUCAUGUCCUUAAAAAUGUGACCCUCCUCUUCUCCACUGUCCUCUUUAUGACUGAGUCCCUCCUCUCUGGGAAUAGUAGGACCUCAGAGGAGGAAUGUGAUGUAUGAACCUCCUUGAGGGCACCUGUGUAAGAUAAAAGUACUGGUGGGGUAUGACGUUCCAGCAAAGAGUACUCUCCCAUUAAAGUAGGCCUGGGGUUUGGUAAAUGGGUCUGUAGGCCUCAGGUCGAGGAAGAUUCAGUGGGUAUGCAUGUUCCUACAGAGCACCCAUUCCCUUGUACCUGGUUGUACAGCCUUCCGACAUGUUCCAUGCCAAAGGAAUGGAAGAAGGCAGCUCAGUUGGCUUGAAAACAACCUCACCUGGGAGAGGCAUCUAUGCCUGCCCAGACAGAAAGAUUGGGUGAUGUUCCCCUUCCUGAGAUGUUGUAGCGGCUUUAUUGCUGCCUUUUUAAGUAAGAUCUCGGCACUCUGACCAAGGUUUCCUGGGAGGCAUCUUUGUUUCUUUGUUAUGCAAACAAUGGGAUAUGAAGCCAAAAUAUUAUGGGUCAAAUCUCAACCAUAUCUCUUGUAUACAUUGAGUGGAAUAUUCCAGAGGGCUUCAAUUUCCUUUCCUGGAGAACUGUUUAAAUAUUUGCCAAUGACUCAUUGCAUUAUCCUUGGUGUUGUAGGUGUGAGUUUGUUACAAAUGGGUAAGAUAUGGCUCCUAAAAGCAUUCACGCACGUGGAACUGAUGCCUAUAAAACACUGGAUAUGUGAAAAGAUGUUAUAAAGGCCAGUAAAAUCACCUUCUGUGAUACUUAGCAAUGAGUUUCUGACAAUAGAAGCAGAGAGCUGAGGAUAGGAAGAACGCUGAGGUAUUCCUUUAUGAGUACAAGGGUCUGAGCAUAAUCUCCACCUCUAUAAGCCAGGUCACUGGAAUUUUUCUCCUCCAGAUGAGCUAACUGCCUUUUGCUGAGAUGUUACUGCCUGAAAAACCAGUGAGGGUGAAGGUGUGGCCCCAGGCAGCCCAUUCAUUCCAAUCAAAUGUCAGACCACCUGGAUGUCUUUAGGUGAAGGAUGGGCUCAGUGCCUCCUGAAGCAUUGAGAAUAAUGAGUGCAAUAACUGAGUAAGUCAACAGUCAACUGAGGCUAACUUGAACUGAAGGUUUCAUCAUUUGAAAUCUUGGUUUCUCACCCCAAAACAGGUGAGAUUGUGUACUGAAGUAUUUAAAAUAGGCUUAUGUAAUUUGCCAGAUCUCCCUUUCAUGUUAAUGGAUAGUUCUAAGAUGACUAUGGAAGAUAUUCACAAUUGUCACUCUUCCUUUGAGCAACAUGGACGUUAGAAAGUUUUGGUCUCUGCACCUGGCAUUCUAUCACCACUGAUACUCAGGCUCUGGUCAUUGAUUAACAUUACUCUUGGAUUCGGCAAACUUUGUUUCUUCCAUGCCCUCACCUGUGUACCAGUGCAGGAAGGCCUUGUACGAGAAAAUAGCACUAAAUUGCUGAGAUACACGUGAACUGCUCUAAGAUGCUUGAGUAUUGUACUGUUCAUCACCUGCUGCUUUUCAUUGGCAUACACCUCACUACAUGUUAGGGGAGGAAAUGGUAUGUGAAAUAUUUUGUGCACAUGUAGUUGAUUGAGGGAUGCUUUUCUCUAUCCUCUGAGCUCAUAGGAAAGGUGUGCAUCUCAUUUUAAUUGGACCAUUAAUGCUUCUUCUAUUGAAAGUACUUCUCACCUCUGUCACUUCCUUGAGCUCCCAUAAUGGGAGGGAGCCUUGCCAAUGUCACAUUGCUUCAUAGAGUGGAAGUUGAUGCCAGAUGUGUUUGGCUUGGCUUUGCCCACUUCCAUGGUGUAUGUUGGACCCCCAUGCUGGAUACAACCUAAGUCAUCCUCUGACCCUGGGCUGUGGACAUUGUGUGUCCGUAUCAGGGACACUUCUAAGCCUGGGAUUGGGAUGGUCUUUUGCUUGUUCCCACACAGCAUGAAAAUGCUUUAAUAGAGGUUAUAAUACAUAGCAAGAAUAGCAAGUGCACACGCAGACAUCAUAGAACACACUGUAGGUGAAUAAAGAAUUGAUACUCAUCAUCAGGCACCUGUCUUACAGGUGGGAUGGAAGGUGGCACAGAGUGAGCCAGCAUAGAGCCUCAUCAGAAAAGAAGAGCACUAGGCUUUCCCCAGAUAGUGUCAGGGGCUCUGUUCUCUUGUGAUCCUGAAGGGUUACAAUACUGCUUUUCAGCUAAACAGUAUCUCCCCACUCUGAGGAAAGCUUCCUUUCAGGCAAGCUUGUCUGUUUCAUCCUGUUAUAAAAAUGGUGGGAAACAUAAUGGAAGCAGGAGGAAUAAGUCUCUCCUGCCUACAUUAGGGUAAAAUAAAGGCUGAGGUCUUAGGCUUCUGUUCAUGUGACUGUUUUAAUGUCUGUUGAUAUUUCCAACAGUAUGCUCAUCCCUGCACUUCUCAGUGGGAGGAUAAUCUAAAUGGUACAACUUCUUACCAGCUACCUUUCUCCUAAGUGUCUAAAAACUGGCUUACUCGAGUGUGAAUAUUGUGUAAAAAUGAUUAAUCUGUCCUCAAUAUGCCAAAUCUUCAGCCCAUGGAUUGUAGUGAAACCUGACUGGCUUUGCACCGGAUCUUCUGUGGAUGAAAUUGGAAGUUUGGGAUGUGUCUGAAACCAUCUAUCUGUGUUCCCUACAAGGCUAAUGAGAGGGACAGGGCUGGACUGGACACUGCACUGUGACCCUCCAAGGGAAAGAAUUUGCAGGCUGUCUUUUACCCUUAGUGUGGUAUACGUGGGUUUUGUGGUCCUCUUCCCACCAGCCCCUAAUGGCGGAGAUAAUAGGUUGUCUUCCUUCUUGGCUCCCUGAUGCUCUUACUCUUUAUUCGCCAAAAUGGGCUUAUUUCUACUAGAAAGCAUUUGAGAUCAUCCGUCUUCCACCAUCCAGAUAUUCUUGGAAUUCGAGCUUGUUUAUCUCUGGAAACAUCUUUUGAGUGGUGACUCCAUGGACAGUGUUCCCUGUAAGCCUGGAUCUUCCCCCGAGGCCAGCACAACCUGGGCUCUCAUAUGAUUUUUAGUCUACAGGGCAUCAUCUUCCAAAACUUGUCUUCGUGAGUCAUGGGACCAGUAUCUUUAGAUAGUAGUAGCUUUAGAGACACUUGUUGAUCUGUGGGUUUUGUCUGACGGGUUUAGGGUUUGUCUGAGAAUACAUUUUAGGAGCAUGUGCUUCACGCAGAGUGUAUCAGAUCCCGGUCCUGGAUGAAAGGGCAUCCACCUGGGUUGGCUAUUAUCCAUAGUGCCUGGCAGAUAGGUGGUUUCCUACACUUGGGCAUAUUUCUGCUUGAAUCUUCAAAUAGGAAGUGCAAGGCUGAAGGCAGAUGGUUUGCAGCCAGCUGCCUCCUGAGCUUUCCUUAUUGACACCUUAGGUACCUCUUAGAGAUGUGACAGCUGCAGACAGGGUGAGGACAGGGCACAGCAUGGCCAGCAGCAGCAUGGUCUCUGGGCAGACAGGGCCCAUCUGGAGACUGGAGCAGAAUUUUGAAUCUAUUCCAGUCUCUCCCAGUGUCACCCUGCCAGAGAUUCACUGACCCUAUCAGGUAUGGGCAACAGCACAGGGGUGUUAGCAUGGUGGAAACUGUUCUUCCCGCCUUCCUGGUCUUAACUCUUUCCUAGCUACUGUUUUGUGUUGAUCUGGGGAACGUGUUUCACACAUGGCAGAGUGAUGUCAGAGAAAACAAUUUGCUCAAGCUUUGUAUGAAGCAAAUUUGGUGUGCGUGGAGAGAAGGGGCCUAUCAGGGCGGCUCUGCUGCCGUUCAGUCUGGUGUGAAGCAGGCGCCUCACUGACAGCUCUGAAUGUCAGAACUCCCCUCAAGCCUCACUUGUUCUGGCUGGAAAGUUGGUGAGCAUGAAACUAUGCUGUGGGUGUCUACCUUCCUUGGACAAAUGAGCCCAGAGUGCUAUGUCAACACUGGAUUGAAAAGGGAGUCUGAUGUUUUCAGCUUCAGGUCUUAUUCUGGGGAAGUUAAAAUCGUCGUUAGAUGCAUGGAAAUAGUUUUCCAGAUACAAAGGUGUUUUUCCUAAAUUCAUCUUCCUCUAUAUGCAGAGGUGCUUUAACGUAGACUGUGAUCAUAUUUCAUGUAAAUACAGCUCUUAACAUUGUAGUCGGCUGGGUCCACUUGACUUUAAUUGCAGGCUGUUUCUUCUACCAACCUUGGAUCUCAACUGAUCAGACAAUCGUGGGGAUGUUCCGUUCAGCUUUGCUGCUUGUGCAGCUUUCUGCUAAUGACUUUGGUCUUUGAUUUUGCAGAGAGCAUUUCAUUUUACAUCAUUCUAUUCAUUUUUCCAGUGUGCACAAAAAAUGAUCAUACUCCAAGAAGGGCCUGAGGUUAUUGACCUUGCACAUCCUAUGUCCAGGAAGCAAAGCAAACAGCCACCAAGGGAUGAGAUGAAUUCUUGACUGACCAUCACCUCCUUUUCAGGUGGAGGCACUCACUUGGAUUGGUACCUGGGCAUUGUCUUGCAGUGGCUUCAGGUGUGAAAUCUUCCAGUUCCCUUUAGUCCGAUUUAGUUGUGUGCGUCUACUCACCUGUGAAAACAUGGCCUGCAUAUGAAACACUCACCUCGCUGUACCUGGAGAUCAUCUGAGUCAAGAUUGCCAUGUAUUUGGGGAUGGCUUGAGCUGGAAGAUCUAGGUAGAAGUGAGUAUGGACUUCUGUGCUCCUGUGGGGGACCAAGAGAAAUGUGACCAUAUAGAAUAUUUAAAUCUUCCACAGCUAUGCCCUGGAAAAGAAUGGUGAGAAGUGGGGUAUGGCACAUUUAGCUUGUGUUGUCCCCAUUUUCUCUAGUGUGCUAAGCUUCAAGUCGGUGACAAGGUCAACUCAAAGGAUUACGGGGAGGUCUCCGGGCCUCGUAUGCUGCUGUGUGGAAGCUCAAGUCUCUGGACCACAGAGGGUUUCCAGGGCUCUCAUCUUUUUGUGUGCCCCACCCCCAUCCAAGAGACAGAGCUUGGGCCCAUCCUUGGCUGAUCACAUAUGUUAUACCUGCUCUAGACCUUGUCUCUGUCUCAUAAAACCUAUGAACUCAACGUCAUUUUUUUUUCUACACUUGUGUGUGUCUGUUGCUCUCUAGGGGCCUCCUUGGAUGAAGGAGUUGUGUAUGUAGACUUGUCUCAGGUUCCUACCUCUCCUGUGGUUAAUAUACUCCAGAACCUUUGUGUCCCCAGUUGCACUCUGGCACAGUCCAUGAGGGAUGAAGUACUGUAGGAGAGGCUCUGCACUAGACAUCUUUGAAGAGAUACAUGUGGUUUGGUCUUCUAGUUCCUGCCUGGAAUGUCUGUGGAGCCCACCGUGAAGUUCCCCAGCUUGGUUCUGAUGUGCUGUAUUGGUUGUGUUCUUCCUGGAGAGUGGGUUCUGGCAAAAUUGACAAGUCUAUGGGCUUUGUUCAUCUUGUAAGUCUUAGUGGGAAAAGGACAAGGGCAAUGUCCUUUAGAACAUCUGUGAAAGGCUCUAUCUCUGUUCUUUUCCCUCUGGACUGUUGGGGAGAGCAAGCAUGACCUCUCCUGAGUCACAGGAUACCUUAUAAGAAGCAGGCAUCUCUUCUGGGUCACAGUUUGCUAUGGAAACUUUUCCACAAAUGUGAUAUUCAGGGCACUGCUUUGGAAUUCACCAUGAGAGAAUAAAGGACUGAAUGUAGAAUAUGUGGUGAGUAUGCCUUAGGCUUCUGAGAUGUUUCAUUUUUUUCAAAGGUAAGAGAGCAGGAAGCUUCCAGCUCCACGGUCACCAAUGGCACCUUCUCUGGGCAGGAAGGACUCAGGAUUUAAAGGGUACAAUUCUGAAAGCAUUCCUGUCCCCGUAUUGUCUGAGUUCUGGGCCUGCCUGUCUCCUCUGGGGCAAAAGCAUGAGCCAGAGCUCGCUCCUUUGAUGUGGAAGCAGCUGCUGGGUCUGGCUGUCCAGGUCUCAGCCUACUUCAGAAUGCUAUAUGCAGAUGUCUUCUCUUGGCUCAGACCACUUCCAGAACAGUGGCUGCCCAUGGAGGAGGUUCACAGCUGCUUGUGAAAAGACUUACAUGUACGUGUGUGUACGUGUGCAGGUGGUUAGUGUGCUGCCUCUGCCAGCAGCUGUGCUGACUACGACUCCUGAUGAGGAACCUCCUGGUCCCCUCUGAAACGGGAGUCCUGUUGGAGCAGUGUAGCCUCUGGGUGGAGGAUGUUGAGAAUGCAUCCGGGGUCUUGAUCAGUUUAGUUGGUUGUUCAGGGAAGGGGCAGUCUGAGAAUAUUUCUUAUAUUGGCUGGAAUAAUUUGGAUGAUUGUUUCUACCUUUACUGGUGGGUAGCAUUCAGUAAAGAUAUCUAAGUCCUGAUAAUAUUUUGUGGUGAGGUUUUCAUUGUAGACUUAGUCUCUAAUGUCUUCACGUUUGGACUUGAUGGUUCUGUGGAAGCUAAGAAAUUAUUUUCUGAAACAUUUUUGAAAAUGAACUGGGCCGUAUCCUUCCAUGUGUGCUACACAUCAGCAGUUCUUACAGUGCUUUUACUGUUUUAUGAUGGUCUCAAAUUGCCUGUGAUUCAUAAAUCUUGGCAGCUCUCUGCCAAAAUACUGAUUGCCUAAUUUCUACAGUUUUUGAUAUAAAACUUCAUAAUCUUCUUAAUGCAGAACCCAUUAUGCAAAACAGACGAGUGAUUUUUUUCCCCCUGUGGUUUCUUCACCAUGUAUCAAAGCAAUGAUGUUGUGACUAAAUACGUGAAAGAACAAGCAUUGAGUCACUCUUGCCAAUAGACAGUCCAGAUCACCCUAAUCGGUGGGGUUCAUUGUUAAUCCAGCUGCUCUUCAGUUUCCUCCACUCACACAGCACCUGAGCAUUUAUGGGAUCAGGACACAUAUUUUCAUUGGGAGCAGCAAGGAGCUGUCAUCUUUUAGAUCAGCCCAUAGACACAUAGGUGGGGCCUGAGGGGUUUAAGCCCUGUCCAUUUCUUGGCUCUUGCCACUGGCUGUUACUUGGUACCUAGGGAGGUGAGCACCCCGGGUCAGUGUCUAUCAAUUACAAGCAGUUUUCAAAGCAUGAGCCUCUCAUGAGACUUAGGAAUUCUCAUUGCCAUUUGUUUAUUUUUUUCAAGGAACCUUUCACCGAGGCUCAGACCACUUCACAAUAACAAGUAAGCAAUAGUGACACGUCAUAUUUCACCUUGUUUUGGUGUAGCUGCUCCCACCUACUUUGAUCCUGGCUUCUCUUGGUUGUUGAAGGUAUUUUGGUGACAUUACCACUCUCCCAUUGUAACCAAACACAGAUCAGCCACUCACCAUUUGCAGACUCCAGUGGCAAGAGUGAGGUAUGGUAGAGUGGUUUUUUAUUAACCAAAACUAGUAAUGGAGAACUGGCCCGAUUGCAAUCCAAAGUAGCCACUUGGCCUUUCUGGGGAGAAGGCGGUAAGGGUUUAUGAAGGGAAAACUUGAUAGGGAAGGCAUUCAUGCAGGAGUUGUGCUGAGUACAAACGCUCUGUCUCAUUCCAGUGGCUAUCUCAGGCUCAGUCCACCUGGAGCAUGGGCUGGCAUCAUGUCAAUGGUGGGAAUGCUGAGUAGCUGCCUUGAGGUAAUCACAAAUUUUAAAGUUGGGCCUCCAUGCUUGGCCUGUCUGUCCAAAGAUGAGCUCCUGGAACUGCUAAGUAAGCACAUAAUUAGAUACUAGCAUAUAGUGAAAUGCAAAAGAAGAAUAUGGUGGGAAAGGGAGAGACAUGGAGUCUAUUUUAAGAUUGAGGGAAAAGACUUCUGUAGUUUGCUCACAGGUAACAUCUUGAGACUAGGGGGAAGAGGCAAAAAGCUUGUGUUGGAAGUCAACCUGCUUGGUUACAUUGUCUUUCUCCAAAGGAGACUCAAAGAUUAGUAUGCUUUCCCUUCCUUCUUGGUGGUCUGUUUAUGGAAUCUUCCUUGGUAGACACAUCUCAUGACCCCUUCCCUUCCUCCACUUUGCAUGAAUAUGAGAAUAACUGUCUUUGCAGAAACUAUCUGGGAAGAGACCAAUGGCUUUUUUACAUGAGCACAACAGUCCCAUCCUAAAUGCCACAGCGGACAACUUUACUGCCAACUAGAAAUCGUUGAUGAGGUGCUCAAAUGGGAAAGUUACAGAACUGUGAUGAUCUGAUCAAAACUCGCAAGGCUGAAACAGUCAUCUUUGUCUGUUCUGGGGGUUACUGUGUGGAAAUCUGGGGCCAUGCUAGACCUACAGCAGUUGAAUGAAAUAUCUCUACUUUUGGGUAUAGUUGCAAGUUUUCCAACAAUGGGCCUCUGCAGCUUCUUGUCCACAUCAUGUAGAAGUGAAAUGGGGUCUUUGCUCCAAUGGAGGGCUGCAAAUGUUGCUCGUUAAAUGCCCUUGGCAUACACUGCAGGAAAACAUGGGUUUUGAAUCUCUUCAUUUGUUUUAAUUAAGGCAAUGAGCCUUGCCUGUAUCUCUUGGGGAAAAUGUUUUGAAAUUUGGCCGUAUGGCCUGUGCUACUGCUGAGUGACACCCUCCAAACAUGCCACAUCAAGCGUCAUUGCACCAUUCCACUCUCCCCUUUCCUACCGCCAAGCAUCCAUAGACUAGCACAGUUGGGUUCCUUUGGUGUAGGCCCUUGUGGAAGAUUUCACAUACAAUGUGGGGUCCAAAGCAAUGAUGUCUUGUGCCUCUCCUAAAAUCAGAUGUCAAGCAGUAUUUUGUUCUGCAUUUGGGUUUGUUUGGCUACAUUUAGUUAACCUCCUCUGUAAAGCUUGAUCUAGGAGGUACAGGGGUUGUGAACCUGGAGGGAAGAGGGGCAGAGAGGAGCCUGCCCUCUUGUAUCGAAAGGCAGAUUGAGUCCUCAUGAUUCAACCUGGGGAAGCUGACUGCCCUGCCGUCAGUAAGCAGGGACAGGAGUCAAGUUCAGCAUCUACUGGGCUGAGGUAGAAGCAUGUGGCUUUGGCCCUCAGGAUCUUACUCCUGACUCCAGUACUGUUCCUUUUCAGUGGAUUAUCUUGGUGUACACUAAGGUUUGGUGGGGAAAGGGGCCCAAACAGCAAACGCAAAUGUGGGAGAAAAUACUGACUUGACAUCCAAUUUUGGGGGAGGCACAGAACAUCAUUACUUUGGACUUCACAUUGCCUGGCUCACCUUAAUGUGUAGAUUGUAUCUGGCUUAAACGAUUACACAUGGUGCUAAAAUACACGAGAAUCAUUUUCGAAAGCAUACGUCCUCAAUGGGACUUGAGUUUCUCUCUUUCCAUCAUCUUAGGUAGUUGAGUGAUGACCUCAAUAGUGACUUCAGUCAGCCAAGUGGAACUUGGCACUGGUGACAAGCCUCAUGUUGGGCUGGCUUUGUGGUUUCUUUCAUUCCUGCUGACAGGCUUCUUGUUCUGCCUGAUUGAAGUGACCUCCACACCCAUACCAGUGCUUCAUGAGUAUCUUCCCUAAAGAGGACAUGUUAAAACUUAUGUAUAUGGUCCAUAUUGGCAGCUAUAAAUCUGAUUCUAGAAUUUCUUUGAGAUGGUAUGACAACCACUUGCCCCCCUGUUCACAAACUAAAUGAAUGUAAUAAAGGUUGGAAGAGAACAGCCUCUCUGAAGAGAUCUGUUCCCUCUCACACAAUCCUUUACUGAAGUGGAAAUGGGUUGUCUUUAUUACCCGCAGUCAGUAGCUUUGAGUGAAACCUUACAAUUGAGACGUGUCUGCAUGAAAAAUGGUAAAUGUGUGGUGUCCUGUACUGUGGUGGAUUUCUCUCGAACUGCCUGUUGACUCAGCCUCUGAUUCCUUAUAUGGGAGGAUCUGGGUGCUACUGACCUAAGGAGUGGGCAGCAGAGGAGAGGCCAUUCCUGUAACUUUGACAGGGUUGUUCAUCAUGGGACAACAUCAAUACAGAUGACUUGUCUGCUAUGUUGAGUAAGCUGUCGUCAUGGGCUAUGUUCUGACCAUGGGGUUUAAGCAGGCAUGGUGGCUGACCCUCAAGAGCAAUGCCUUUCAGAAGGAUGUGGCUGGCCCCCGCUUUCCUUUGUGGCUACUGUUCAGUGAGGCCAAGAGAGGGACCCUUUAGAGGCAUGGCAGAGAAAGAGUAGCACUGAUCUGGAACCUUCUGGUUGUUACACAUUCUCAGAGGUGACCAUUAACCUAGAGCAUGUCACUAAUGAGCUGCCCUGCCACUCGUGGGCCCUGAGCUACAUUUGAGGGGAGAGAAUGGUCAGAAAUUGAAGGAGUGAAUCUGAAUCUUCUGUCAAGGAUCCAUCAAUGGAUAAGUGUACUGUUCCCUGAAGGUCACCCAUUCUCACCAACCCCAGGGCGUGUGGUUGUCAGGUACCUGCCUUGCAGGUGGGAUGGAAGAGAGCACAGAGUGAUCCAGCAUAGAGCGUCAUCAGGGUGUGAUGGGGACGGAGAGCUCUAGGCUUUCCCCAAGCAGAUAGGGGAGGCUUGUUUUAUUCUUGCCUGGGAUCCUGAAUUUUGUCAUGUUGCCCCUCAGCUAAAUAGGACCUUCCCGUUCUGAGGAAAGCUUUCUUUGAGGCAUGCUUGUUUCAUUCUGCUGUCACAAAAAACUGGGAAAUAGGAAAAAUAUCCAGAGAAAUCACUGUGGCCUACAUCAGAGUGGAAUGAAUGCUGAGGUCUUGGUUUUCUGUUCAUGUGGUUAUUUUAAUGUCAGUGAAUGCGUUUCCAACAUUGUGCUUGUCCCUGUGUUUAGGGGGAAGAGGAUUUAAAGUCAACUUAUUACCAUUUUGUUUUUGUAAGCUGUUUGUUUUUAAACUUCUGUCUACAUUUCUCAUAAUCAUGGGAGAAUUAAACAUUUCUUGUGUAAAGAUAUGCUUAAUCUGUCCUCAAUAUUAAAAAUUUUCGGGCUCAUAGAUGGUAGUGAAGCCUGACAGAGAAACGCCACCUCCCCACUGGAUCCUCUGCAAAUUGAAACAUUAGCACAGAAUGUGUCUGAAGUGGUGACCUACCUGCAGGUCUAAUCAGAGGUGCACGACUGGACUUUGCACUGAUGGACGAAGACAGCCUUGGAGGCUGUCUUCCACGCACACAGAAGUCUAGGUGGGUUUUGUGUGACCUCAUCCUGCCAGCUUCGGAUGAGAUUAUAAAUGCUGCCAACUGUCUUUCUGGUGCUCUUAAUCUUUACAUUCCCAAAUGGACUUAUUCUCAUUAGAAUGCACUCGGGAUUGUUUGUUGUUGACCAUCCUGUUUCCCUGGAAGAAUUUUCAGCUUUAGUAUUUUCUCUGGAAAAAUCUUCAGAAUAUCAACUCCGUGGGCAGUGUUCCUUAUGAGCCUGCGUUUAUCCCCAAGGCUAGCACAACCUGGGCUCUGAGAUCUAGGUUUUGCGGCCACAGAGGAUUAUCCAAUCAUUGCUUUCAUUAGUAGUGAAUUUAGCGCCUUCAUGGUCAUAACUGCAGACACAGCCAUAGCUAACCUGCAGGGUCUUUAUUUUACUGCUUUUAGGCUCUCUGCCUGAGAAUACGUUUUCUUUUUUAAUUUUACUUUUAAGUUCUGGGAUACAUGUAUAGAAUGUGCAGGUUUGCUACAUGGGUAUUCAUGUGCCAUAGUUGUUUGCUGCACGUAUCAACCUGUCCUCUAGGUUUUAAGCCCUGCGUACAUUAGGUAUUUUUCCUAAUGCUCUCCCUCCCCUAGCCUGAGUGAGAACAUGCGGUGUUCGGUUUUCUGUUCUUGUGUUAGUUUGCUGAGGAUUGCUUCACCCAGAAAUGUAUCACAUCCUGAUCCUCGAAGGGUGAUCCACCUGGGUUAGUUGUCCUUACCAUUCCCCAGCAGACAUAUGGUCUGUUUGCAUGUUGCUGCUUGAACCUCCAAAUGCAAAGUGCAGACUUGAAGGCAGGAGGUGGAAGCCAGCUGCCCCUGACCUUGUCUUGUUGCCUUUGGAAACACCAGAGAUGGGACAGCCCAGACAGGCUGAGGACAGUGCACAUCAUGGUCGUCAGUGGCAGGUUCUCUGGGCAGCCAGGGCCCCUGUCUGGAGGUUACAAGAGGAUUUUGAAUAUGUUGUAGUUGCCAAUGUCAUCUUGCAGACAUCACUGAGUGAGAUGAAAAGCAUGAGGCAAUGAUCUCUCUGGGUUGAGGGUGUUACUGUGGCUCAUGCCAUCUUGGUUUUAACCCCUGUCUGGUUCAUGUUGAUGAUUUUCUGGGGAGCAUGUUUCAGCUGUCUUGGAUUAAAGAGGCUCUUGGAUUUUUUUCGUGACCACUGCCUCUGGUCGUUUCUGCUGGAAGUGCCUUAGAGUGAAUAGACUGCCCUAAGAAUCAAAGUCUGCAUAUAACAACUUACAUGUAUUCCAAGAAGGUCAUAAGGUUGCUGACCUUAGGCAUAAUCUCCAUGAAGCAAGGCCAGUUGUCAGCAAGGGAUGAGAUUAUUUCUUGUUUGAUCACAACUUUUCAGGUGGAUGCGCUCACCUGAUCACUGCUACCUAGCAUUGUCUUGGAGGCUGGGUCCUUUGGUGGGAUAUCUUCCUCUUACGUCAAGAGGCUGUUUUAGGUUUGUGCUGCUUUCUAGCAGUGACGAUGUUACCUGUGUUUAAACACACUGUACCAUAUCUGGAGACCUGAGUCAAGGUCAACACAUAUCUCUAGGUAGGCUUAUAUAAUCAGGAAGAUCUAGAUGGGAGUGUGAGUAAGCAUCGUGGUAUCUCAGGGGGACCUGGAAUAAACAGAAGUUUCCUCAGCUCUCAAAGCUGCAUGCUAGGAAGAUAAGAUGGGCCUCGUGAGCUGAGACAAGGUGCAUUCUGUCCAUUUCCCUUAGUGUGCUGAGCUUUAAGUCAGUGACAAGUUAGACUCGGAAGUAUGUGGAGAGGGAGCAAGGCUUUGUAUGCUGCUGUGUGGUAGCUCAAACCUCUGUAUUCCAGGGGGUUUCCAGGGUUCUUUGUGUUUUUGUCCUGAGAGACUGGGCAUGAUUCAUGGCUGAGUGGAUGACGUACCUGCUCUUGACAUCGUCUUGAUGCUAUACAGCCCAUAGGUAGAAGGACCUUUCGUCUACAUUCAUGGCUGGGACUGCAGCUUCUUUACAGGGGUUUCACUGGGUGAAGAAAUAGGCAUGUGUAGACCUAUUUUGGGUUCGUACCUCUGCUCGGGUUAGUAUGCCUCAAUGCCUUUGAGUUUCCCAGCUGUACUCCUGAACUUCUGGCACAAUUCAUCAGGGAUGUAGUUUAUGGGAGAGACCCUGUGCUGGGACACAAGCUUGAAACCAGAAUUACAUUGUAGGUCCUGCCAGUUGCUUGUGCAUGGCUUAUCUUUGCUGUGCACUGCCUGGAACAUGUCAGGAGCUAAGAGGGGCUUUCUGUGGCUUGGCUCUGUGGUCCCUUGGCCACGUUGGACCCUGUUGGCAAUGUGGGUUCUGGUGAGUUAGAGCAUUGUUUUGGCCUUGUUCAGCUCAUGUUACUCAGAAUGGAGAAAUAAGUUGACCCCUGUCCUAGUAACUACGGUGAAAGGGUCUCUGACCCAGGAGAGUCCAUGUCCUGCUGAGCAGUCUAGGGAGAAGGACUUAGAAUCAGUCCAACCUGUAAGGAGCAGGUAUUUGCAUUGGGCAGCAGACUUAAAUCUCCUCUGGAAACUUCCCUGAAAAUGCAAUGGUUGGUGUACCUUUUGGGAAUUCACCCUGAGGAAGUAAGGGACUGAUCGUAGAAAGAUCAGUAUUCCUCUCAGACUUUCUGGAACAAUGUUAUUUGUACCAAAGAUGUCAAAUGAGGAGGGGAGAGACUUCCAGCUCUGUAGUCAAUAGGAGCUGCUUUUCUGGGAAGGAAGGAAGGGGUCAAGAAUCUUCAAGAAGGUGAUGGAAAGGAUUUCAGAAUCCAUAGUCUCCUUGCUAGGCCUGCCUGGCUCCUCUGGGGUAAAAGUGUGAGCCAGAGUGCUCUCCUGUGAUGUGGAAGCAGUUACCAGUCUUGCUCUCCAGUGCCUAACCCCUCUCAGGUUUGUACUUAGAGAUGUUUCCUUGUGGGGGGUGGUCACAGAACCAGAACAAUGGCUGCCACUAGGGGGGUCCGGAGGUCAGAGCUCCCUGUGGAAAGGCCUUGUGGUGUGUCUGUGAAGGCAAGAAAUGGCCUGUCUCUUCUUGCUGUUUUGUUGACCUGGGCCGUUGCCAAGCAGGGGCACUGUCGUCUCCUGAAGUGUGAGGUCUCUCAGCAGUUUAGCCCCUCUGGGAUGAGGAAUGUAUCCAUUGCUCUUGGUCAGCAAGGUUGGCUCUUGAGGAAAGAUGGGCAUUCUGAGUUUUCCCAGGUUUCUAUGUUGUGUGGAAUAAAUGGAAAAUGGUAUGUGUAUUUCCUCGUUAAUGGGUAGGUAGCAUAGCUUUCAGUAAGUAAACUCUCUAUGGUCAGGGAACACUAUAGGAAGAUUUUCAAUUGUGUACUAUUUUUUGCAUAGAAAAAUUCAUCAACAUGACUUCAGACUUCUUGUAUACAUCAUAGAAAAAUUCAUCAAUAUGACUUCAGACUUGUUGUAUACAUUUUAGUAAUUCUAUAGCAUUUGAUGCAUGUCAUUUGAAAUUUAAACAACAUUUAUAAUCUUAACCUCUUCAUAUUGUAAGGGCAAGAAGCAUACGCAGCUAUCUUUUUUUCUUGAUUAGACUUCCCAGGAAAAAUAUUUGAGUCUUCUCAUUUGUAAUAAUGAGGACAAAUUAGUGACUCGGUAUGGCUUUUGGAAAAGUAGACCCUGAAGGAGAAUAGGAUAUUUGAAGACAUACGUUUUCAUUCUUUGAAAUGAAAGCCCUAACAAAUAAUGUUUAGGGCUUACAAUUUUAUCGUACACUUGGGGAUUCCAAGUUUGAAAUGGCUGUCCCUUGGAUGAGGUCAAGUUGGUGGCAGGGUUUGGGUUCCUAUCUUGUUGGUCUGAGGACAGUGGUUCUAUGACUUACCUACCUUUCAGGGUCCCUUGCAUUGCUUUUCUUGUGGACUUUCAAUUUCACCCUCGGGAAUCUCAAAAUAGCAUGUAUAUUUAAGUCUGUCUUGGACUCUCAUCUGAACUUUUGUCCCUCUUUUGAUGACAGUCCUCCUGGAUGAUAUCUAAAUUAUACAUUCAGUUGGAUUUCAACCAUAUUUCAAUAUGUUCCCUAAAUGUGCCACUGGCAUGUUUCUUAACACGCUCAGAGUCUAUUAGGAUCAAGACGUCAAUUUGCCUACAUCUGGUCUUUUUUGGACGUGAUCUCUGAAGGCCCAGAGUGGGAUGCUGAACUGCUGAAAGGUUAGAAGCUACUGAAAGGGUAGUUGUCACUUGGUCAUGUAGACAAGACAGUGGCCCAAUCAUCCUUAGGUCUCUCUGGGGAGGGGUGGAAUGUAUCUCACAAUGUCUCUCCUUAGGGAUAAGACUCUGAAUCUUUGGCCCCACCUCUGCCUGCCAUGAUCAUACUGUUCCCCUUCUGAGGCACUUAUCUCCUGUGCUGGUGGAAUGUGGCUCUGUUUGGAAAAAAGUGAACAAAGGGUAAGAACAUGGCCCCUGAGCCCAGUGAUCCUAAUCAAAUAGCAAACCACCUAAGUGUCUCUUUGUGCAGAAGAAUGGGCUCAGUGCCUGUUGGCGGCAUAGGGAAUAAUGAAUGCAACAUUGGGAGUGAAUAACAUAAAACAGUAACUUUUCUCUGAACACAAGAAAAGUUGACUUGUUCUAAAUCUUGAGCUUUUUCUGACAAAACUGAACAGAAUGGCAUGCCUGUGGUUCUAAAAUAAGACCUGACUCAUUUGUCAGAUGUUCUUUACAUAACAUGAUUUAUUCUAAGCUGACUGAGAUACUUCUCAUUCUUCCUUUUGAGGGUCGUGGAGGUCAGCAGGUUUUGAUCUCUGAUCAAAUGAUAUCUCAUUACAAUAUUCACACAUGGUACGUGUGUGUGAAUAUGUGUGUGAAUAUGGUAAUGUCUAUCACCUUUUGCUUUUCAUUGCCACAAUCCUCAUUAUGUGUUUAGGGAGGUAGGGAUCUAAAAUACUCUAUUGCCCCUUACUUGAUUAAAGAACCUCUUCAUAGUUCGAGCUGGUAAGAAUAGUGUUCAUCUCGCUUUGAUUGGAGGAUUAAUACUCUUGUUCCUGGUGAAAGGUAUCCAUUCUCCUCUGAAUCACUUUGGCUAGGCUCUCUUGAAUCAUGGGAGCUCAAAGUCAAGCUGCUUCCUCUAGGGGAAAGCCGCUCCCAGACAUGUUUGGAUUUGGCUUGGCUUUACCCACUUCUGUCUUUUGAUCCCCAUGAUAUGAGCCACUGAUGAAUAUAACCUAGGUCAUUUCGAUGCCCUUCUACGGACACAAGUAGCCAAGACUCUUGUUACUUCUAUCCAUAUAAGGGUCAUUUGAAAACCAGAUUUAGGUGGUGGGACACUUUACCUGGACCAUCCCAAACUGUUCUUGUGGGGAUCAUUCAUUUAACCCCAGGAGGUUCCCCUGGAUGUGGAUUACAUAGGUAAUAUUGACUGACUGGGCCUGGGUCACCAUGCUCUUUCCCCACUUCCCUGGCCUCCACGUUUAUGGUUCUCAGAUCUGAGGUGUUCCAUUUUCUCUGCCAUGGACUCCCUUUGGAUAGUGAAGAUCAAAUUCAAGGGCCCAGCAUCCUCUGUGCUGUGUGUAGAGCUGACCCACUGGCACAACCUACAUCUGACAAAGUGAGCAUGUGCCCUGUGCCCUGCUGGUCUUAGGUUGAGCUUCAAACAUGGUUUCCUGGAAGUUGAGACAGGUUUCCUUCUUAGGGAACAGCUCUGAAUUAAGAGUUGGUUGAUGAUGAAUUGAGGGAUUUGUCCAAUCAGAAAGACUUUUUGUUUGAUACUUUAGAAGGCUACAGAGUGAUUCUUCAGCAUAAUUUCCUGGCAGCAAUCACAGGGCUGGGGCCUGUCAAAAGGUUCCAUUUGAAGUUGUUCCAUCUGAAAGUGUUAAUUGCCCAGUGGUACUGGAUUAAAGGUUUGCUUAGAAAUAAGCUCGUUAACAUUUCCUAUUACUGUGAGUUGUCUAGCAUGCUUCAAGAUUGACUUGAUCAGGAAUUCAACACUGGAUAGACUGCUUUGUUCAAGCCCUUACAACAGAGAACUCUUUGGAAGUCUAGAACCGAAAAUAAUUCUGUAUGAAACUUAAUGUUCUGAUUAAUAAGGAUGAUAUGAUAGAAAUUAUAUUCUAAAUAUGAUACAGAAAAUAAGUGUGCUGUUAGCUCCUGGUACUAUUCACAUUUUCUGCAGUCCGUUAUGCCACUUUUGCAUCAUGAGACGCUAUUCCUUAUGUUGAUCUAUACCUCUGACAGAUGAACCAUCCCAAAAGAAGAGUCCAUAUUUGAACCACGUGGCCUGUGCCAUGGAUAGUAUCCAGAAACCAAAUGCCUUAAUGCAUUGUCUUUUUCUAUGCUACACUUGUGGAACCAAAAUGAGAACAGUUUGAGUGACUAAAAUGCAACUACUUGUUCUGCAUUGCAGCAUUUCUAUUUUCUUUGUGAUUCAGAGUAUCAGGAAAUUGUAUCCUACUUCUCAUGUAAACGAUCUCAUAUUUUAGAGUACUGUACUUUAAGUGGUGUGGCAUGUCUUAACCUGUUUCAUGACUUCAUUCUUUGAUACACUGUUAUCUGACACUUGAUCUUUGAGGAUAUGAACUGUAUCCUACUUUCUUGAUCUUAGUCUCCAUUGCAAAGGUUGUAUUCUAAAAACCAUGGUGCCUUGUAGGUGAGUGUUCUCUGUCCUGUGAGUUCAUGUAGAAGCUCUCCUACCUGAACAUAGACUGGUGGGGAUGCUACUGAGAAGUACUUUGUGUUUCUGGCUAAAAUUAUGUCCCCCUAUACUCAAUGGGCUCAUGGUAUCUUGUACUUAGAUAUCCCCCAAAGCUGUGGUGUCUCGGAUGCUACCCCCAAAUUUCCCCUACAUAAAGCGAAGACCUAAAUGCCAGAAGGUUGUAGCUGGACACUGAUAUGUCUUCACUAGAUGCCUUUAGAGCCACUAGACACAAUAAUGUCCUAGACAAGUGGAAAGAACACUUGUCAUGAGCAACAUUGCAUCUUCCCCUGAGUAUAGACAGGGCCAGUCGGGAGACAGCACAAUUUUGAAGCCAUUACAGUCUGCAGUGUCAUCGUCAGAUUAACUGACCUUUGGCUCAAACAUGGAGCCUAUGUGUUUCGGAGUGGAAAAUGUAGCUGUUGGUGAUGCCUUCCAGUCAUUAGCCCUGUUGUGCUUUUUUCCCUUGAUUUACUUUUUUGGAGAGUGGCUCAGAAGUCUUGGAAUAAUUAUACUAAGGGAAAUAAGUUAUGCUAGGGCUCUUCUUGUGAUGAACUAGCUGUUGGUCAGUGUCAGUAGAGCUGCCAAUAGGUUCAGAACCCUUGAUCCUGCACACUGACAAACGUGAAAACCAGAACCUUAUUGUCUAGCUGUGAUAUGUGACAGUUACUUUGGGAGUAACACUAAACCAGUAGACCUGGUGAUCCUAUCUAGUCCUCAGUGAUGAGCCCAUGGCUAUUGGUAUACCAGGUUUUAUACCGCAUCAAGGAACUUGACUUUGGCACCUUUGUCCACCAGAACAGGCUUUGUCCAGGUAACUAUGGUAUUGCCUGCUUUGCUGUCCACCUCCCGAGCCAUAUUCUAGUGCUUCUGUGGUGGGGAUGUCCAUGUAACUGAGGGCAGCCACCAAGUGGAUUGUCUCCUGCUUACAGAGGUCAUCCUCGAGUGCCUUGAUCUGAUGUGCAAGGUCAGUGGUCUGAUAGCCCCAAGCCACUUGACUCAUACCAGGAAUGUCUAGUGUGGGGAGCUGAUCUCUAGACUGAUAAGCUCAUGACUAAUUCCCAUCUCUUCCCAGCAAUGACAUGUUGAGCUUUAUUGAUUUUGUGUCCAAAACGUCUCUAUCUGGGUGUCCUGAUAAUUACCUUUCCUCUAUACUGACAUUAAUGCAAAAGUGUUUCAGUUUCUGCACCAAAGAACAUCUUCUGACAAUACCACUGCCUCUAGGAAAGACUACUCCCUAGAUAGCCUCCAUCACAGAGCUCUGGACCAGGCUCUGAUCCCCUUUGUGCAAUAGGACCAGGCUUUCCUUCGUGCCCAGGGCUCUCGUGAGUAGAUGAGGUCAGUGCAGGUGUGUACCUUCUGUCUGUGCUGGCUGUUCAGGUGGUUCUUGGUCCCUGUAUCCUGAUUUGUCUCCACCAUAUCACCAUCUCCAUAUAGUAUUUGAGGUUGCAUGCAGAAGCUGAAUCACACUUGGCAAUUUUCGGUUCCGAAUGAACUGUCCUCUAGUAAAACCAAUGAGAAUUCAAUGGCUUGGGUGUCUGUUUUUAGUCUUCGAACAUGAAUCUGUAAGAAUCUGGGGUGCUCUGUCCUGUCUACCUUUACUGUUGGGUAUGGUCAAUUCAGACUCAUUAGCUUUGCUAAAGGGGAGUUUAAGUGGCUAGUCAUUGUCAUGGGAACAGAAUUCUGAGCUCAUAAUUGCUUCCCUAUGUACUUUCCAAAUUUGGCCGCCUUUCGUAGAAAGCAAAGUGAGUCUGGGUCAACUACAGGCUGUAACAAUGAGAUCUUGCCAUUUUACAGCUCUAAUGAAUGGUGUCCAGUUUAACAUGAAAGUGGGUGCUUUUAGUCUUUGGGUUUUUUUCUGGUAGGUCAUCUUUACUUGCCCAAGGAAGGGAACAUGUCCAGAGAAUUCAUUCUUAAUAUUUCAUGUUUGUCAUUAUACUUCAUUGAUUGAUCCCAUUCCUGGUGAUUGGUCACCUUGAAAUUGUGAUACUUUUGAAUGGAAACUGUUCUUUUUUUAAAAAAUUUAUUUAUUAUACUUUAAGUUUUAGGGUACAUGUGCACAAUGUGCAGGUUAGUUACAUAUGUAUACAUGUGCCAUGCUGGUGCGCUGCACCCACCAACUCGUCAUCUAGCAUUAGGUGUAUCUCCCAAUGCUAUCCCUCCCCCCUCCCCCCACCCCACAACAGACCCCAGAGUGUGAUGUUCCCCUUCCUGUGUCCAUGUGUUCCCAUUGUUCAGUUCCCACCUAUGAGUGAGGAUAUGCGGUGUUUGGUUUUUUGUUCUUGUGAUAGUUUACUGAGAAUGAUGAUUUCCAAUUUCAUCCAUGUCCCUACAAAGGACAUGAACUCAUCUUUUUUUACGGCUGCAUAGUAUUCCAUGGUGUAUAUGUGCUACAUUUUCUUAAUCCAGUCUAUCAUUGUUGGACAUUUGGGUUGGUUCCAAGUCUUUGCUAUUGAGAAUAAUGCCGCAAUAAACAUACGUGUGUGUGUGUCUUUAUAGCAGCAUGAUUUAUAGUCCUUUGGGUAUAUACCCAGUAAUGGGGUGGCUAGGUCAAAUGGUAUUUCUAGUUCUAGAUCCCUGAGGAAUCGCCACACUGACUUCCACAAUGGUUGAACUAGUUUACAGUCCCACCAACAGUGUAAAAGUGUUCCUAUUUCUCCACAUCCUCUCCAGCACCUGUUGUUUCCUGACUUUUUAAUGAGAAAAACAAGCAAUGGGGAAACUGUUCUUUUGGCAUGGCGGAGGUUUGUGUCAACAUCAACUGUAAGGGUUUUAACUGUGCCUGCAUUCCACUCACUGGAAAAUAAAGGCUUCUGUUUCUUGUCUAAAACUGGAGGGAGUUAAGAAAAACAAUUUGUUCUUUAACAGAAGGAUGGGAGAGAAGGGAGCUCAUCAUUCCCAGUCCCCACUUACCACUCUAACCCACAUUCCUACACAGGUUUCCUAAAAUUCUUUCACCAAACAGAUGCUUUUGUCCCAGAACAAAGUAGUCUGUCAAUUGGCAAAACCCCAAGAUUAGGAGACACAUAACAGGUUGUAGGUUCCUUAAAGAUAGAACAUUUCAGACAGAAGCUGAGUUCUUCCAAAAGAACUCCCAUGUCAUAGUUGAGUGUGUUCAGAGUUCUGUUAGGCACUGGAGGACAGAGCUGUUUCUCACUGUUUUCUGCAAAUGUGGAGCACCUGGGACCCAACAGUAAGGUGAUCUCACCUUGUCCUGGAGAAUCUCAUAUAGUGUGACAACGACACAGCCUUGGUUUCCACUGUAACAGUACAAGAUUAAUAGAGGGGAAGAAUUCUUAAUUUCAUGACAGAUUAGUGCCCUCAAAUAGUCAAAGGGGAUCUCAUCUCUAAAUCAACUAAUACAAUGGAUUACUUAAAAGUCGAAAGUUAAAAUGUAAACUCAAACUUCUACAAAGUGUAUUUUAAAUACAAUUUUGGCUGCCAUCUCACCUGUUAAAGUACAGUGUAGGCAAAUAGAAAUUUAUACUCAAGAAAUAGUGUGGGGUCAGUUGAUGGAAAACUACCCAGAUAAACUUCAGAGAAGGGUUUGCUGGCCAAACUGACAGGAUUCAUGCUAAGGACCAGCUGGGAAUAUAGGCAUCACCUGGGAGAUGGUGGAAGAACCUCAUCAGAUAUUGAAAAUAAUUGGCUGUCAAGUGUGUGGGAGGUUUUUGCAAAAUGGCCUUCACAGGGUUGUUCACUAAAGUUGUACUUUAUAAGGAAGUACAGAGUGGGGCCUCUCAGAAGGCUAGGAGGCCUUGCAGUUUGGCCAACAAAAGACUCUUGAUCACUACCCAUGAUAUCAUGCUACCUGUUAAACUCCUGAAGGAUAAUUGCCAUCCUCAUCCCUGUCUCAUUAUGAAACUCUACUAAAUGAAAUGGGGAGGAUAUUGCCCAUAGGUGGGGGUUCAUGGCCCAAAGGAGCUGUAUGUUCCUGGAAUUCUUUACUCAGAUAGCUUAUGAUAGUAUCAUUUGUAACUUGAAGAGGUAUGAAGUAGAAGUUAAAAGGCCUCUUUGCAGAAGGCAUUUGUGAAAAGUGACCAAACUCCUUGAAGAAUAGCAGUCCCUUAGUGAAGUUGAAAUGACAUUGUCUUAACCCUACAGCACUGAAGACAAGCAAGUGAAUACGAGGGGUUUUCAAAAGAGGGGAUAACAGGUAUAUAGUGGUUUUUCCUCCUUGGAUUUCUGUUGGAGCUGCCUUUUUAUUAAACUGCAUGGAGAUGCUUGAUCCCAGAAAAUGCCUGUGCUGAUAGCUGACAUGCGGAGGGGGGGCACAGAAGUUAAUCUUGUACUUACACUGAAAAGUCUUGUCUUCAUUGAAGCUGAAUUUUGAGGAGUUGUCUCUUCCAUUUUACUUAGCUUUACUGAUGUGCUUUCAUUCUCUCUGACAGAUUAAUAGUAAAAGCGCUAUUUCUGAACCUUCCAUUUCUCACUGUCUUUAGGAUGGAGAUUAAUAGUUAUCCUCUCUGGAAGUAGUUAGAACAAAAGGGUGUGUCUUGAACCAUCAUGAUGCCUUGUAUUGUAAGAGGUGUACAGUGGAGUAGUCCAUCCCAGCAAAGAGCUACUUACAUUCUUUGCCCUCACCUACCAUUGAAAGACAAAAAUGUUCCUGGAAUUGUUUCUGUAACCAUCCCACCUCUGGUCAAGGAUGUCUGAGUAUGCAUGUUGCUUCUCCAAGAGCAUGCAUUUCCAUGUACCCAGCUGAGCUGUCUUCAGACAUCUUCCACCCAGGAGACAUGGGACGUGGCUCAGAGUUCAAUGGUGAACAGCCUCAUCUGAGAGAUUUCUAAGCUUGCCCAGACAAGUAUAGAAGUUCUGUCUUGUUCUCUGUCCUGUGAUGCUGAACUUUUUGUCAUGUUUCCUUCUAAGAUGACUCAGUGCUCAGACUAAGGCUUCUUAAAUGAACGUCUCUUCUAUAGAUAUAUAGAUAUAUAUAGAUAUAGAUAGAUAUAUUUUUUGCUAUGAAAACAGGAAAUAUGAAGGCAAAACCUUGUGGGACAAAUCUCGAUGUUUCUUUACUGGAUGGAGUGAAAAAUACACAGGUUUCCUUCCUGAGUGACUAAUAUCUCUCAACCACUGCAUUUCUUGUUCUCUUCAUGAUCAUGUAUAAACAGAUUUAUUACAGGUGGUUAUAACAUUGGCUCCAAGAGAAUUCAUGCAGGUUGAUACUGAUCCUCCUGAAACUUUGGUUCAUAAGAUAAUACCAAAACCAGGAAAUAGACUUGCCAUUCAUCAGUUGGGAAGAUAAUGGGAUAAUUCAGAGAGCAGGGAGGACUCCGAGGUUUGAAAAUCUUUCCCAGUCAGGAGAUGAUGUUCCAACUAUAACUUAUGCUUCUGAGAAUAGGGCUUUAGUCUUCGUGCUGAAAUCAAAUUGCUACCACAGCUUUUAUACUAAUUCCUCAGGGACGAAUGGUUAAGUGGAGACUGAUAACAGUCCCAUUACUAUGUUAGCUGUGUCAUCAAUUUGGAAGAGGGUAUGGCACUUCCUCUCCUUGGAGACUUACUGUGGAGAUAGAGUGCUGGACAGAGAGCCUAGUUUACAGGGGAAUUUGAGUUGGUGUCUAUGAUAGGAUGGCCAUGAAAGCCUCUUCUCUGGUAACUUCUUCCUGUUUAUGGUGUCUGCUCCUCCAGGGGCCAGCUGCAGAUCCUUGAUCUGGAGUAGCUGCAGACUGCCCUUCUGCAGUUUUUGGACAUGAGAACUACACAAUGAAAGGCAUGUGGCUAGAGAUGCAGUUGCUGCUCUCCUGGUGGACAGGGGAUCAGCAGCUGAGAUUUCAGCCAUGUAAGAGUCUGAAGAAAUGGGUUAAAAGAAUGGCUUGCUAGAUUUUUAGAGCCUUUUCCCUGUAUUCUGCUGCUUUGUCAUUCUGUGAUGAAGUAAAGUCAACUUGAUAACUUUCCUUUUUGAAUCAAUGUCUUCAAAAUUAACUUGAGUCUUCAAUUUUGGACUUGGCUGCCAUACAACAGUUAAAAUCAAUUUUUUUGUGAAGUAUCUAUAAUGGCAAUCCAGACCUUUCUAGUCACUGUGCAGCCUAUCAACACUUGGCUCUUCUGCUGCCUUGAACAUCAUAAAGUAGGAACUCAACUGUAAUUCACAAAUCCUGGCAGCUCUGUCAUGAUACUACUGCCUGUUUUCAUGUUUGGCCAGAAACUCAAAAUGGUUCUCACUUUGAUAAAAUCAAGAUGGUGGGGUUGGGCUCUUAUUAUUUCUCUAAAGGACACUGUUUCCUUGACUGACUUGUCCAGUGGUUUCUUACACUGUUUGUCUUGUGGCCCCUUUAUUGUUCAAAGUUAGAAUCGUCAUUCAUCUCAAAGAUGAAUGUAUAUCUUCAAUUAUUUCACUCACCUGCACUUUUGCUUCCCUCUUCUUAGUCUUUGACUUUCUGAUAACAUGGUGGCCAAUUAGCUGACUUGAAGAUACAGAAAUCAUCCAGGGGAGCAUAUUAUUUCCAUGUGUUCCCUUCAUUCCCUCUUGCCAUGUUGAAUAACAUGUUAAUAGGUUCUAAGCAUUAGCAUUAGGAGAAGGAUAUCUCUAGGGGUCACUUAUUUGCCACUACCUGACACUUAGUUAAAGAGAUCCCAGGAAUUUCAGAGGAAGGUGGUGAACCAGUGUGUGUGUGUGUGUGGGGGGGGUGGGGGUGGGGGUGGGGGUGGUGCAGGGAAGGUAGGGUGGGGCACAACAGCUACUGAAUGGGUAGAAUCGGAGUCUACCUGGUCACUUAAGUAGGUGAGUGGGCUCCAUAUCACUGGGUUCUCUGUGAGGAAGUUGUAGAAUGUCUCCAAGAAUGUCUUCCCUACUUGAACAAGUUGGAUAAUUUACCCUUAAGCUCUAUCUGCCAUGAUCAUUGUUUCUUCCAGUGACAUCAAUUCCCCUGGGCUGCAGAGAUGUGAUGUUGCAUGCAAGUAAGUGAAUCGAGUUGAGGGUGUGGCCUAGGGCAGCCAAUCAUUCUAAUCAAAUGGCAAACCACCUGGAAGUCCCUUUGUGCAGACGGAUGGGCUCAGUGCUGGCACAGGCAGAGAAUAAGCAAUGCAGUAACUGAGACUUGAUAAUGUAAACAUUGAAUAACCAAGUCUCAUUGUUUUCAAGGGAUGGCUUGUCUUUUUAAAUGUCCUGCCUUUUUUCACUCAAAAAAUACGUGGGAUUUUAAUAUAUUCAAGGAUCUAAAACUAGACCCACCUCUUCUGCCAGUUCUCUACAUGUCAUGAGUUGUUCUAAGAUGAUUGUUGUAGGUAAUGGGCAAAACUCUCAUUGCUCUCUCAAGUGUAGUGGAGGUUAGGAAGCUUGGACCUCCACACAGGGGUAUUAUGUUUAUUGCCUCUUGCUGUUACUUGCCAUAUACUUCACUGUACUUACAUGUUCUGAAAAGGAGAAAAACAUCCCUUAUAAAACUACAUGUGAACAAAGUAUUUUGGAUCCCAUUUCUCAAUGUACAUCCCAUUUUAACUGGACUAUUAAUGCUGUUUUUUAAUUCGCCGAAUCUUCUCCUGACAUACACCACUUUUUUGAGCUCCCAUGACUUGUGGAAGCCUGGCAAUGUUAUGUUACCUUCUCUAGUGGAAGCUACUGGUAACUUGGUUUGUAGCUUGGCCUACUUUGGCCACAUGCAAAAGUACGGAGCCAGUGACCCAUUUUAGAUGGGAGAAGUGGCUCUUGGUGAUGUCUGCCAGUCAUUAACUCUUCUGUUUCCUGGAGAUGUUUUUCUAGGGAGAAUAGCUUAGCAGUCCUGGUGGAUGGCUCUAAGAAGAGAAAAAUAAGCAAUAUGGGGGCUAGUUUGUAAUGAAUUUUAUGUUGGCUGUGGAGCAGAUGCAAAACCCUUUACCUUGCACAGUGACUGAUAGCAGUGUGAAACAGGGACCUCAUUGGCUAGCCUUGAAGUUUUCAGACUUAUGUGUCUUAGCCUGGCAGUAAAGCUGGUGAGAACUUAGUGGAACUCCCGAGUUUACUUGGUCCUCAGCAGUGAGCCCAUUGGAGUCAGCACCUGGGUGGAACGCCAGGGUUCAUAUCACAUGAAGGAUCUUGUAUUUGGUACUUUGGCUGCCAGAUCAGGCUUUGUCAAGAUUAUUGUGGUGCUAUCUGUGUUAGGGCCUACUUUCUGAGCAAUUUUCAUCACCCCUAUGAUGAAAAAUGUCCAUGUAACUAAUGACCACCAAGUGGAUCAUUUCUUGCUUGUGGAUGUGCCUCUUGAUGAGUGCCUUCCUUUACCACUAAAUGUGAGCAGGCUGAAUGAAUAAUACACUCCUUGUACCAGGAAGGUCUACUGGAUAUGUGAGGACCUAUCUUCAGUAGGAUUAGCAUAUGACUGAUUCAUAUUCCUUUCCUAGCAAUAUUGGGCUUCAGUGACUUUUUUUCCUUCCUGUCUCUGAAGCAUCUGAAAUCUGGAUCUCAAAAGCCAGUGACUGACCCUGUCUCUUCACCUAUCAUCAUAAACAAGUUUUUUCAGCCCCAAUAAUAGAGAACAUCUUGUGACAAUGCCACUGCCUUUGGGAAGGGCAACUCCUUAGGGUUUUCAGAAUGAGAUCUUGCCCACGCUCUGUCCGACAGCCAUGGUAGGCAGGACCAUGUUCACUGUAUGUCCUGAGCCCUCUGAAAGUUCGUGAGGGCAACGCAGAUGUGUACCUUCUGUUAGUCUAAACUGCACCAUUUUGUAAGCUCCCCGCUAUUUUGCAGAUCUUGGUCAAAGUGAAGUAGUUCAUGGGGGUUUGGGGAAUGAGAAACAUCCUGCCUAACCACUUGACCACAAGGUGGACAAAGGCUGAACUAAAGAAACAUCGCUAUCAUUUCCUGCUGGACAAAGUUCCAAGGAACAUCACGAUGACAUCCCAAUGAAACAAGGACCAGAACCGCCUCCUCAUGGGAACAUCUUAACAAUAUCCUGCUGGUCAACAAGCCAUAUUGCUCAGACCUCUCCUGCCCAUACCUAUAAGUACCCCCAGCCUGUAAGCAGUCGUGGGAUCUGGCAUUAAGCUGGUCCCCGACUUCUGUAGAUUUUAUGCUGGACAUAAAGCCUGCAUUUCCUGUUGAGCCACCCUCUUUCUGUGUGUCUUUAACCCUCACCUUCCCUCCAAAACCUAACACCUUCUGCUCAUACGGGCUGUACAGGUUGUUCCUGAUCUGUUUGAUUUUUCUCUGCCAUAAUAGCAAAUUCGUUUAGUAAUGGAUGAUUGGGUGCAGAAAAUAAAACACAUCUGGAUUAUUUUUCCCUGUCACAUGAACCAUCUUCUAGUAAAUCUGAGUAUUCAAUCAGCAGAUGUGGUAAAUCUACCUGGUCUUGAGGUGAGCCUAUGAGUCUAGGCUGCUCUGUCAUGACUGCCACUAAAGGGAAGUGGUCAUCUCAGCCUGGACAGUUGGGCUGAGGGAUUUUUAACUUGGUUAUUCCCAUGGAAACAGAUUUCUGAGUUCAUAAUGGUCUCCUUAUAUAUGUUCCAUUUUUCCCCACUUCAUACAGAUCUGAGUUGUCAUGCAGCUUGUGUUGUCUUUGGUAAGCCAUCAUAAAAUCUUGACAUGUGAUACCUCUAAUGGUGUCCAGCUUGGUACGAAGAUUGUUUUUAUUGAGCUUUCUGGCACGUUAUUCCUUGUCCAAAAAUGGCAGCAUGUUCAGAAAACUCAUUCUAUUUCACUUUUGUCAUUUUUUUUCUUGCUUGAUCUUUCUGCUGGUUGAACAGUCUUCUUGAAAUUGACAUCUUCAAAUGGAAAUUGUUGCCCUCUUCUACAGGGUGAGUUCUUAAAGUCAACGUGAAAUGCAAAGAGUUUACUUUGCCUUCCUUGCUCUCUGAAAUCCCUUAUGGAAAAUAAGGGGCCUUGGUCCUUCUGAAACUAGAGCAGGCUAUGAAACAGUUGGUCCUUCAGCUGAAGGAUGAGAGAAGAGAAAUCUCAUUCCCUGUCCCCACUUGUUAUCACUCAUUCACAUCCCUACAAGGGUCUGCAGAAAUUCUUUUCCACCAAUUUGAUGCUUUUGUACUGGAACAAAAGUGGUUUGUCAAUUGCCAUGGAAAAACCUAGGUUUAGGUGACAACAGGCCUUGUAUGUCUCUUAAAGGUGAAAAAUGUAGAAGUCUGUCUUCAAGAGUCUGUCAUAGUUGGGGAGUUGUCAGUGGCAGGUGCUUCCUGUUGCACAUGGAGAGGAUAGACUUUGUCCUCAGUGUUUUCUGUAGAGACGUGGAGCACCUGGGACCCAUGAGCAAUGAGAUGUCCUCAGCUUGUCCUGGAGAAUCCUAUGGGCCAACACGAGGUUGUACAUACGAUUGAUGGCCUGAUGGUAGCAGAUAGAGUGCUUACAGAUUCCAGUUAUGGAAGAAUCUGCCUUAAAAAUGAAGAAACAGAUUUUUUCUUGGUCUUUUCCUUUUGACUUUCUGGAAUACAGAGGUAAUCUCACAACAAUUUUUCAGCUUGUUCACGUCUAAUGGCUUGGACUUUAGACUUGGAAGUUCUAUGGAGGUUAAAACCUUUUUUCUGGAAUGUUUGUGAAGGUGAGUUAGACCCCCUGUCAGUCAGCAUGUAUAGCACAUCAACAGCUGGAUCUUCCAGUGCUUUGAUUUGCUGUUUUAUGGUAGUCUCUAAUGCCCUAUGAUUCACAAGUCUUGGCAUCCUCUCUGUGAAGAUGUUGAUUUUCAAACUGCCAGUUUGUUCCAUAUACAGCCUUAUUACCUUCUCGGAAAAUAUGUUCAAUUACAGUACUGCAUUUGCAGAACUCAACUUGAUAUUUGCCAAACAGCCAAAUAUCUUCCUUCCCUUUUACUUUUUGUAUUAAAGCAAUAAUUCUGUGAUAAAUGCGUUAAUUCUACCAGAUCACUUUUCAAGUUUAUCGAGUAUGUUGAUGCCCAACUUAGGACUCUUGUUAUAUUCCGGUGACUGUCUUUGUUUCCUAAUGAGGGCAGAGAUUCAUAAACAUAAUAAAUUUGCUCAUCUUCCUGCAAGGAAGGAAACUAGCCCUUCUCCCAGAAGAUUCCUGAAGGGUGGGUGGCAAUAAAAUUCUGCAGAAACUCAGCAAGGCUGAACCAGUCCUGGGUAUCCUGAUGACUUGGGUGCUUGUUGAGAAUCAUGGAGUCCUUCAGGUGGCUCAGGAGGUUUGGUACCAUGCGAGUGAUCUCACGCUGAGUGCUCUUGUCCACCAGAUCAGGCUUGGUCAAGACUCCUGUGGGCACUGUCUUGGAGUCCACCUCCUAAGUGAUGCUCAGUGCUUCUAUCAUCUCAAAGUCCACGUUACUGGAAACCACCACCAAAUGGGUGGUUUCUUGUAGAUAUACUGCUUGAUAAGUGCCUUGAUCUGCGUGCAAUGUCAGUGGGCUAACAGCUCACAGCCACUGUGGUUAUACCAGGAAGUUCUAUUAGUCAUAUGGAGUUGAGGUCCACAUGAACUAUUAAGGCAGAUUCCCAUCCCUUUCCGGUAAUAAUUAAUGUGGCCUUGGAGUAUAAGCAGAUGUGGUGUUUGACCUUUAGGAACCUACCUUUUAGAAGGAUGAAGCCUCCCCUCCCUCUUCCUCUGUGGUUAUUUGAGUCAGAAUUCAAGAGCAAUCCCUUAAAGGAAUGGCAGAGGAAAGGUAGAGCCAUGAUCCUUGUGCAUUCUUACCGCUGUGUCCUCUAACUGGUGACCGUUAACUUAGUACGUGUCAUUAAUGAACUGCUUUCCUAUUUGUGUCCUAAGCUAUAUUUGAGGAAAUGGUGAUGGAGGUAGGAGGGAAUCUGUAACCACAUGUUCAAGAACCUCUCAGUGGAUAGUCUAUUGGUCUCUGAAACUCACCCCUACCAACCCCAAGUUGUGUAGCUUUCGGGCACCUGACUCACAGGUGGGAUAGAAGGUGGCUCAGUGAGUCUCUGAGCAGCAGCAUCUGAGAAAAUCAGCUCUAGGCCUUCCCAAGACGGGGAAGGUUGGGUCUGUUCUCUUCCCUGUGAUCCAGAAGUUGGUCAGUGUUGUCUUUCAGCUAAAUAUCUUCCCACUCUAACCCCAGCUUCCUUUAAGGCACACCUGAAUUCUGCAUUUCUUUUCCUGUGAAAAUGAUGGUAAAUGUCAUGGAAAGACAGUGUGGCAGAAACGAACCUGUUAUCCCACAUCAGACAGGAAUGAGUCCAGAAGUCCUAGGUUUCUAUUGCUGUGGGAUAUUUUACUGGCAAUUAAUGCUUUUCUGACAAUACACUCAUCAUUCUAUUACUGCUCAGGGGAAAGAUUAUCUAACAUAAUACUAUUUUAUUUUAUAAACUAAGUUUGCUUCUAAAUGCCUAAAAUAGUAUAGCUCUCACUUGAAUGUGAGCAAUUUAAUCACUUAGGAAGGAUUAACCUUAAUUCUGUCUUGCCAUUUUAACUUCCUCCAGUUCCAUGAAUUGUAACUACCAAGACCCAGCUCAGUCAUGGAGACCCCAACCCAGUGGCGCUAAAAACACAGAAAUAGUGCAAAGUGGGAUCCAGGGGGCUUGACCCACAUAUUUAUUGACAGUAAGCCAGUGAUAACCAUUGCUUCUAUAGAUUAUAGAUUAAAAGCAUUCCUUAUGGGAAACAAAGCAUUCUUAGCGAGGAGCAGAGGAACAGGCUGUAGCUGAUUGUCUGCAGCCAAAACAUGUUGUUAAGGCACAGGCUGCUCAUGCUAUUUGUGGUUUGAGCAGUUUUCUGCUCCGGGCAUUCCUUGCCCUGCUCCAGUAAACCAACAACUAGCAGUGUGCGUGAUAGCCAACAUGAGCAUGUCACAUGGCUGCAGAGAUCCUGUUUGUGGCCAGUUUCUUUAAGGCCUGUUUAUGAAGGCUUAGGGCUUGUUCCCAGCAUGUCUCCCUUUCUGCUUUUGCAAAGCAAUUAAGACAAAGGCAGCUUUGUCACAGUGGGCUACUUCUCUCAGGAUUCUGGAUCCCAUCUGCAGACUACACAAAGACGACAUAGAUUAAAAGCACAAUCAUUGAAAUCACAAAGCCUCCAAGUGUCUUGAUCCAUUUUAAUUGGUUAAUAACUGCUAAUCUGCCUGCAGCUCCUUCAAGCACUUCCCUUCCUGGCGUUAGGGUCAGAUGUGCCUGAGAGGCUUGAAAUACUUGUUCCUUCAGUUUUGGAAUAUCUAAAGAUAAAUUUCUAGUAUGACCCUUUAAAUGUCUCUUAACUGUUUCUUACUCAUGUUCUGUUUCAUUAUACAGACGAGAAGUAAUGCAAAAAUCAGAAGUAUUCCAGUCACAUUGUAACCAUUCUAUACUCUAAACUAGUUACUAGAUCUCCUAGCCACAUUAGUUUGGUGGAGAUCAUUGAUUUGAUUAGCUAGUUUCUGGUCUAUAUUAGAGUAGAAUUUUUCUGCCAAUUAUUUACAUAGUCUGCUGUUUGUACUGUGGAAUGCAAAGCAACUCCGGCUACUGCAGCAGUAGCUGUGACAGCAAUCAAUCCCAUAAUGAUUUUAAAGUGGCAACGAAAUGCCGAGAGCACCUCAAAAUCUUUUGAAGAAUUUCAGUAAUAAUAUGCACAGGAGAGGCUUCCUAAGGACGGGAAAGCUUUACAUGUAUCUGUACUCCUUCUUGGGCUCUUACCACUAAAAUAGAAUGAUCAGUAUUAUACAAGGAAGAAUUCACACAAGAAAACAAUCUACAUCCUUGACAAGUCACAUGAUUAGGGAGAUCAAGUUUUAAAUCACCUACUACAAGCAGGAAAGGAGGACGGACACAACUCUAUAUCCAGACUGAAUCAUGAGUCAAUUCUAACAUAAUUAGGAUUACACUGGGUUGGCUUUAGUAUAUCUUCAUUCCCAAAUCUUUAUCCUUUUUAGUGCCAUGAAUAUUUUCUACACCUCCUUAUGUUUAGCUCCUACAGCAGGCCAUAUCAUUUGGGGUUGAGGUGCCACUAUACCACCAUAUGCCAAAAUAAUAGGAACUCUUGCUGUACUUCUUAUAGUGUCCACCAUCUGAUUAUUUUGUUUAGAUGCAGGGUGAGCAUUACCUGCAGAUUGAGAGGUGAGCCUCAUAAAUGCACCUUUAGGUAGGGGAUCAAUCACUAAUGACUCCAUAUGAACCAUUACCACAACACCUCUGCCUGCCUUGCUAUACAAUCUUCCCAAGCAAAUGCCUUCAUUUUUUCUGACCAUGUCCAAUCCACUUUAUCAGAUAGGUUUUUGAGGGUGGUAAACUUUGGCUACAGGAGCACAAUCAUUGUAAUAAAUACUAAGACCAGAAAGCAUAUGUGAUUGUGCCACAAAGAUGUUACGUUAAGGUACUGUUGCCUGCCAAGAUUGAAGACUGGGAGGUAAACACCCAUUGGCUUUUCCCAUGCAAAUGGGUAGAUGAUCAAAUCCCAAUGAGAUUUUCUUAAUUGUUCCUUCCUCUUGGGUGUGAGAUGGGCCUCUAUUAUCUGUAGAACCAGGCAUCCAAAAACUAUCAUUAGUGUAUACCUCUGCUGGGGGGUCUAACCAUGUUACUGGCUGUAGAAGUGGUGGAAUAUUUGCCCAAUAAGCUUAAUUGUUUUUUGUUUCAGCAGUUACUGGGGGAAUAUGGCAAUGGUGAGCACAGCCAUCACAGCUACCAUUAGGUUACUCAUUGUAACUGGUUGUCCCACCUUCAGAUUUUUUUCUGCCAUCUGUGUCAACUUUUUGAUCUGACCUCAGAUGGGUGGCUGUGCCACCAUAAGUGUUGCUCGCCAGGACUGGUGUCUUCCUUAUUGUCAGUCUAGACAUGGCUGCAGUCCUUGGGUUCCUCCCAAAGUCUCUUCCUCAGCAUCUGGCUCAUAAGGUUUCAGGUGUCUCGAUGGUAUCCAAAUCAGCUGCUGAUUCUGGCCUGGAGAAACACAGGUAUAACCUCUACCCCAAGUUAUUUUACAUAUUUCCCAACUUUGUGUUAUCGGACCUCUCCACCAAACCAGUUCUGCUUCUGUCUUUGCCACUGGUUUCUGUAGAUGCUGUUCAGCUGCUGAUAGCAUCUGGCCUUUAGGCAGGCUCAAAAAAUUUAAAAUCAAUAAUGCUAGAUUCAAUUGCAUAUGUGGGGUCCCGUAGUCACUAUCUCUCCCUUUGUUUUUGUAAUUGCUCUCUCAGGGAGAGAGCCAUUCUUGCCACAAUGGCUUGUCCUUGUGAAUUAUAUGGGAAGCCAGUAAUGUGUUUAAUAUUUCAUAUAGAGAAAAAUGUAGCUAGAGCUUGGCUUAGUAUAGCAUGGGGCAUUAUCUGUUUUAAUAGAAGCUGGAAUGCCCAUCACUGCAAAACACUGCAAAAGGUUCUGCCUGUGCAGUGUUAAACAUCAAGCAAGAAGACUCUCCUGAUUGGAAUGUAGCCCAAAGUGAGAAAAGGUGUCCACACAUGUACAUAAGCUAGCCUCCCAAAUGAGGGAACAUGUGUGCCAUCCAUUUGCCAAAGAGAAUUAAGUUCCAAUCCUCGAGGAUUAACUCCUCCUGUAAAAGGUGAGGAAUGUACCUUUUGGCAAGUUGGGCGUCGCUGGAUAAUAGCUUUAGCUGCUUUCCAGGUAUUGCUGUAUCUGCAUUUGAGACCAGAGGCAUUAACAUGGGUUAAAUUGUGAAAGUGUCUAGCAUUAGAUACUGCAGUAGCAACUAGACGAUCAGCCAUUUGAUUCCCUGCAGUCAAAGGUCCUGGAAGAGGUGUAUGAGCUCUAAUAUGAGUAAUGUAAAAAGAGUGCAUUCUAUUCCUAACUGCGGUUUGUAAUUGGGCAAAUAAAGUCAUGUUGCUCAUCUGUGUGGAAUCGUAGCUGAGCAUUUUCAGCUAUGUAGAAUGGACCACAUCUGAAGAAUCAGAAAUUACAUUGACAGGCAUCUCAAAAGCAGCCAGCACCUCAAUUAUAGCUACAAGUCUCUGCUUUUUGAGCUUGAAGUAUAGGGUGUCUGAAAAACUUAACUUUUUUUGAUCCAGAAUAAGAAGCUUUUACCAUUACUAGACUCAUCUGUUAAAAAUAUUUUCAGCACCUUCAAUUGGUUUAAAUUUAGUUAUUCUAGGGAGAAUCCAAUUUUUAAUAUCAAAAUUUUGUUUUCAGAAAGUGAUGAUCAAGAAUACCUAUGAAAUCAGCUAAAUGGGUUUGCCAAGUAAGACUAUUUAUAAAGGCCUGUUGUAUUUGUGCCUUUGUAAGAGGGACAAUUUUUCCAGGGUCAUAUCCAUGUAAUUUACCAAUUUGAGUUCUCACAUUUCCUAUCAGUAGCAAUUUGAUCCAAAUAAGGAGUUAGUCCGUGAAUUAGCACGUGGAAGAAAAAGCCAUUCUACUAAGUCUUGCUGUUGAACAAUAACACCAGUAGGUGAAUGUUGAGUCAGAAAAACUAGCAAAUCUAGAAUCUUCUCUGGAUCUAUUCUAUUUGAGCCUUAUGCACUUGCUUUUCAAUUAGCUGUAACUCUGCCUCAGCCUCCUUUGUUAAUUGCAGAGGGUUAGUUGACAAUAGGAUCUCCUCUAAGGAUAGAAAAUAGAUUACUCAUGGCAUAGGUAGGAAUGCCUAGAACAGGUAGUAUCCAAUUAAUGUCCCCUAGUAAUUUUUGAAAGUCAGUGUUUUCAAUUGAUCCUUACAUAUGGUUACUUUCUGUGGCACUAUUGCAAUGUCAUUUACUGAGGUUCCCAAGUAGCGCUAAAGAAGAGUAGUCUCAAUUUUGUCGGAAGCUAUAAUUAAACUAGCACAAGAAAUAGUUUUGCAAGUGAUCAUAACAUGGGAGUAAUAUUUCCUAAGUGGAGGCAGCACAAAAGAAUAUCACCUAUAUAAUAAUGUAAUGCUGUGAAAAUAUUUUAUGAGUAGGUUCAAUUGCUUGCCCUACAUACGUCUGGCAAAUUGUUGGACUGUUUAACAUGCUUUGUGGCAACACUUUCCAAUGAAAAUGCUUAGCAGGCUGCAGGUUGUUUACAGCGGGAAUUGUAAAUGCAAAUAGUUCAGUCUUGCUCAGCUAAGGGGAUAGUAAAGAAACAGUCUUUUAAAUCUAUUAAAGGCCAAUUUUUUGGAAUCAUAGCAGGAGAACGCAAUCCUGGCCGCAAUGCUCCCAUAGGUUGUUUAACUGAAUUAAUGGCUCUGAGAUCUCUCAACACCCUCCAUUUACCUGAUUUUUUAAUAACAAAGACUGGAGAAUUCCUGGGGGAAAAUGUUGGAGCUAUGUGUUCUUUUUCUAAUUGUUCAGUAAGUAAGUUCUCAAAGGCCUCCAGUUUCUCUUUACUCAGCGGCCAUUGCUCUAUCCAAAUUGGCUUAUCUGUUAACCAUUGUCAAGGUACAGGUUCUGGAGGCUUAACAAUGGCUGCCAUCAAAAAUGAUAUCCUAAACCUUGAUGAGAAUUCUGUCCUUCCACUUGAAGCAGUUUCUUUAACGCUUGUAAAUUUUUUCCUAAUCCCAUGCGAGUCCCAUACCCCAUCUCUUGCAUCAUAUGCUGACUUUGAGGGCUGUGUAAUUGUUCGGAAUUAACACUUGUGUUCCCCAUUGCUGUACUCUCUUCCCCAUAAAUUUAUAGGUACAGAAGUUACAAUUGGUUAAAUAGUCCCAGAUUGUCCAUCGGGUCCUUCAUAAUGCAAAAUAUAACUGCUUUGAUAUGUCAGGGGCUUUACCAACUCCAACUAUGUUAAAUUGAGUGGGUUGAAUUGGCCACAUGGACAGAAAGUGCUGUAGAGAAAUGAUUGAAAUGGCUGCUCCUGUAUCUAUCAAUCCUUUAAUUUUUUUUCCCUGAAUAGCUAUUUCGCAGGCAGAACGUUUAUCAGUAAUUUGAUUCACCCAAUAAGCUGCUUUGCCUUGUUGGUUUGUUCUUCCAAAUCCUCCUUUUCAUUUAGUUUCACUUUUCCCAAUUUCCACAUACAGCACAAUCAGGAGCUGUGCUAUACACUCUCCCGGCUCUGCUUUCCGGGGAACAGAAGUAGAUAUAUAACAAUUUGAAUUUCCCCAUUGUAAUCUGAAUUAAUGACUCCUGUAUGUACUUGUACUCCUUUUAAAUUUAAACUAGACCUACCUAGAAAUAAUCGUACAGUCCCUGCUGGCAUCAUCUGACUGGAGACAGCAACAUUCUUUAACGGUCCCAUUACAAAAGAACCUGGUCCAUAUUGAUAGCUUGUUUAAAUUCUUUAAGUAUUUUAAAAGGAGAAGGCUCAAAUGUAGCUAUGAUAUUCUCCUGUUGAUCAGGUGGGUGUAUUCUAACAGGGAACUGCCAAGCCAUCCAUGUCACCCUCUAGUCUAGCUUGCUGGAUUCUUGUGUGAGUAGAACUGGGAGUGGUUGCUCGAGGCACUGCUUGACUACUCACUGGGGCAACUACUUUUUGCCCAGUGUCCUCUGGAAAAGAAAGAUCUGGAGGGUCAGGCCACUCUUUUUUUUCCAAAAUAAUGAGGGGGUACAGAGGGUAGGGACAAACCUCUCUCUCCUUUGCCACUUUAGCUGGCAAGCAAACCUGCUCUGCACCUCUUCUGUUACUUCAUUAGACUCUCCUCCUUCCUCUAAUUCUUCCUUGUCAUCUGUGUGGAAAGGCUCCAGGGUGGAAUGAACCAGAGCCCACACUGACCAGACAGUUAUAGGAAUAUCCUCAACACCAUCCUUAUGCCUUUUUCAGUGUGCUUGCCUACCUUUUCCCAGAUCUCUACGUUCCUAGUUCCUCGGUCCAGAAACCAGGGGCAGUAUUUCUCUACCACACUAAAAAGCUGCAUAAGUCAGCUGGUGCUAACCUUCACUCCUCCUUUUCUGAGGAGAUGCGGAAGCAGACUCAAAUAAGCUUCGUGCCUGCUCAACUCUUGUCCCAUUGUUACCCUGAUGCUUCUAGGCUCGCCUUCUUACCACGAGGAUUGCUUAAGAGUACUCGGGUGUCCUCCAGCAUAGUUCUAUGUUCUCCAACUAUCACUUUGGUGACCCUUUGACCCAGGUUUGAGUCCCCACGUUGGAUGCCACUUACUGAGACCAGCUCCAGUCAUGGCGAGCCCAGCCCAGCAGGACUAGAGGAAUUGAAGACAAUGACACACAAAUUGAGUGCAAAGUGGGAUCCAGGGGGCUAACAGCCUUCAGAGCUGAGAGUCACGAACAGAGUGUGAGCUACAUACAUAUUUACAGUAAGCCAGCGACAAGCAUUGCUUCUGUAGAUUAUAGAUUAACUGAAAGCAUUUCUUACAAGAAACAAAGCAUCCUUAGGGGCAGAGAAACAGGCUCUGGCUGAUUAUCAGCAGCAAAAAGGCACAUGUUAAGGCACAGGAUGCUCAUGCUAUUGGUGGUUUGAGCCAUUUUCCGCUCUGGAUGGGCCAGGCGUUCCUUGCCCUGCUCCAGUAAACCAACAACUGCUAGUAGUGUGCGUGAGAGCCAUCAUGAGCAUGUCACAUUGCUGCAGAAAUCCUGUUUAUGACCAGUUUCUUUAAGGCCUGUUUAUGACAGGCUUAGGGCUUGUUCGCAGUAGUAACAAGGCCUGAUAAGGAAACACUGCCUUCCCAUUGGAUCCUCCAAGAGCUGCAUGAGAAGGAAGCCAGGGAUGUGUUGGAAACCCUCAUCUACCUGGGUUCCCUGCAGAGGGACAGGGCUAGGCUGGACACUGUGCUAAUGCACCAAGGCAAAAGCUUCCAAGGCCAUUUUCCAUUACCCACUGUGUACAUGGAUCUAGUGUGAUUCUCAUAAUGCUGCCUCUGUGUUGAGACUACAAAGAGAAUUCUUCACCUUGUCUGCCUGAUGCUCUUAUUCCUUCUGUGUCAAAAUAGGGGUCCAUUCCUGUUAAAAGUAUGAAUCGUGCAGUGAAGUUUUUCACAUUUCUGAUGCCCUGGAAGAAACUUUAUCAGUUUAUCCUAAAUGAUCGUAGGAUGUUGACACACAGUGAUAAGCCUGGCCACACUCUCCCCAAGUGGUUGUACACACUGGGCUGAGAUUUCAGGCUCUUUAAUCCACUUUGCACAAGAGAUCAUCUUCUAACCAUUGUCCCCGUAGGCUCUGUGUCUUUAUAUGGUAGUAACUUGUGAGGGAUAGUUUUCCUUGGUCUGUUGGUUCUUUAUAUCCUGAGUUAUGAUUUCUCUGCCUGAGAAUGCAUUUUGGGAGACAAACUUCAUCAGUUUUGUGUGAUGUGGUAUGCUGGCCAUGUGAGUUCCUGUUCGUAAGUGGACUCUUUUGCUCCUGUUUAGUGGGGAAGUCUGAGUGGGAGAUGAUUUGGGCACUGUCCUAGGAACCUGAAUGAAAGACUCCUGUUUUCUUUUGCCCUGGAUUGUUCCGCAUAAGUGGAGUCAAUCCCUCUGUGCUGCUGUAUAUUGCUCUGAAUGAAAACAAGUAACCCAAGAGGUUGAGGGUGUGACCUGGGGUAGUUCAGUCAUUUUAACCAAAUGCCAAGACACCUGGGUGUGUCUUUGAGCAGGAAAGGGACAGGAUAAGAGUGUACUGCAACGAGGAGCUUUUUCUUCCAUUUUCUGUGAUGGAGAUGCUUUUCUUCGAGGAAGGAAAUCUUCCUGAUCGAUCAGGAAGCCAAAACUCUAAUAAUGUAUUUAUGAAGGAUGUGCCUUUUACAUCUCAUACAUUCCACCACAAAUGUUGAGUAUGUUUAAUGAUCUAAAAUUUGACUAUAUAUCAGCUCUAUGUAAUCCUGAGUUCAAAAUAUGAUAGUUUAACACUGUGCCUUAUAGGGCAGUAAAGAAUACUGGGUUUAGAUCCAUACUUCUGUGGACAUUUUAAUAUGUUAAGUAGUGGAUUUCAUUGCUAUAUACCUCUGUACAGUUUACAGUAAAAUAUGAUCUGAAGUCUUUAUUUUCUCUAUAUUUUUGUAAGAGAUCCCUUCAAUUUUUUACUUCUAAAGUGAAUAUAAUCUCCUUUGACUUUGAAAAAUCGGUGCUCCUUAGUGUGAAGAAUUUGUUCACACUUCAGACAUUCUGCUUGUAGUCUUUCAUAAAUUUUAGGGAACCUAUUUUAGUUGACACUGCCUAUGCAUUUAAAACCCCUUUGAGUGCAUGAGAAAAAUGACAGUGUUGGAAACCCUCCUGCUUGCACUUCUGGCAGCUCUAACCCAUGUGCCUGGAUUGAUAACUGUAUUGACCUUAAGUGAAAGCUCCUGGCUCAUGUUUAGCUUUGACUCUUCCCAACUCUGUUGUAGGGUCUGAUCCUUAUUGUUUCUGCCCCUUGGACAUGGAAGGGUCAAAACAUGAUGUAGGCUGAUACUCCUGUUCCUUAUGAGUCCACAUGAGUCGUUCCCAAGCCAGAGUCAUGAAGAUCCUCACUACCUAAGUGUUGUGGGGGAGAUGCCCUCUGUUUGACCCCCAGGGAAGCCCCACUGGGUACAGAUCACAUGGACAAUGUCUGUUGUGAGCCCAGGUCACUAAGGUGUUUGUCCCCAGGCUCCAUGGUUCUCAUAUCUAAGGUAUUCAGCCUUAUGUGCCACAGGCUCCCUUGGCUGUGAAAGGCUGAGCUUAAGAACUCAGUGACGUCCAUGGUGUGUGCAGAGCUGACCCUCUGGUAGAUGGUACAGACAAUGGACAAGGCAAGUGUUUUCCCUUCUACUCUGACCUUAGAUUGAGCUUCAGACAUUUGCCCAGGGGUCUUAACAUGGGUGUAGCCUCUUUACGGCACCAACCGUUACAUUCUUUGAAGUGAGUUGUUUGAAGGCAAAUCAAAUUGUCCAGAUCAGAAGACACCUCACUUGGGGCUUUGCAAUGAUGUAUAAAUCUAGAUCUGUAAACUACUGGCCUCCAGAGUAUGCAGUUUGUGCCUAUGACCGGUGUUACAAAUCUGUAUCUUAAAUGCAUAAUCAGCCUGUUGGCUCUUAAUGUGCUUUCUAUUAAAGGCAAUGGGUUUCAUUUAUACUGUUCCCUCUGAAAGUUUUACAGGACAGAUUGCAUGAAUAAAGGUUAUCUAGAGAAAAUAAAACCUAUUUUAGCAUUUCCUGAUCCUGUGAACUCUUUAUUAACAAGGCUUAGCAUUGACUAGAACAGGAAUUGAAUUCAGGACAUUCCAAGUCCACAGAAAGCAAUCUUGAUAUCCUGAAUUCCUAAUUGAAACCAGAUGAAAAUCAGCAUUCCAGUUACUGAGGAUACUUUAUGCAGAUAGAAAUUUACCUUCUAAAUAAUAAAGUGUUCUCUUACCUCUUGCUGAUCUUUGACUUCUGUAACUCAGACCAAACUGUCUAGGCAGAGCAGGGUACACAGAUUAUUUUUGAACCACAUGUCCAUAGGCAGAGAAUACUCUGAACCACAAGGUCUGGAAGUCCUGUAUUUCACUUCACGUACUUUGAGGGCCCCGGGGUUCAAAGAUGUUGGGAAACAAAUACACUGUGUCUGUCUUAUUUUAGUCUGUCUUUUCCUUUGGUUAUCAAAAAUCUGCUUGUGAUCUUCUGCCAGUGAUUUUUGCCUUCUGUUCAUAUAUAGUACUCUUUUCUUGCCAAACAUUUGUCUGCUUUAUUCACCGAUACCUUCUUCCAGAGUUCAUCAAUGCCGUUCGUAUAUCUGAAAAAAACUUAUUAAUUUUAUUUCAGUAACUUCAUUGAGUGUAAGUUCUAAUUUAUUAAGGUAAUGGUUCCCUGUAGGUGACUGCUCUUUGUCUUGUGGGUUCUUACAGUCGCUGUCAAGAAAUAAUUGUACAUUAACUGGCUGAGUUGAUGGCCACCUGGUUUGAAUGUCAUUCUGUAAGAUAGGUGGAUGUCCUCUGAACCUGUGAAGCUCGAGGUGCUGCUCUUAACAUUUCUCCAAUGGGAGCUAAACUGAAAUGCUAGAAGGUUUGAAUUAGAAUGCCCCCUUGUAGCCUGUCGUGUGAUGCCUUUGGCACUAGUAGAAUUUUGAUUGCCACGGAAAAGUGGGGAAUGGUGAUCAUCAUUGGGAGAAUUGUUCUUCUCUGAUCAGGUAGAGACUGUUUGGAAGACAAGCAGAGAAUUUUGAAACCUUCAGUUGGAAAGCAUCCCACUGGCAGGAUUUGACUGUUGGGCAAAAACUGAUCCAGAGACCCUUUUUGGGUAAGGGAGGCAGCUGUUAGUCAUGGUUUCUAGUCAUUCUUUGCCUUCUGGUUUGUUCUUGGCAACGGUUUUUUGCAAAGGAUGGCUGAGGGUCCUAUGCCAUGGCUGUAAUAAGGAAAAUAAGUAAUUCUAGAGCUUUUCCCCCCCCACAAAGAACUUGUCAGUGUGGGGGAAAGCAUUUUGCCUCUUCUAGCAGCUCUGCUGACAACCACAUGACAAGCAGGGAGCUCAUGGACCAGCUGUGGAUUCUAAGGACUCAUGCAUCCUAGUUACUCUGGCAGCAAAGCUGUUGCCAAUUCAACCAGUGGACUCAGUCUAUUGGGUCCUGAACCAUGAGCCCAUUGCAUGCUCUAUGGUGUCAGGAUUACUGUGACUGGAGGGGUGAGGUCAGUUCAGCCUGAAAAACCUUGGAGCAGGAGUUUAACUUCUCAAGGGAACAGAUUUCUGAGCUUGUGAUGACUUGCUCACGUAUUCCAAAUGUUUAUUUUUUUUUUUUUUUGAGAGCAGAGCGUUUAAGCCUUUUGGAACACUCUUCUGUGGUGGCUUAUUACAGUGAAGCCUCAGCAGGGUAUAGCACCAAUCAAUGGUGUCCAGCCUAGAUCAAAGUAAGGUCCUUUAAUGUGACUUGCUUCUCUUUGCUACAAGCUCAUUACUCUUGAAGGGAUGGAAUCAGGUUCAGACUACCCUGAGUCUGGCUGUUUCAUCUUGGUCAUUAUUUGCUUUAUUACUUGAUCCUAGAGCUGGUAACUAGUCACCUGAACAGUGUGACAUGUGAAAGAUUAAAAGCUAAUCUUCCCUUGGUACUGAAUGAAGAAAUUCUUAAAAAUGAACUGGAAGUUUGUGAACCUUUUUCCCAUUUCAUUCUCUGUAACUUGUGAGGGGGCUUAACACCACCUCAUUCUCCUGAAAGCUGGUGAUGGCAGGAAGUCUGCUUUCUCCUUCAGCAGGAAGGUAGGAGAGCAGGGAACAUGUUUCCAGUUUCUAAAUAUCACUACCCUGCACUCCUAGGAGUGUCGGCUGAAAUGCUUACACUGCUUGAGAGAUAUUCAAUACUGGACUAAAGAAGGUCUGUGAGUUACUGUAGAAAUAACCCAGUUCUAGAACACUCCAUGAUUGUUAGUUACAGGGAAGAGGCCAGCGAUAGGAGCCUGCUAAACUCAUCCUUCCAUAAAUGUUAAAAUCCCUAUCAUCCCAACCAAAAAGGAAUUCACUGUGGGAGCAGAUUCCCAUUGGUCUCUACAGAACAUAGCUAGUCCUGUUUCCUCUAUUCAGCAUCUGGGGAGUCAUGCCGCCUUGUUUUGGAUUAUCCCAUAGACCCAUCAGUGGGGCCUCAGAGUUUUAAACUCUGUAUAUUUCUGGGCUCUUGCCAUUGGCUGUGGCUUGGCAGCUAGUUAGGUGAGCACCCAAGCUGAUGGUGUACCAACUACAGCUCUUUUCAUAGCGUGAACCUCUCCUGAGGCUUUAAAAAUUUGCUGUCCUAACUAUCACAAGGACAAACAAACACUGCAUGUUCUCACUCACAGGUGGGAACUGAACAAUGAGAACACUUGGACACAGGAAGGGGAACAUCACACGCCGGGGCCUGUUGUGGGGUGGGGGGAGGGAUAGCAUUAGGAGAUAUACCUAAUGUAAAUGCUGAGUUAAUGCGUGCAGCACACCAACAUGGCACAUGUAUACAUAUGUAACAAACCUGCACAUUGUGCACAUGUACCCUAGAACUUAAAGUAUAAAAAAAGCAAAAAAAGUAUGCUGUCCUCUGCCGUUUUAUAUUGUUAAAGGAGCACCUCACAGAGACCUUCAUUUCCAAAGACAAAUGUGCACUAAUGAUCAAGAACAUUUUCUUACACUGAUAUACCUGGUCCCUCUCAAUUUUCACUCUACCUGGUCUUGACCAUAAUAUGUUGGUGAUAUCCUUGUCAUAGUAGGGUCCUCCACUAAUAAGACAUGAGAAUCUUACGCUUUUAGCCUCUGGUGAUCUGUUGGUUUCUGGAAUCUUUCUUGGUCUUACCUAGAUUAUGAUGAACCUUCUCACUCCCCUCAUCUUCUAUGAAUAUAACGUAGACACAGGGAGAGUAAACAGUCUUUUUGAAAAGUAUUUGCGAAGAGACCAAUUUCCUCUAAGCACCAUGAUCCCACAUGGUCAGAUAAAUGAGGGUUAUGUGUCGCCUCAUAAAUUCUCAUAGCAGUUGACGUUUGUUCCACAGUGGGAUUUCUGCUUUGGCUGCUUUUAGCCAACCUGCCUUGAGAAUCCUGACCUAGGAGAAGACUGGAGGUUGCUGGUCUGUGGAGAGGGCCUCAGAGGAGCCUGUUUUCUCAAGUUUUCUUGCAUGGGCACAUGAGUCUUCAUACGUCAACUUGAAUAAAGCUAAUUGCCCUGCUAGCUCUGUAUGUAACUAAGUUCUAUCUGCACUAGGGUUCUGAGGUGUGUUAAGUGACCUUGGACAAACAAUCUUAUUGCUUCAUUCUCCUGAUAGUGAUGAGCCAACUUGAUAUUUUGGAACACUUGGGAGGAAUGUUAAUUCUUCUGUGUUAUAGAACCCUUUACAUUUCCUCAUGCCAUCUUGUAGAGGUCCUACUCAAGUUUGAAACAUUAUACAUGGAAUAGCCAUCUUCGAAGCAUGACUCUGCAUUGGAACUUGAGUCUGCCCUCGUUCCUUUUCUUAGGUUUUUGAAGGAGAACCUCACUUUUGAGUUCACUCAUACAUUUUAGCACUAACGAUAAACCAUAUGUUUGGCUUAUGUUUGGAGGUCAUUUUUCUCUUAUCCCUGAUUAUACCCUGCCUGUUCCCUAUUGAAAUGACCCUGGCAUCAUUACUGAGGCCUCAUGAAAAUCUUCCUCUGAAUAGGACUGGAGAAUUUUGUGUAUAUAGUCCACAUUCUUGGCCAUAAAGAGCUCUUGGUCAACUUUCCUGUCGGCCUGCUCCAGAAGAAAAAUGUGGAGGCACCUUAUCUAUAGAGGGGGACAUGGAAAAUGAGGUCUAUGCCUGCAAAUAACUUCUCCAGGGUCACCUUAAUUUUUCAUGAGUCAACUUCAUAUGAAUUGAUGUUCUUGCUGUUCAUUAGCUGGGAUCAGGCAAAUACGUUGUGACUACGGCAUUUGAGAAAUGUGACAUUGAUACAUCAAGAUCUUGCCCUUUAAAAGGAGAUGGCCUUCCCUUUUAUUUUCCUGAGCUCCUCAUUAACACUGAAACCAAGCGUGUGAACUCUUGUGUGAAUGCAUGGCAGUGGGAAAGCAGGAGUGUAGCUUGCAUGUUCUUGCUGGUGCAUUGCUAGUACACUUUCUCUAAGAGGUAUUGCAUUGGCUAUAACAUCUCAGAAAUACCCUCCCAUUUAGGAGUCUCACCUACCUUUGUGUAGGGAGAAGAUAGUCCUGAAGGUAGAACAAGGGUGUUCAUAACCACUAGCUCAGAGACCUGUUUAUGGGUAAGUCUACCUUGGUCCCUCUAGAGCACCAAUUGUCACGUGCCCAGUAUGCAUGGUCUUCAGCCACCUGCCAUGCUGGUAUGGAAGAUGGUCAGCAUUAGCCUAUGGGUUUCCAUAUCUGGGAGAAGAUGUGUGCUUAGACAGGUAGAGAGGUUUGUCUUCUUCCUUCCUUUCUUUAGAUCUCCAUUACAGUCCCAAUAUGUCCUUUACCUACAUAUUACCUGACUGCCCUGAUCAAGACAUUUCUUGAUGCAUACUUGAUUUUCUAUAUCUCCUCCUCUUGUCCCAAAAAUGAAACGAUCCUAGGACAAAAAUUCAAUACAGGCUUGAAAAGCAAAUUGAUCUUCCGGAGCAGAAAUCCUGCUGUGUCAUCCCACUAUUGCUUGGUGUGAACAAGCCUGAGUUCGCUCAGCCUUUCUUUGCCUUAAGUACCGGAAGCUGAAAAACAUCUCAGUAUUAUGCCUUCAGUUGACACACCUGUACAUGGAGAGACACAUCUUCCAUUGUCUGUGGUUAAUCUAGGUAUUCUUACCACCAUCAGUAGUAGAGAAGUAAAGAACAGUGAAGUAAAACUUUGGGAUUGUGUGGAUGAUGCCCAGGACUGAGACUGGAAUGUGUUCCCACUGAGACUGGAAAGAUAGUGCAGAUGAGCACUUUGGGUAUGGCAGGAUCAUUUGAAAGAACCAGUUAAGCAUGUUUAUAACACAAACAUAAACUUACUAGUUAGAAAUCGUCAAGGAUUUCUAGUGUGUUCAGAUUCUAUUGUCUAGGGCUUAUGUUAGAUUUUAUAGGCUGAGAUCUUGUUCUCUAACUGGAAGGCAGCAUCUGCCUCUUUCCACUUGAACUCUGGCAGGAGGUUUGUUCCAUUGCAUGUGGUUCUGAGUUGUUCAGUCUAAUGGAAGAAGCACUAGAGAAGAGCUCAGAACGUUUGGUUUUAAAGCAGCAUCGUCAAUAUCUUUGAGUCCAACAGUCAAAUUCAAAUAUACUCCAAGAAUGUUACGAAGUUGUCGUCGGGAAGCAUGGCAAACUGAUACAGUGAAAAGAGAAAUUCUUGAGUCAGGUGUUGACCACUUUAAAUCUCAGGUAAGAGGCAUUCACCUGAGGAGUACUGGAAAUUCUCUCACCUGCAGAGGCUUGCUAGGUUUGUGCUUGUUUCCAUGUGAAGAGCCAUAAGUUAUAACCCUCCUCAUACCGUGUGUGGAGACAUGCCAGGCUCAGAUCAACACAUACCUAUGUAGGGAUGGGAUGAGCAGGAAGAUCUAAGUUGGAAGCAUCAGAAAACUUAUGGGGUCAGGAGAAGUGUGGGUUUGUAUGCUACUCUGUGGAAUCUCAAUCCUCUGUCCUCCAAAGGGUUUCUAAUUCUCAUUGUCUUGUGGUCUUUGUGUGAUUGCCAUUAUCUUUCACACCAGUGGUGUGGAAAAGUGGUCAAUGUUAGCCUGAGUCUCCCUAUCUGAGCUGGUUUGGUUCUCAUUCCUUUGAUUCCCCAAGAUAGUCCCAAUGCCUCCUUUUAACCAAAUAUUCACUGACUACUCUGACCACGAGAUCUUUAGAUGUGUAUCUGCCUUUUAUAUAUUUCCUUAUAUUGCCCCUGAUACAGUUUGGAUAUCCCUUCCAAAUCUCAUGUUGAUAUAAUCCCACUGUUGGACAGUAGGGCCUGGUAGGAGGUGUUUGGGUCAUGGAAGUGGGUCCCUCAUGACUUGGUGCUGUCCUCACCAUAGUUCUCAUGACAGCUAGUCAUUCGAGUAUGUGGCACCUCCCCCUUGCCUUUCUUCUGCUUGUACCAUAUGACUUGCAAGCUUCCCCUGUGUCUUCCACUGUAAGUAAAAUCUUCCUGAGGCCUGUCCAGAAGCAGAUACCAGCGCUAUUAUUGCCAUACAUCCUGUAGAACCGUGAGACAGUUAAAUCUCUUUUCUUAUAAAUUACCAAGUUUAGGUAUUUAUAGCAAUGCAAGAUAUGGCCUGACACCACCCCUAAAAUGAUAUUCUGGGACAAAAAUUCACUAUAAGCUUAAAUCUUGCAGAGCAGAAACCCUAAUUCUUGGUUAUCCCACAGUUGCUUGGUGGGAACAUGUCUGAUCUCCUCUCAGCCUUUCUUUGCAAGCAUCAGAGUUUGGAAAACAAUCUCAACUAUGCCUAUAUUUCACACACUUGUGCAUGUAGACACACAUCUCUAACUGUCUUGGUGGCUGAUCUAGGCAUUCUGACCACCACCUCUACAGAAGUAAAGAACAGUGAAGGAAGAAUCUGGGAUGGUGUGGAUGAUGUCCAGGACUGAGACUGAAGUACGUGUUUAACUGAGAUUGCUCAUUUGCAGUAUCUUCCCAAUCAGGUUGUGUGGGCUCAUUUGGAAAAACCAGUUUACCAUGUUCAUAACACCAAUGUUGUAACUGAGAACACAAAUCCUCCUUGUGGACUUCUAAGUAGCAAGUGUUAAUCUCUAUGGCUUAUGUUGGAUUUUUAAGGCUGACACUUGAUCGCUAACUGGAAGGCUGUAUUUCCUUUAUUCCUCUCAAGCUCUGGAAGGAGAUCUGUUCCAUUGCAUGUGGUUCCGAGUUGUCUUGCGGUUCAAGCACUAAGGAGCACAGAGCAUUUGGUUUUACAGUGGCAUCAUGGGUAUUUUUGAGGCCCAAACUCAACAUGCUUGGAGUAUGUUUGAAUUCAAGUUGCUGGCCUAAAAUAUCACCUAUAGGAAGCAUGGCAAAUUGAUACCAUGGAAAAGGAUCAUUCCUGCCUCAGGUUGACCACUUAAAUUUCAGGUAUGAGACAUUCACCUAAGGGGUGUCACCUGGGCAUUGUCUUGGAGGCCACAGCAGCCUUCCAUGAAAACUCCUACAGAGGCUUGGUAGGUUUGUGCUUGUUUCCACCUGAAGAGCUAUAACUUUUGUAACACUCCUCAUGUGUUGUGGAGACAUGCCAAGCCCAGAUUAACAAUACCUAGGUAGGGAUGGGAUGAACAGGAAGAUCUGGGUUGGAAUUAUGAGCAAAUUAAGGGGUUAGGAGAUGAAGUGAGGCUUUGUGUGCUGCUCCAUGGAAGCUGAAGCCUCUGUAGUUUAAAGGGUUUCUCAUUCUCCCUCCCUCCUGUGGUCUUUGAGGGAUUGCCAUUGCCUGCCAUGCUAGUGGCAUAGAAAGUGGUCAAUAUUAGUCUGUGAGUCUCCCUAUCUGAUAGGACUCUUAACCACGUGGGGAGAGGUGUCUCACUCUCAUUCCUUUGAUUCUCCAUGGUAGUCCCAGUGCCUCCUUUCAACUAAAUAUUCACUGACAACUCUGACAAAGAAAUCUUGAGAUGCAUAUUUGCUUUUUAUAUUUCCUAUAUCGCCCUGAUACAGUUUGGAUAUCCCCACCAAAUCUCAAGUUGAGAUGUAAUCUUCGAUGUUGGAUGAUGGGGCCUGGUGGGUGGUAUUUGGGUCAUGGAAGUGGAUCCCUCAUGGCUUGGUGCUGUCCUCCCCAUUGUGAGCUCUCACAAGAUGCAGUCAUUGAAAAGUGUGUGGUACCUCCCCCUUGCCUUUCUUUUGCUUUUGCCAUGUGACAUGCAAGCUCCCCCUUUGCCUCCAUAAGCAUAAGCUUCCUGAGGCCUCCCAGAAGCAGAUGCCAGUGCUGUGCUUCCCUAACAGCCUGCAGAACCAUCAGAUGAUUAAACCUCUUUUCUUAAGAAUUACCCAGUCUUAGGUAUGUCUUCAUAGCAAUGUAAGAAUGGCCUGAUACAGCCCUUAUAAUAAUAAUCUGGGACAAAAAUCUAAUAAAAGCGUAAAUAAUCUUGUAGAGCAGAAAUUCUAAUGCUGUUAUCCCACAGUUGCUUGGUGGGAACACGUCUGAUUCCUCUCGACCUUUCUUUGCCGUAAGUGCUAGAGUCUGAAGAAAAAAAUCUCUUAUGUCUGCAUUUCACACACUUGUGCAUAUUGGAGACACAUCUCCAGCUGUCUUGGUGGUUAAUUCUUACCAUCUCUUGUAGUGGGGGAGGUGGAGGACAGCAGUGAAGCCACGAGAGUUUGCGGUGGUGUGGAUGAUACCCAGGACUGACACUGAAAUGUGUGUUUGAAUAACUGAGAUCGCUCAUCUGCCAGGCCUUUCCAGGGUCAGUUCAUGGGCUCAUUUGGAAAAACCAACUUACCAUGUUAAUGCCAACAUAACUGACAACACACUAGAAAUCCUUCUUGUGGAUUACUACUCUGGAAGGAGAUUUGCUGCAUUUCAUGUGAUUCUGAGUUCAGUCUUGUGGAAGAAACACUAGAGAAGAGCGUAGAGCAUUUGGUUUUAAAGGAGCAGCAUCAAUAUCUUUGAGUUCAAACCUCAAAUUCAAGUAUACUCCAAGAAUGUUAAGUUGCUGGCCUAAAAUGUCACCUGUAGGAAGCAUGACAAACCAACACCAUGGAAAAGGAUCAUUCUUCACUUUUGUUGGCCAUUUUAAUCUCAGGUAAGAGGUAUUCACCCAAGGACUGUUAUCUGGUCAUUGUCUUGGUGGCCACAGUGGCCUUUGGCAAUUCUCAUCUUAACUGCAGAGAAUUGCUAGCUUCUGUGUUUGCUUUCACCUAAGGACUCAUUACUUGGAACAUAGGCCCCACACUGUGGAGAUAUGCCAAGCCCAGAUCACCACAUAUAUAUAGGUAGUGAUGGGGAUGAGCAGGAAGAUCCAGGUAGAAAGGAGUUUUUGGUAUGCCAAGUGGAACCUGAAAUAAUUCGAUCAAACAUAAGUUUCUAGAUCUUUCAAUGCUGUGUGCUGAGGGAGAUGAACUGGUAAUGGGAAGUUGAGGUGAUUUCUUCUGAUUCUUGAGUGUGCUGAGCUUCAUAUUAUGGCUAUUUAAGAACUAACUGAAGUGUCUAGAGAUGGAGUCAGGCUUGGAAGGCUGCUCUGUGCAAACGCAACCCUCUGUACUCCAGAGGAUUUCUAAUUAGAUUCUAUCUCCUUUUUAUGUGCAUGAUCUCAGAGGCUCCAGCUUAUUCCUGAUCCAUAAGUGAUCAGAAAUUCUCUACCUGCUGUAGAGCUUGUUUUUAACUUGUAAAAUAUGCAAACCAAAACAUUUCAUCUGCUCUUGGGUGGUGGCCAACAUGGCAGGGUCUUUUUGGUGAAUGAAUGGGUGUGUGCAGACCUAUCUCUGGGUUCCUACCUGUAUUCGAAAGGAUGCAUGAUCCUGCGUGGCUGGCACCAUCCAUCAGGGACAAUAGGCUUUCAGGGGUAGGCACUGCUGAGGGACAAUGCUUGAAAAUGGACAUGACCUUUCCUUCACAGCUCUUGGCUCAUGGUUGUGAUACUGGGCCCUGCCUGCAUCUCUGAGAAAAAAGUUUCUCCAGCUUGAUCCUGUACGAUGGGGCCUUUUGGCGCCAUAUUUGGUUAGGUUUUUAGGUCUAUUCUCAGUUCCCUUUUCAGGCCUUUUUCAAUUGAUGAUUCUCAGAGUCGGAGAGAUGGUUUGGACAGCUUAUCAGGAUCUGAGCAAAUAGCAUGAGUGAGGCUGCUUCUGUGUCUUACCCAGAGAUUUGCUUCUAAUCCCAACGUUCCAGUGGAAUGUGGUCUCUCCCAUAACAGUUGAAAUUCUUUGACCACUUUUCGUUGGAAAUUUUUGAACAAUGUGCAUUUCUUUGAAUUGAAGUUCUUUAGUAUAAAAGGGGAGACGGUGAUGGCCUGGGGUGCUUUUUCUUAUACAUUUAAGGGGUACAGUGCAAUUUUGUUACUGGUAUAGUGAUAACCUGUGCUUCUAGGGUAUCCAUCUCCCUAGUAAUGUGCAUAGUAUCCAUUAGUUUUUCAUGAUCCACUCCCAUUACCCCUUGACCCAUCACCCAUGACCCUUCUGAGUCUCCAAUGUCUGUAAUUGCACACCCUAUGUCCAUAUGUACACAUUAUGUAGCUCCCAUUUACAAGCGAGAACAGGUAUUUGACUUGCUGUUUCUCAGUUGUUUCACUUAAGAUAAUGGCCUCCUAGAGUGCUCUUGCUGGGAGGUUUUAAUUUUGUAUUCAUUUGGUUCCCUGGGCCACCUGUAUAUCUUACACCUACUUCCUGCGAUUUCAGACAAUCUUGAUAAGAACAUUGAAAAAAUGGAUUAAUUGAAUGGAGUUCAUAAUAUGCACUUCCCCUAGAGACUGUAAAACAAGUCCCACCUUUAUUCUUGAUAGAAAUAAUUGGGCAUUUUCAAAUGGAUGAAUCAUGCCAGUAGAAGAAUAGUUAAGAUUCUUAUCUGAAGUGAGACCCAAGUAUCUGCAUAUGGAUAUCCUAAAUUCAGAUACUGAGACCUAUGUUUGAGGUAGAAAGGCUUGUGAAAGUGACUCCAGGAAACAUGGAGGAGUAAUGAAGACAGGGUAGGAAGAGCAGCCAGAACUGGGAGAGCAUUGAAGAGGUCACCUCUAUGCUGUGUGCAACUCAGUCUCCCUGGGAAUCCUCUAAAAACCCACAUGGAAAAUGAUGUCCCAGAAUCUCAUUCCUAGGAUUGCCUACCACAUCCAACCUACAUCUUUAAGGGUAGUAUUCUUUUUGUACUGCAGACGUGUACCUUGGUGCUUGAGGCUGAUGUGCCUUGGGUGAUUUUAGAGAGCCAGUACAGUGAGAAUUUUGAUAGACUCAGCAGUUCUACCUGAAGCAUGAUAUAUAUUUUGGCAACUAAACUAUCCUGCUUCAAUAACGAGUGGUAACCCACGUUGGGAUCUUAUUAGGGCCAGGUGAGGCUUGGGGCUAAGAGCCAGCCUGAUGGCACCUCCUCAGGGUCCUGCUGAGUGUUGCCCAGCAUCCAGUGAGCAGCUCUACACUGGCAGGUGCUUCUGAGGUUUCAUCCUGAAUGUUCUCAUUCUUCCAGGCUGCUUCAUCUAUGCAGGAUAAUUCCACAGCGUGGGGCCAGGAAUCUAGCACCGAUCCAGAGACUGAGUCCACUGUAAGGAUAACUCACUGCAAGCUGCCGGUGCUGUGAGGCCUGUACCUAACCCCAGCCUCUAACCUUCAGCUUCAUUUGGGCUGGAAGUGGCCAUUUGUGGUGAGAGCUGAAAACAACACCCUUCCUUUAUGACUGGACGAGGAGCAGCUGCCUUGUCAGUGUCACUAGGGCUGGUCCACUGCUUAUCUAAGGUUAAGGAGAACUAAAAAUGGGAUGUCCUGCACAUCUGGACCUCAUGGACUCUAGAGGAAAGCCAGACACUCCUUUCAUGCCUGGAGACUGUUGUGACUUCAGUGUUACUUAUUUGACCCAUGCUCACAUGGAGUGGCUAUCUGAUUCUGUUUCUUCCCCACAGACUGUUGAGCAGAACACAUUUUCCUGAGUGAUUUUUCACCUUGAAAGGAACAAGUAGUUCCAUCCAGUGAUUUAAACCUGCUCUGGCAGUUUCUCAGAAAGGUCAAUGAUAGAUGCGACAGCUUAAACUCACCCAGAGGUGGUGAAGGACUGAGCGCAGAAUGCGUGGUGCUGGAAACCUUUGCUUUUCUUACGGCUUGUGCAAACCAUUGAAACGUGCUGUUCCGCAAAUUCUGGGUGCAGUGCUGAUUGCGGUCAUGUCAGCAGCUUUGCUGCACAAGAAAGGCUCAGUAGUCUUGAAUCCAAGAAUCCUGUUUCUGACUCCAUGCCCAUCACCAGGGUGUGAAAGUGCUUGGCUGUCUGGUUCCUGGGGCCCAAGAGUGAACCAAAGGGCUCUCUUGAUGUGGAAGCAGCUGCUGGUCUUGCUUUCCAGGUCUUAGCUAUUUUCAGGUUCUGGGUAAGUGUUUCACAGAGCCUGGAAGGUGGCUGCCACAGGGGAGGGUGGAGGAAGCUUGGAGCAGUGUGUCAGGACAACUAUCCUGUGUGCUGGGUGAGGAAUGUUCUGCCUCAUGGGAGCUAUGCUGACUUUACAGAUCAUGGACAGCAGGGACCUCGUGGCCCACUCUGAAAGGGGAUUCUCUCUAGGAUGGAGAAUUUAAGCACCCAGUUAUCUAAGUCCACCUAGUUAGGAAAGAAUGCCGUUUUUAAGAUGUCUGACUUGGAUUUGAAACAAUCUGCAUAUUAUAUAUUUCUACCUUAGCUGGUGGUAGAAUCUAGUGUGGAAAUGGCCUGGGCCUAGAGCAAACUUGGAAAUUUUGAUUUAGCUUCCGUCGUUGAAAAUCUGUUCUCUUUUGUUUGAAUCUGUAUCUUUUAAGGCAUUUCUGUUUGACACAUUUGACAAAUAAAUGGCUACUCUAAAUUUUUCCAAUAUCUCUACCCUGGAAUGCUAAGAUUCAUUACAAUUUUCUUUGCCUGCCUUUCUUGAUCCAGGGUUGCCAGAGAAACAGAUCUGAGGGCUCCUAUAUAAAAUACAAGGAAAAACAAAGACGAUUCUGGAUUUCCAUGAAUGUUGAAACUAAAUUUGACAGGUGCUAUAUUUUGUAUGGUGUUGCAAAUGACUUAGGAGCUCAAAUCAACUUUCUUACAGUUUUAGAAAUCAGAAGUUUGAAAUAGGUUUCAUUUAGAGAAAACAAAGUUGUUAGCAAGGUUGUAUUUCUUUCUGGCUGCUUCAGAGAUCACUUUCCUCACUUUAGACCCCAUAUAAAACAUGACUUGUGGCUUCUUAGUUAAUCCUCAGUCAGGACCUUCAUUGGUGUUGAGUCAGCACCAUGCUCUGAUUUUUUUCUUCUGACUCUUGCCUCCAAUUCUCAGUCUUCCUCUUUAUCAUGUUAAGCUAAGAUUACCCUGGGUUUGGCCAGGGGGCCCACUGUCAGCAAGGUGAUUAAAGUCAGCUGACUACAACCCAAUGCCUUGGGUCCUAAUUCACCCUUGCUGUGUAGCAUGUAUUCACAGGUUCCAAGGAUGGGGACAUGGGUAUUAGAGGACUGUCUCUGGCCGCUUUCCUUGGUACUUCACCUGGAAGUGAUGCCGUGAACACCAGAGGACAAUGGUGAAUCCGUGAGUGGGUGGCAAUAGCAGCUUCUAGUGGGAUAGGAUUGAGCUGGUCACUUAGCGGUGACCAAGGCUCAAUCCUGAUGGGGGGGAACCUGCAGGAGCCAUGAAUACUGCAUGCAGAAUAUCUGUCUUGGGGCUAAGAGUCUGUUACCCACCAACUCUGUUGAAGCUUCCCCUUGACCUAGGGUAACACUUUCCCCUGAGCUACUGAGCUAUGACUCUCCAUGAAAACCAUGGACCCAGAGGGUGAGGGUGUGGCCUGGAGCAGCCCAGUCAUUCAAGUAGAAUGGGAUACAACCUGGGUCUCCCCGUUUUUUAAAUAUCUCAGGAUGCAGAAAGUGAGAAAGGUUAACUUGUUCGAUGAAUGACUUGUCUUUAAAUCUCAUACUUUCUCCCCCCACAGAAAAUAGGUGAGAUUAUAUAAAUAGAGCUAAACCUUCAUCUACCUCCUGUUGUGUGUCAUGUUGCCAAUGUGACAACUGCUGUAGAAAUGUGCAAAACUCAUUGGGGGUAUAAUGCAGGUUAUCGGUUAGACUGCCACAUGGAGCAUAUUGUAUGUCACCUAUUGCUUUUCAUUGCCACAUACCAUACCUUGUUUGAGAACAAAUACGAUCUAAACUGUUACAUUUUCUUAAGAUGUGCUUUUGUCCUGUAUUUGAGCUUCUAAGAACAGUUGGCAUCCCAUUUGAAUUAGAGCAACUACAGCUCUAGUUGUGAAGAAUUUUUCUCCUCAUCCAACAUCGUAGAUUUUUCUGCUCCCUCAGAUUGUGACCCCAGCCAAACAGAACUCUGACUUCCAAGUAAAAUUUGGGGGACUGAGAAGGAAGAAUGAACUGAUGUGCACCCCUUCUCUUGCCUGCAGUUCUUGGCAGGCCUAAGCCACGUCCCUGAAUUUCCCAUACUCGAUGCUGUCUGCCCUUGGAAGCUGCUGGCUAAUGUUUGGUUUUAACUGUGCUACCCUCUGCAGGUGGCUUUUUACUUCAAUUACCUCAGCCUCUCCACGCAGCCUAGGUUGUCCUUUGACCCUUGUAUGACUGACACUGCUGUUCUGUCUGUGCACAAUGAUGGUCAUUGUCAAAUGAGUAUUUGGAAUGUUCCUGGUCAGGUUGCUCACCACUGAUCACCUCUGCUGGAGAUUUGCUCUGCUUUACACACAGGGAGGUUCCACUGGAUGUGGAUGGCAUGGGCACUGGCUCCAGGCGUGGGCCUGGCUCACUGCAGUCUGUUCCCCUGGGCUCUAGGUCUGUGGUGUUCAGACUUCUCUGUCAUGGGCUCCUUUUGCUGUGUUGUGGGGUGGAGGUUAUGAGGCCAGAAAAAUACCCAUGCUGCAGGACUGGCAGUCCCAUCUCAAUGUUUCCCUCCUCCUGAUGACGGCAGGCUGAGCCCCCCUGGUCUUGGCAAUGUGUCCUCGUUAUGUACCAGCUGAUGCCCUUCAACCUAUUCACCCCAAGAAAGAAGAGGUAUCUGGCUAGCCAGGGAAACUUGGCUUCAUGUUUUUCUAGGAUGCCAAAUCAAGGUCCCUAGAGUUGUAGCCUCAGGACAAGUGUCACACAGUGUGUGGUGUGGCAGGUCCGUUCCCCUUGUGAUGCCUUUUGUAAAAGUGGAUGGAGAGACGACUUAAACUUGUUCUAUCUGCAAGUCCAUCAUACAGCCCCACAAGUGCAGAGUCCUGCCAAGAUGCCAAAAUGAGCUGUUAGAUGCACCUGGAUUCUGGGAGUGGCAUGGCAUGCUUCAGUGCUGACCAGACCAAACUAAAACCCUGCAUAUUCUAACUUAUGGUGCUCACAAAAGCCAAUUGUAGGUAGUCCGGAAUUCUCAACUUAAUCUGGAUUAAGAUUAUAUUGUGUUUGGUAAGGAUGAUGUAGUCAUAAAUACCCUACAUCAGUAAUGCAGAGAACUGUUCAAUUCACCACUGCUGUUCUUCGUGGUGAUGUCUGUAAGUCACACAAUUGGAUGAGCUGUCUGAGCGGGGGAGGGGGUCUAUAGAUGAAGCUCAUGUCUUGGGUUGUGGAGGGCACCCUGAACCCAAAUGCCUAAAAGUCCUGUACCUCUCAGCUUGCAUUUUGGAGUCGAGGUGAAGUAUAUUUGAUAUAAGACAAUACUCUAUCUCCUUAUCCUCCUGUUAGCCUUGGUAUUUUCCUCUAAUCAUCACGAAGUCUCCAGGUGAUCUUCUGCCAUUCAUUCCAGUAUUUGUCAGGUUUAUGAUACACUGUAUGCUGGCUGCACAUUUUCACCUGUGUUAAGACUUCAGGGUGCUCCUUUGUUUGUCUAAUGUCUGCUCCCUUAUCUUGAAAGGUAUCAAUUCUAUGUAAGUCAGUUUCUUUACCUUAUUUUUAACAAUUCUCUGUUGAGUAAAGCUUAAAGGGACGGUGCCCUUUAAAUGACUAGGACUUUAUAGUUCUAUGUCUUACUGUUGCUACACAACAGUGUCCUCUUGGUAGGAAACGUCUAUCAAGGAUCACUUUUGUACUCUAACUGGCUUGAGGCAGGAGAAACGGCGUUUGCAGGCAGGUAACUUAAAGUAAUUUAUGCUAAAUUGAGGAAAAACGCCAAGGUCGUGGGGGCAGGGAACCUGAGUUCAAUCUGUGCUGACUUCCCAAAGCUACAUCAAAAGGAAAACAUCUGGGUCUGGGGUCAGGGAACCUAGGUCCCAUUAACCACUUCCUAAAGCUAAACCCAAGGGAAAACCCCAUCUCCCCCACAAGAGUAGCAAAGGAUCCAAGGCUAUUCUCCCUCUAUCUUCCCCUGUCCACCACGUGGCAGAGGAAAGGAAGUGUGUGUACUGGCUUGGAUGCAGGUUAUGCAGGGACCAUCUGUUUAUCUGCAGAGGGUGCCAGUUCACCUCAGUCCUUAAUUAGCCAUGGACCAAAUCCUUUAUCCAGAUAAGGGGUAACAGAUGGGGACCUCAAAAGGAGAACUUAAAACCCAGAGAACUUUGUAACCCGGCUCUUGUGCCACUUGCUGAGGCCCACUCCCACCCCAUGGAUGCUUUCUCACUUUGAUAUUGGCUUUUGCUGCAUCGUUUGUGUUUCAUUCCUUUGUUACUUUGCUUCUGUGUUGUGUUAAAAACGCCAAGGACCUGGACAGUUCACUCAAGGCCCUCCUUCCAGUGUAACAGGCUGAGGGGACAUUGACCAAGGUUGAAGGUUUUGACAUACAUCUGUGUUUUCUCCGAAGCUGUUAGGAUUCAGGUACUGCUCCUGAAAUUUUCGUCAAGCCAUCUGAACACUAGAAGCUUGGGGUUGGAUGUUCCCUGUAGUUUCUCUGGAUGCCAUUGGCACCAAUAAAAGUUGUUACAGACAGGGGACAAAUGGGAUGAUGGUCAUUGUGGACAAUGCUGUGCCUUCUCUGGGCACCCAGGACGACUCUGGUGGAAAGGCGUUGAUCUCUGGAACCUUUACAGUCCCACAUGAUUGCACUGCUGUGGUGACCCGACCCUGUCCCCAAACUGACAGCCAGCUCUGUAUCACCGUAUUGUAGGUGGGGGAGGCAGCUGUUGGUCAUGUCUUGCAGGUAUUCUCUCUGAUCUGGCUUUUUCUCAGAGAUCCUUUCCUGCUGCUGCUGGGUCACAGCCCCCCUGAAGGUUGGCUACAGUAAGCAAGCAGCAAGAAGGCUGCCCCUUAGAAGGAAUUAGUGUAUUGUCUGAGUGGCUGACCCUGAAAGAAGCAUUGUUGGGCAGCAGAGCUGCAAGAAGAUGCAGGUCCACUCAUCCUUGAUGCUGAGAAACAGCUCUGUGAACCUAGGGAGCUCCCAGGCUGGGGAUUCUGAGGACUCAGGCAUCUUGGUUACUCUGCCAGUGAUGCUGGCAAGGAUGCAGCCAGGGGACCCACUGAGGUGUGUUGGUCCUUGGGGAUAAGUCUGAGUCCAGGGUGCUCUGUGGUGAGUACUUCCUGCUCCAGAGGUGAGGCCGAUGGAACCUGGACAGCUAUGCAGAGGAGGAUAGCAAGCUGCUCAUCUCCAUAGGGACUGAUUUUUGAACUUGUAUCUUCUUCCUGGUCUGUAGUAGGUAUUCCAUAUCUUCCUUCCUUAGGAAAGAGCAGUGAGCCUGUUUGUGUCAGGUUGGGCUCAGUUGAUGAUAAAAUGGCCCAGACUUGAUGAUAGCCUCCCAUUGGGGACUUCAACAUAAAGUUGUUCUGACUUGAUUUUCUACAUGGAUACCUGCUGGCACCUCAUUGGUCCUGCAACAAUUGGGGCAGGUUCAACUAGGUUCACCCUGGAUUUUCAUCUUCCUCACAACCUCACUUAUUCUUGGAUCCUAUUUCUGGUGACUGUUGAUCUUGAUGUUCUGGCACAUUGAGGGUGAAACUAAGUCAUCUCCUGCUAUAGGGUAAGAAAGUCCCACAGGGAAAACUAACUGGAAGUUGGGUCCUGCCCCAUCUUGGUCUCUGAAAUCUGUUUUUCAGUAGCAGACAAGAGUCCUAUUUCUUAGUUUAAAGCUGGCAAAGGAAUGGGCCUUUGGGACCUUUCAGCAGGAAGUAGGAGAGCAAGGAGCACAUCCCCAGUUCCUACACAGAGGCAGGAAUCUACAUCCGCAGAAUAAUGUAGGUCUUACUGCCCAAAACAGGUUUGUUUUUUGGUUUUUGCUUAUUUUUUGUUUGAGACAGUCUUGCUCUGCCACCCAGGCUGGAGUGCCUUUGCACAAUAUCGGCUGUCUGCAACCUCCACCUCCUGGGUUCAAACAAUUCUUGUGCCUCAGCCUCCCAAGUAGCUGGGAGUGCAGGUGCAUGCCACCAUGACCAGCUAUUUUUUUUAAUUUUAUUUUAUUAUUAUUAUACUUUAAGUUUUAGGGUACAUGUGCACAAUGUGCAGGUUAGUUACAUAUGUAUACAUGUGCCAUGCUGGCGUGCUGCACCCAUUAACUCGUCAUUUAAGAGAGUCUUGCUCUGUCGCCCAGGCUGGGGUACAGUGGCUUGAUCUCGGCUCACUGUAAGCUCUGCCUCCCGGGCUCAUGCCAUUCUUCUGCCUCAGCCUCCCAAGUAGCUGGGACUAUAGGCACCCACCACCAGGGUUUCACCAUGUUGGCCAGGCUGGUCUUGAACUCCUGACUUUAGGUGAUCCGCCCACCUCAGCCUCCCAAAGUACUGGGAUUACAGGUGUGAGCCACCGUGCCCAGCCUCAAAACAGUUUCCUGAAUAUUCCUAUCAGAGGAGUCCAUGGGAAGCAGAUCCAUGUUGGACUCUGAACACAGCUGGUUUUCAUUGUUUCUACCAGUCUUGAGCAUCUGGGGACUUCUUCCUAGGAGAUGUGGCUGUGUUGGGAGAAGUGAGCUGAAGUCAUCGUGUCUUGCAUCAUCCCUUGGGCUUGUAGAUGUAGCCUUAGAGUUCAAACUCUGUACAUUACCUGGCAUAUGACCUUGGCUGUUGGACCCCCCAACUAGUGAGAGAUCUCUUAAGUCUCUUGUGUGACUCAUGCACUAAAAAGAGCUGUCGUGGAAUUGAAUACCUUCUUGGGUGCUCCUCUAUCUCUGACACUUGGGACUCUGAAGGAACAUUUCCUGAAAAGCUUAACCACUCAUGCAGGGAAAAGUUAGCACUAGUGAUGUUUCUCCUCUUUACAUGGAUUCAGCUGCUCUUCCGUACCUUUCUCACCCUACCUUCUAAUUAUCAUUGAAGGUACCUUGGUGACAUAACUACAGCCUUAAAAGGACCCUCCCCUCAGUCUAGGGAGGAUUUUGUGCUUUCAUUUCAUGUGAACAGUUUGCUGCUGCUUGAAAUCCCUUGGUCAAAGAGAGCUGAUGACCAUUCCUCCUUGCCCAUCUUGCAUGAAUAUGACAUCAAUGAUGAAAGAAUGAUCUCUUUGCAGAAGACUGAGAUGAAUUUCUGCCUUUGAGGACAAGAAUCUUACAUGAAAGUAGUGAUGAAGGUCCUGUUUCUCCCCACAAAGUCUAAGUGUGUGGUUUCCUUCCUAGUUGGAUGUCCUUUAGUAGCUGGUAGUGAUUUCAGGUCCCAACCUGAGCGCUGAAGGUCAUACUUGCUUUCCAUUUAAAGUGUUUCAACACAUUGAGUUGAUAUCUACAGUUUUUCAGCAGGUACAAGGGUUAAAGGGUAUAGUCUAGGAAGAAAAUUCUUCAAUGAAACAAACCUGUUUCACUCAAUAUACCUACAACCCACAGAAAAUUUCAUGCACUAAAGAGAGCUGUAGUGGAAUUGAACAACCCCUUGGGGGUUCCCUUAUUUCUCAUUGCCACUUGGGACUCUGGAAGGAAACUUCGUGGAAAGGUUAACCACUCCCACAAGGAAAAGAUGGUCCUAGUGACAAGUUACUUAUCUGUAUCUCCACACAGGAGACUUAAGUGGUCUCUCACUAAUGUAGUGGGAUUGAACACCCCCUUGAGUGCUCUUCACAUACAUCUGCCCUGGACAGGCUGAUUCAGGAAUGGACCUACAGCAGGAGGCAGCCUGAGGAUGGGAGGGGCUGCUAAGAGAAGUCUGUAUUUCCAAAACUUAAGAGAGCACAUGGGUCCCCAUGAUUCAUAAGUGAAUAACGUUGAUUUCUCUACCUCCCAAUUAGCUGGAUCCAUCUCUAUGUACUGUCCUGGGGUGGAAAGGUACUAGGUUAAGUAUCAUCUGACCUUUAGAUCUUUGUUCUUUGAUUCUACUGCUUGUGACUAGUCCAGUUUUAAACCCUCAGAAUAAGAUGAGUACCUUUGCCUUGUAUUGCAAGGGAUUAAUUCUAGGACCUUCAAGUGCUUAAGUCUCUUGUAUAAAAUGGCAUGUAACCUGUGCACAUAAUCCUACAUCCUUUAAGCUAUCUCUGGAUGACUUACAGUCCCUAAUACACUUUACAUGUUUUGAACAUAGUUGCUUCAUUUAGGGGAUGAGGACGGCAUAGUUCCUGUGACGUCAGUGUAUUCAGUACAGCCGUAACUAUCCUAGACAUAAAUAUGUAGUUAAUGUCGGCAACAAGGGGAACAGUUCCUUUAUCGACACAUACAGACUGUUUUCUUCUAGUGAUCUGAGAGUUAACACUGACAAAGGCCCUGGCUGGUCUGUCUUGAUAACUUUUGUGGGAUAAGGAUGAUUACUGUAUGGGGCCUACUGUGCCCAUGGGGUAAUAUGACUAGCUUCAUUGCACUGUAGUGAGAUGUCUGCUUAACAUGAACCUUCCAGAAGGAUGUCAGAAGGAUCAUCUAUCUACCUUGGAAGAACAGGUUUCUAUUACAGUUGUUAAUGCUUUAGGGGGAGACUUGGCUGAGGAUCUUCAACCAUGGAUGUUUGAAGCCAAUGUUCUGGCAAGAAAAAUUGCUACAGGAAACUGUUGCUCUUCAUCAUGAAAUUUUGUGGGGGUUGUAGGCAUAUAUAUUGAGUGAAACAGGUUUGUUCCAUUAAAGAAUUUUCUUCCUAGACCAUUUCCUUUAACCCUUGUAUCUGCUGAAAAACUGCAGACAUCAACUUGAUAUUAUCGAAACACUUUAAAUGGAAAGUGACAGUAUGGUCUUGAGUGCUCAGGCUGGGACCUGGCAUCACUUGAUAGGAGAAAGUUUUGACAUUUUCUGAAGGCUGUGCUCUAGGAUGAUGAGGUGGGAAUUGGGGAAGUAUAGACUGGCUCUGUCUUUCGCAGAUCCUUGACCUGAAGCCCAGGAAGCUCAUGGAUGAGGAGCUGAGUUGUGUAUGGGGAGAGAGUGAGGCUUGGCCUGCUGCUGUGGGGAAGCAAAACACCCUGCAGUCCAGAGGGCUUCUAAUUUUUCCCUUUGUCUUUGGUAUUUGUGUAUUCACAAGGAAUGCGGGUUGUUCCUGAUCCACGUGCAACCAAUCAAUUCUACCUGCUAGAGUGCUUGCCUUUAAUUUAUAAUGCUAUACUGGGUGGGUCUUCUGACUUGCAAGGUCUUUGAAGGAAUGGGUGUGUCAAGGACCUGUCUUGGGCUCCUACCUCUACACUGAAGGAUGUGCCUCAGGGGCUUUGUAUUUCAACAAUCUUAAUUCUGUCUGUCUGGCACAGGCCAUCAGGUACUGGACAUCAUCAGGGACAAGCCCUGCAUGAACGUUUGCAGAUGGACAUUGCAAGUUUAUUCUGCACAGCUCCUUGCUCGUGGUUAGCCUAUGACACCGGGCACUGCCUGUGUCUCAGUUUCUCUCUCCUGACACCUGGUAAUAUGGCAUCUUGGCUCUAUUUUGUUCACAGAUGUGUGCUUAGUGAGUUUUUCUCUUCAGCCAUUGUUCAGCUCAUGAUUCUCAGGGGAGAUCAUCUGGACAAUGUCCUGUAUACUUGGGAAUCACCAUGAGUUAAGGCUCUUCCUGACCCUACCCUCAGCUUUGCUCUACAUAGGAAAAUGUUCUCAUGCAAUGCAGAGUUUUACAGCAAUUUUCAUUAUUUUAGUUUUUUGUGUGUAUGGGAGGCCAGGAUGAGGACAUGGGCAUGGUACUGUCCAUGGCUGUGUUGCUUUUACAAGGUGGCCUGGAGCAGGUCGCUGAGCUUCCCAGCCUCUGCUAUGCUUGCACACACAUUCUGCAAGAUGACUGAUGAUCCUGAGUGUUGGCUUCUGCAGGACAGUCUCAGCCCUUCUGCUAUAGGGAUCAUCCAGAUUCCAUAGCUGAAGCAUUCCACAUGUAUCUUAUGGUGAUCUUUACCUUCUCCCUUAGCCCCAUGGAUUCUCAUGCAGGCCGACCUGGGAGGGGAAGUCUUUGCUUUUGAAACACCCAGGGCUGGGUCAGAUGAAACAGAGAUGCAUUUGAAAGCAUGGGUCCUGUGUUCAUUCAAACAUCUCACCUUGGGUCUAGGUUAAUACACCAAUGAUGUAACAUAAAUGAUUCCAAAGCUACUUUGCUUUCAUGUCACCAGCAGGUGCAUAUGUGGAGUUUGUGACAUCAUCCUUCCACCCCUCAUGGUCACAGCCUAGGGUGUCCUUUAGCUUGUCUGCCUGAUGUUGUUCUUCCUUGCGUAUCAUGAGUGGGUCCCUCUCCUCAGAGUACUUCAGACAGGCCUAGUGAGAUGCUCUCCCUCUGGAUGUUACAGAGCAUAUUUUACAUCUGAUUUAUCUCCAGACAUGUCCACAGGCUGUGACAUGAGCAGUGUUUAUCUUGAGCCUGGUUUCUCAGAUGUUCUCUGAAUAUUCACACACCUAGGCUGUGAAAUCUCUGGCUCCUCAAUAUAUUGCCAUGGGAUCAUUUCCCUGCCUUAGUCUUAGAGGUUCUUCCAUCAGAUAGUAAAAAGAUAGAAGCAUCAGGUGUCAGCUGCGUUAGAUCUGUUGACUAUUUCCCAUUGGUGGUGGUGGCUCUGAGAAUGAGGGCACAGAGGUUUCUGAACCACAAGUAAAAAGGGCAUGGAGGUGACUCUGAACCCAAAUGUCUGCAGUCCUGAUCACUCUCCACCCUGCUCUAAGGGGCUACUGCAAUUGCGGUGGGUAAGUGAAAAGCAGGCAUUACUCCCUUUGGUUUACCUCCUCACUUCUGCAGCUUAGAGGCAGUAAGAACACACAUGGCUAGGAAAGCAGUGCUUUGAGCAGUCGAGGUUAUAGCUGCUCUCUUCCUCUGAGUGUUCUUUGUUGUAAAGAUCCUUAAGUCUGUCCCUAGGUUUCUCCAAGUUGACUCAGUCAUGCCCCUUAUGGAGCCUGUGUCGCUGGCUGUUUCCCCACCCAGAGAAUGUGUGCUGCAGCUCUGAGGGCCUCCUGUGAAUCUCACACUUGAUGCCUAAGGGAAUGUUCUCAGGCAUUGGCUGGUGGCUGUGAUUCUGAUAGCUGUGGUUGAUACCUUCCCGUAAGGUAAACACUCAGUCUAAUGAGAUGGCAGCCCACCCUCCUGGAUUCUGUCCUGUUUGUGCCUGUGCUGUUGGGCUAAGUACCUUCUCCCAGGCUGUGACAGCUGUCAGUCUGCUCCAACUUACUAAAGAAACUUUUACAGAAUUGGCUCUGUGCUGUUUCACGUGAAGUGACACCAAUAUGAUAGGUGGUCAAAAUUAUGUCUUUGCAGUAAUUGGUGACAACACAAGUUGGGAUCUCAUAAGGGCCAGUUUGGGGCCUGGAUCAAAGAGGCUUAUGGAGCUUCCUAACGGGUCCUGAUAGAACUGCCAGGCAUCCAAUGAGCUGCUCUGCACUGACAGGUGCUUCCUUAGGUUCUAUCCUGAAUGUUGUUUCCUUCAAGCUGUACCAUGUUUAGAGUAAUUCUGUAGCUUGGAACCAGGAAAAUUCUCAGCUCAGUUUCAGGAAAUAGGGUCUACUGUAAAGACAAGUCAUUUCAGUCUGUUGGCUUUGAGUUCUGUACCCAGCCUACCCUCUGGCCUGAAAUUCCAUCCAGCCUUGGCAGAGUGCAGUGCAUGCAGAGAGCUGAAAAGCAAAUUUCUCCUUUUUGACUAGACAAGGGACAGCUGCCUUGUUAGAUUCAAUAGAGCUGGUCCACCAACCCAAUCCUUUUUGGGACCCAGCUUACCAUGGGUGUUGAAGGCUAGGGAGCACUGAAGAAAUGUACUUUUCUCUUUCUACCUCCUAGACUACACAGGAAGAUGAUAUAUAUACCUCCCUGAUGCCUGGGAAGUGCAACCUGUAUCCCCACGGAACUCUUCUCAUUCUGUCUCUUCUCCCUGGAUCAUUCAGCAGGUCAGGGAGUCUCCUGAGUCACCGUUCACCAGCAAGUAGUUCCUUGUGACAGAUUUAAGUAUCCUGGCAGUUUCUCAAGUCGGUGGUAGGUGCAGAACUUUAAGCUCACCUAAAGGAGAAGGACUCAAUGCAGAAUACUUGGUGCUGGAGGCUUCUGCCUUUUUUUAUGGUGCCUGUGGUAAUGUCUGAACGUUGUCCCGGAAAAUUUACAGACAAUGUUGAUCAUAGUUGGCAAUAGCACCACCUCCUCUGGGUAACAAGGGCUCAGUGGUCUCCUAUCAAAGGGGCAGGAUUUUGACAUCAUUCUCAUCCCCAUGGGUGGGUGUGCUGGGCCUGCCAGGCCCCUGGGGGCACAAACCAUGAGCCAGGGUUCUCUUAGAUGUGGAAGCAGCUGGUGGUCUUGCUUUCCACGUGUAGGAUUCUUUCAGAUUUGUAAGGUGGUAGUUUUGGGGGGAGGUGGUUCUGACAGCUGGGGGUAGAGGCUACCAAUAGGGAGGGUGGAGAAUAUUCGGAGCCAUCUGUGAGAAAGACUCACUAAUGGUCAGUCCUUAGUGAGAAAUUAUCAGCCUCUCCUGGUGCUGUGCUGACCUGCAAUUCAUGAAGAGCAGGGAACCUCCUGGUCCAUCUGAAUGGGACCUUCCACAUAGUUUAAGGUGGAGAGAAUGACAGUGCUUUUGGUUGUUCUAGCCUGUCAGUCGUGGUAGAGUGACAUUUUGAAGACUAUUUCCAUCUCUUUAUGUUUGGAACAACUGAUAAGCAACUGGUGUCAUAUCUGAACUGGUGAUAGAAUCAAGUGGGGAAGUUAUUUGGGUAACAGAAUACCUUGUAGAAAGUUCUAAAUCGUAUAUUUAGUACACUUCAUAGAAAACAAAUAAUCAGGACCUACUCUUGUAAAUUUUAAUCUGUCUUUCAUGCCAUUUGUGCCUAUACAUUUCCCACGUAAAUUGAACAAACACAUCUAUUUAUCACACUUAAACACUGAAAUGCUCAGGAUAUACUAUACGUUGCCUUUAAUUUUGUUCUUCAUUGAUUCUCAGGGUAAGAAUAGUUACGAAGACUCUUAGAGGAACUUUCAGGUGAACAUCAGUGACUGACUCCGGAUCCCCCUGACAAAAGAAUAUUAGGAAUGUUGGACAGGUCUUACAUUUCUUUCUCUUUCUGCUGUACUAAAUGGACAUCAAGUUAGUGCUUAAGUAAAACAGGUUUUUUGUUUAAUUAUUUAAAUUUUAGGGUACAUGUGCACAACGUGCAGGUUUGUUGCAUAUGUAUACAUGUGCCAUGUUGGUGUGCUGCACCCAUUAACUCAUCAUUUAAUACUAGGUAUAUCUCCUAAUGCUAUCCCUACCCCGUCCCCCCACCCCACAACAGACCCCAGUGUGUGAUGUUCCCCUUCCUGUGUCUGUGUGUUCUCAUUGUUCAAUUCCCACCUAUGAGUGAGAACAUGAGGUGUUUGGUUUUUUGUCCUUGUGAUAGUUUGCUGAGAAUGACGGUUUCCAGCUUUAUCCAGGUCCCUAUAAAGGACAUGAAUUCGUCCUUUUUAUGGCUGCAUAGUAUUCCAUGGUGUAUAUGUGCCACAUUUUCUUAAUCCAGUCUAUCGUUGUUGGAUAUUUGGGUUGGUUCCAACUCUUUGCUAUUAUGAAUAGUGAUGCAAUAAACAUAUGUGUGCAUGUGUCUUUAUAGCAGCGUGAUUUAUAAUCCUUUGGGUAUAUACCCAGUAAUGGGAUGGCUGGGUCAAAUGAUAUUUCUAGUUCUAGAUCCCUGAGGAAUCACCACACUGACUUCCACAAUGGUUGAACUAGUUUACAGUCCCUCCAACAGUGUAUAAGUGUUCCUAUUUCUCCACAUCCUCUCCAGCACCUGUUGUUUCCUGACUUUUUAAUGAUGGCCAUUCUAACUGGUGUGAGAUGGUAUCUCAUUGUGGUUUUGAUUUGCAUUUCUCUGAUGGCCAGUGAUGAUGAGCAUUUGUUCAUGUGUCUGUUGGCUGCAUACAUGUCAUCUUUUGAGAAGUGUCUCUUCAUAUCCUUCGCCUGCUUUUUGAUGGGGUUGUUUGUUUUUUUCUUGUAAAUUUGAGUUCAUUGUAGAUUCUGGAUAGUAGCCCUUUGUCAGAUGAGUAGGUUGCAAAAAUUUUCUCCCAUUUUGUAGGUUGCCUGUUCACUCUGAUGGUAGUUUCUUUUGCUGUGCAGAAACUCUUUAGUUUAAUUAGAUCCCAUUUGUCAAUUUUGGCUUUUGUUGCCAUUGCUUUUGGUGUUUUAGACAUGAA
rnacentral:lncRNA from 1 species